GGCAGAUACAAGUGGAAGCUAAGAGCUGCUGCCCAUCCACCACUGCAAGAAAUGUCUACAAUACCUGCCGUUUGACGGGUGCAUCCCGUCCAACGUGUGCAAAACUGUCAGGCUGCCAAAUUAUCAGCGGGAACAAAUGCAAGCCCCCUAACGACCACCUCACCCUUGACCCGGACACUGGUAAAUAAUAAAUUUAUCUCACUUGAUUUCUUUGUGUUUUGAGUCGUUAAUGUAUUUUCCAUCUGAUGAAACGCAUUGGUUUUGCAUUGAAGAGGAAGUUAAUGUGCUUAACUUCUGCAAGUUGGGGUGUGCGUCGUCUGUGUGCAACAACAUCAACGCUGGUAAGCACCUUUUGCUCAGACAGAGAAAACAAUAAUCAUUAAUUAGCGGCAGCUAGAAUCCUAUAAUCUAAUAUAUAUAUAUAAUUUUAUCAGCUCUGGGAAAUGAAGAGGCGAACGAUGCCGUUGAGAGUUGCGACCAAGCCUGCUCUAGCUUCUGCAGCGUGCAUGUUGGCAGCGCCACCGUGGUUGCUUAAGCAAAUGCAUCCAACUAGAUCGUCCUUGUGCUGAAUAAUUGGAUAUCGUAUCCACUUAAAGCUGCCUUGUGUAGUACGUCUUUGUGUCUCUCUUUAUAUUCCAAUAAGGUCGGUGAUCUUGAUGCCACACACUCAGAUGUGUGUUCAUCUCCAGAUACUACUCCAUGCUACCUGCCCUUUGUGUUUUGUUCAAUAACUGGGUAUCAUAUCCCAACCAGUAUGCCGUCUGUUUUGUGUUUGUUUCCUUCUAGUUCCAAAAGGGUCAUCAUGAUGUUACCUUCUUUCAAUAUGGUGCUUUGCAUGACUACUAUUGUAUGGUACCAUCUUGUGGCCAAUAAGUACAUCUUAUCCUAUGACCUUUGCUAUGACCCUUUGCAAAUAAGUAGAAGAUUGUUAUAAGCGUCAAUACUCCUUAUAAAUUGAUCGCUGCUGUGAGUUCCCUUUCAGCUUAUCGUAGGCAUACAUUAUUGCUAGCACGGUAAAGCCAAUCAACACGAAUGAUGAAGUAAAUGUAGCGGUACUUCUGUAUACCAACACCCUUACUUAAAUGUACCGGUGUCAUUCCCUACUGGCACAUAUAUUCUUAUAUGCUAGCCAGCUUGUAAAAUUAACCAAUUAAAAUAAUUAAUUCAAGAUAGAAAUAACUUAUCGGCUUCUCGAAGCAUGUGUAAUAUGAAUCGCUUCAUCUAUAUUGCUUUCAGGAUUUUGGGUAACUAAAUUUAACAUUUGCACAUACAAAUGUUAAAGUACAAAUGUUAAAUCUAGUUACCCAAGCAGAAUAUGAAUAUACUCUAUAGUAUAUAUAUACUAUAUAAAUCUAGUUAACAUUUAGUCUAAAUGUUAAAUCUAGUUACCUAAAAUCCUGAAAGCAAAAUGUAUAAAUAUAUAUCUUUUAAGGCAGUAUAAGCUUCGAUUCCUAUUGCUGCUCUGUUAAAUCUCAUCUUUCGUUGUGGCCCAACACUCUAGUAUGUAUGUUGCACCAAGCUUCCUUGAGCCGCUCUGCCCUCUGAUUUUGCUGCGUAGGGGAAUCUUUAUCAGGUUGGGCUGCUUCCAGUCAUACGAUGUGUGGCUUCAUAUCUUCUACAAGUUAGACAGGAAACCCGCGUUCUGGAAGAUUCUGCAACGUGCACGUUGGCGCUGCCACCGUGGUUGCUUAAGCAAAUGCAUCCAACUGAAUCGUCCUUGUGCUAAAUAAUUGGAUAUCGUAUCCACUGCUUAAAGCUGCCAUGUUUAGUACAUCUUUGUUUUUCUCUCUUUAUAUUCCAAUAAGGUCGGUGAUCUUGAUGCCACACACUCAGAUGUGUGUUCAUCUUCGGAUACUACUCCAUGCUACCUGCCCUUUGUGUUUUGUUCAAUAACUGGGUAUCAUAUCCUAGUCAGUGUGCCAUCUGUUUUGUGUUUGUUUCCUUCUAGUUCCAAAGGGGUUAUCAUGAUGUUACCUUCUUUUGAGGUGUCUAUGACUUUGUUAAUAUCAAUAUUAACCAAUUCAAUCUAUCUUAACUAUUUGUAAGGGGUAUGAUGUAUGCAUGAUUAUAACAAUGAUUGCGCAUACAAUCACUGCCAAAGAAACGGUCAAUACCAUAAAGACAUAUUACAGACAAUUCUCAUAAUUUAUAAUGAAUAUACAUAUUCACUACUGCAGAGACUGUCAUUUGUAUCAGCUCAUACGUGCCAGGGCAAAGGUCACCCUUGCAUUAAAAGUACAUUUGCACGGUAAAGAUAACCAACACGAAUAAUGAAGUAAACAUGCCGGUGCUUUUGUACACCAACACGCUUACUUAAAUGUACUGGUGUCAUUCCUCACCGGUAGCCGGCUUGAAAAUUAACCAAUUAGAACAAUUAUUUAUUGUAUCGGUGUGAAUUUUGACCUAUUGGAAUAUGAAUUUGACCGUUACUGCAUUCGUCAAGACUCAAGAGAGAAAUAACUGAUCGGCUUCUUAGAGCGUGUGCAAUGUGAAAUCAAGGACUGGAUGGAAGUUGAAGCGCUAGCUUCAUCUUCCGCUGCAUGUUAAUUGCUUGGAUAAGAAGUUGUAGCCGCGUAUAUAAAUAGUCCCGCUGAUGCUGUGCUCCGAAGUCUAUACUAUAUAUGCGAAAACUAGAUUGCUUUCAGGAUUUUGGGUAACUAAAUUUAACAUUUGUACAUAAAAAUGUUAGUUUACGAAUGUUAAAUCUAGUUACCCAAGCAGAACAAGAAGAUAGUAUAUACUAUAUACUAUGUAAAUCAAGUUAACAUUUAGUCUAAAUGUUAUAUCUACUUACCCAAAAUCUUGAAAGCAAAGAAAGAAUAAGUAUAUAUCUUUUGUUGGAAAAUUGGUCCACGGAGAGUGGCCUCGUUCGUUUCACCGGGAUGGAAUUCCAGUCAGGAUUACUUCCAAGUCCGGUUUAAGUGAUUCCACCCAUGUCACUCAAUUCGGCUAGGAUUCAUUCCAGGGGUGAGGAGGUAUGGUUUCAAUCCGGGCCAUCUAAUGUAGAAGGAUUCCAAUCCAGGCCGGUUUUCGUUCUAGGCUAGACUAAAACGAACAACACUUUCAAUGCAAGUCUGGUUUCAAACCGGGCCACUUCAAACCACCCGGAAUGGACCUCAUUCCGGGCCAAUCCGGUGAUAACAAACGAGGCCUUAAUGGAAUCCCAAAGCAAGAGUUCAGUGGCAUUCUAUAGUCCCAUGCUGCUAGUUUGAGUUGGUCGAAGCCAACUUAAAUAGGAGAGCUCUCUCACUUCUCUAAAAAUGUAACUGAAGGAGAGAAGGGGGCUUGGGUUACACAACGCACGCACGCACGCAUAUUUGCAUUCUUUUCGCGUAACCGACCGCGUGACUUGAAACUUGCGACGUAGCGUGCUGCUAAGUCAAGUUGAUAUAACCUUUUUGCCGUUUGCGUGUAAUCUUUUGACAACGGUCAUUGGAGGUGAUAAGCACGCAGUCAAUACCUUAAUCCUGAGUUAAUAGGGCGGUUACUACUGCCAAUUAGUGCAGCAAUUUUGUAGGGGAAACGGUUAGCAGAGGGCUACCGUCUUCUCUAUAAGAAGUUUUGGAGACGUUCAGGAACACACAUGUACAUGUGAGAGACCCACGGAUUCCUUCCCUUCUCCCUUUUCCAUCUGGUGAAGUGUGCUAUGGUACUGAGCUGCUGGAUCUCGCCGGCUCUUCUCCUUGGCGUGCACCGAGGAGGAGGGUGAGCGGUAUCUCUGAGCUAUUGCCGUCAGGAAGCCUGCACGAGGGACAACAAUAAAGUUUUUAGGUAGCGCCUGCCUAAUCUUCGAUCUGCACUGCAACGUGUAACCCUGCAGCAACUCUACACGAGGACGGAGCACUAAUCUGUAAGUCCUAGAUUGGUUUCUUACAUAGUUGUAGGUUACACAAGAUCUAGAAUGGUUACAUACCAAUUAUUAUGGGUUACAUGAUGUUUUGUACGGUUUCGUCUAUUUUGCAUAUGCUAUUUUUUCUAUUUUGCAUAUGCUAUUUUUACAUACCGUUUACAUGCAUAUGUUAAUGGUUACACCUAGCUAUUUGAAUCUAGAAUUGGGUUACAUAGCAGUAGCAAUGAGUUACGUAAUAUGCCUCACGUUUAUAUCUGGUAGAAUUUAACACGUAUCUCCAACAUAUUUUGAGGCAGUAUAAAUUUCAAUUCCUUUUGCUGCUCUGUUAAAUCCCGUCUUUCGUUGUGGCCCAACACUCUAGUAUGCAUGUAGCACCAAGCUUGUUUGAGCCGCUUUGUGCUUUGAUUUUGCUGCGUAGGGGAAUCUGUAUCAGGUUGGACUGUUUCUUUGUCUUGCGAUGUAUAGCUUCAUAUCUUCUAGAGGUUAGACAGCAAAACCCGCAUUCUCUUAAGGCAACAACCCGAAGAAUCUGCAGCGCCUCUGAUAUAUCACUGCUGCAGAAACGAUCUUUAGUACUGAUCUCCAACCCUCUUUAGUAUCGGUUGGGCAACCAGUACCACUAUGUCGGUACUAAAGGGAGUUCUCUAGAAUCGGAUCAAAUAACCGGUACUAAAAGGGCUCCUUUACUACCGGUUGGUAACAACAAUAGGUAGUGACUUUUUUGCACCCAAAAAAUUAAAGAAUAACAGCCGGGAGGCUCGCACACACACGCAUCAUGAGUAAUAUGCGCGUGCAUGGUUUGUGGGAUUUCAACCCACGACCAAGCUAUAAGAACGUAGUUACAACAAAUCAAACACUUAGACAUUUUAGAGCAUCCCAAAUAACUACAAAUUCUAUAGUUUACCAUAUACCAUAAAAUAUUAGUUAAAAUAAGAGCAUACACAUGUCGGAAGAGUCCCAAUGCACCGGUUGAGGAUCAGACCAGGCACUUUGAAUGCACAUGCCAUAAGAUAAUUCUGCAGGACAAUGAUUGCAAUAAUGGACCAUCGAGAAGAUAGGGGCGAUGGGGUUGCCUCAUCAAUUAUCACUUGGCGCAACAAGACCAGCAAAGUCUUUAUCGACAGGGGUGGAUCAAGGGGUGGGGCAGGCAGAGCUCCAGUCCUCCUACCGCCGCUCGAACAAUGGAGCCCCCUUAGCCCCUCCAUAAAUUUUUAGGUAGAAGAAAAAAGAAGAGAAGGGAAGCAAGGGGAAGAAGAGGGAGCCCCUACUAAGUAGGUCGCCAUCGUGCUUCCCAACGCAUGAUCGCCGCACCGCAUCCAUUCCUCUACAAGCCUUCAGCGUCUCUCCCGCCGCUACCUCUGAACCAUGUGCAGCUAUAGACCCAACUAGUGUGUUGUCGCCCAUCUCAGUCCCAACAGAGCGGCGGCGGCUGCCAACACAAAUCUCCCUCCGCCUCUUCUUCACGGUCGAUGGCCGCCACAAGCAUAAACCUCGCCUUCGCAUCCAAGCAAAAGGGUCGUUGGGGUGCCUUCUUGCAUCACUUCUCAGCCUCCUUCACUUGCGGCCAGCGAAGAACUGCGCCACCACCUCGGGUGCGUGCCACCACUCCAGGGCCGCUACCCCAUGCCUGCGGCCGCCACCGGCCACCACGCGUGUGCAACCGCGUUGCACCGCUUCCCUGCUUUGUGCCACCACUACUGCUGUACCACCAGCUCCACCACCUUGGGAUGGUCGCCAGGGUGACUGAUUGGUGGAUUAUUACUAAAAAUAAGUUCCUUAUUAUCUGCAACUACUAUUAACUCAGAGAUACAUGCGUCUUUUCCUUCUCCUGCUAAUAGGUCCUAAAAUAUCUAGGAUGCUUUAUAUUUCUGGACAGAGGAAGUAUUUGAAUAAAAUGAACCAAUUUAAAAAAAAUGUGUUGUACACUACUACAGAAAGACCUAUCAGUGUCAAACCCAAAAAUGUCGUCACCGCCAGUUUUAGGCAUCGUUGGUGAAAGGUUGGCGGUGAUGGGCAUCCCCUUCAACAACGGCACUGGAGCCGACGGUGAUUGACAUUAGAAAACAAAAAAGGGAACCCCACCUAGCCACCCCUGCAACCCAGCCGGCCGUGCCUCCCCUCAUGCCCACCACCUCGCCUCCCCCGUGACCCCCCGCCGGCGCCCUUGUGCCUAGCCCCCUCGCCUGCCCGGCCGGCCACCCUCGUCAUGAGAGAGAGAGGUGCAUGUUGUAUAAUUGCGUGAAUUUUUGAAUGUUUAAUUUUAUGUAAGUUCCAUGUAAUAAAUUGUACAAGUUUUAUUGUAUAUAUGAAUUCCAUAUAUAUAUAUUUAUAAUUUAAUGUAUGGUUUCAUGUGUAUAUUUCAAUCAUGUGUAUAAUUAGUAGAUUGCCGAUUUUCUUUUUCUACUAGACAAGGGUUGAUGUAUAAUUACGUGUAUAUGUUUAUUGUAUGGGCAAUUAGGACAAGUUUUGUAUAAAUUUCUUUUAUUUCAUGGUUGUUGUAUGGUUUCAUGUAUAUACAUUUAUUGUACUACUUGAGACAAUUUUAAUUUAAUAUUUCUAUGAUUACAUGUGUGUAUAACUAAUUGUAUUAUUAGUUAAGAUGGGAGCCAAAGAGGAUGAAAGGUAUAUAAUAGAGUAGAUUAUUGCUGGCGGUAGUGGCUCAAACGUUGCAAGAACCUACACCGAGGGUGAGGGUAGCUAGGUGGACAUGUACCUCAACAUGUCCAGUGAUGGCAAUGACGAUGAGGAGCACGAGCAUGACGUCUAUGAUAAUGCGGAACAAGACAUUGCAGAAUUGGAAGGUUCUAAUGAGGUGUGCUUCAUGUUGACGAUCUAGUUGGCUUUUUUUCUUUGGUCACACCUUAGUUACCAUAGAACUUCGUCUCGGGAGAAGAUUGGUGGUGCUAUGGUGAUUGGAAUUUUAUUGCCUCCAAAUUUGAUUUCCAUCGAAUCAUAUCCCUUGUAUUUAUCUUCUUUUUAUUUGUGAGAGCAUCUUCUUUAUGCUUGCAAAACAAUUCAAGUGCACAUACUACCCCUAGGGUGAUGAUUGGGAGUAGAAACAAUUGCCAACAAAACAACACCACAUCCUAAGAUUCUUAACUUGUGGCAUAAUUAAUCUAGUGAAAAGAAAGAUAAAAACCUAAUGGGUGUACGUGAGUGCAAUGUGUAUAUGCAUAUGAGUGGAAGGCAUAUAAGCAAAGACAAUAUUUACACAUAGUUCUAAACACGAUGUUUACAGCUAGGUUGCUGAAUUUCUCCAUAGCUAUAGAGAUUAAUUAACCAAGGUCAAAACACGAUGUCUAUCCCAAGAUCAGUAAUUCUUUAUAGCACAAGAAAAAGAAAGCGCAUUGCAAAGUUUAUAAACCAACCAAUACAGCAUGAAAACAAGAUGAAUAGCUAGCAAGGUUUAUUAAAUUGAAUGAUGACGGUCUGCAAGCAAGUUUGAACACCAUCUUUACACAAGAUUGCAAAUGGAAAAUGCCCAUAUGAAGCACUAACAUGGAUAUGAAAUCAUUCAUCAUAAAGCGUAAAGAACAACCAAGUAGUUUUUAAUGGCAUAUACAUGUAUAAUAUAGUUUAGGUGCUAAAAUUGAUAUUCACAGCUAUUUUGGGCUCCAAUUCGCGUCCAAACCAACCUAGCCCACAGACCACACCCGGCCGGCCAGCUCAUCGGCCCAUCUAGUCACUGAUCCUUCCACCACCACACUCAGCCCAUCAGUCGGUCAGGUCCCGAGCUCCUGCCUGACCUAGUCCGCUACCGCCGCCAGGCGCCAAGCACAGCCGUACGCACUGCACCGCCCCCGUCCACCCAUGUCCGCUGCGCGGCAAAGCCGCGCCCCCCAGCCCCCGCGGUGAGAUCUCGACGCCCGCUGCCGCCAGACCCCAUUAGGCCUCCACCGGCAAGUCCACCCACAGUCCCACACGACCUAGUCCGCUNNNNNNNNNNNNNNNNNNNNNNNNNNNNNNNNNNNNNNNNNNNNNNNNNNNNNNNNNNNNNNNNNNNNNNNNNNNNNNNNNNNNNNNNNNNNNNNNNNNNNNNNNNNNNNNNNNNNNNNNNNNNNNNNNNNNNNNNNNNNNNNNNNNNNNNNNNNNNNNNNNNNNNNNNNNNNNNNNNNNNNNNNNNNNNNNNNNNNNNNNNNNNNNNNNNNNNNNNNNNNNNNNNNNNNNNNNNNNNNNNNNNNNNNNNNNNNNNNNNNNNNNNNNNNNNNNCCCCCCCUCCACCAGGACUGCUUGUUGGCCCCCACCGCGAGGUAAUCAAAAUGGACGGCUCAAUCACUCAAUCUGUUGACAUGAUGCACACGGUUGCAAAAAUAGAUGUGUCAAAAUAGAUAUAUUGCUAAUUGCUAUAGAUGCAUACGGUUGACAUGAAGAAGUUAAAAAUGACAUUUGGUUCCUUGUAGGCAGUCAAAAAUGAAGUCAAAAAAUAUUGAUCUGAAAUCAAUGUGGGAAAGGGCUACGAAGACACACAGAUUCCCUUGUGAACUUUUUAUGUCAUUCGUCUAAAUAUUUUUUUGCAAUGGGCAUACCCUACUCUGAAAUCCUGGGUCUGCCACUGAUGAUGAUGGUCUAAACAUAAAACAAGCCAAGAUUAAUUAGCCACAACUGAAAUUAAACAAAGGUUAAUGUCAUUGACCCUAGCUCUAUCCUAGCUUUUACAAAAGUCCCGGCACAUAUAGUGGUUGGGCCCACUCUCUCUGCUUCCCUCUCUGCUGCAUGCAUGCACACGAGCAACGGGAGGCCCCACAAAGCCCAGAAGGGUUCGGCUGAACCCGGCCGAUCCAAUCUGAGCACCACUCCCUCCCAGCCUUCGCGCAGAUGCUCCUCCAACAUUCCUUGACCCCUCCCUCAGCGUCCCAUUGGGUUUAACAUUGCAGGAGAGGAGUCCCUUUUUUAAAAUCUCAACCACCUCCUCUCCUCAUUCACUCCACUCUCAUCUCCAUCAAACUCACCAAGAUCCACAUCGGAAAUCCCUGCUUACCACCAUGGCUGGCAAAGCCCUCGUCCCUUUCACCAACUUGGGCUUAACCAUUGAUCUCGAUGGGGAAAUCACUCCGGAAAUAGGGCAGUGACCCAGAGCAAAGGUGAUGCCAGAGUGUAGAUAGCAGUUAGCAUGCCAAAUUGUGAACCGCAAGCGCUCGGAUUAGUUGUUUUUUUUCCCUUAGAGAUUCCCCCAAGGUUUAUCAAUCCAUGGAACAAGGGAUUUGCACAUUUCACUAAGCAUUAAUCAAUGUAAUUGAAAGCUUUUUGAAUAAGAUAUGAUUAUGCUAACAAAGGAACUAAGCAAUCUAGAUUAAGAUGGAUAGAGAGUAAAGGUUGUGAACAAGAUAGAUUAAACGCUUAUAGAUGCAAUCACCAUGCAUGAAUGAAUUAGAUCUAGGUGUUAUUGUGAGUGGUUGUGAACCAUACCCCAACACUUUCCCACCCGCAACAUUGUCACUACAUGUGGGUACUCAACUAUCGAAACAUAAGAACACAUCAAGAUGAUCAUUCUAGGUAAGCAAAUAAGCAACCCAAAGUAGCGCUGGCCAGCCUUUUCAUGAAAGAGCAUCAUCAAGAUAAGAUUGAUAACAAAAUAGAUCUCAACCAAAGGUUCAGCGAUUACAAAUCAAGAUCUCCGUAUAACCCCGAUGACAAAUAGAGGUAUUACCCCCAUGAUCUUACACAUGUUGAUGAAUUUUAGGGUAAAGGACGCCCUGUAGAUCAACUGGACCAAAGAUGAUGAUGAACAGGGGCAGGGAAGGCCCAGGCUGAUCAGCCUGGGCACUUUUGAGCCGAUCAGCUUAGGGAGUUUCCUCCUCCCCUGGUGCUCCUCUUCGCGUGGCCUCCUCUGGAUCCAAUCUUCUCUUCAUUUCUCCUACUUGUGGUGGCAAUGGAUGGUGUUUGCAUGGUGAUUUCCUCUUCUCCCCAACUCUCCCUCCUUGAAGUCCAUGAGGGGGUAUUAAUAGUCUCCAAUAUGCGGCAGCUCUGGGUCAAUGUCGGUGAAAAAACCCUAGAGAUCAUCGUACACUUCACGCUGAGGAAACAAGAGGUCGACCGAGCCCUGGGAUAGACCAAGAGGAUCAGCCUAGAGGGUCCCAGGCCAAUCGGUCUAGGCCCUUCCUAGCCCUUCUAGUCCUCUCCUUCCUCGUGCUGGCUUUUCUCGAUGACCCUUGUCCAAAUAUCCAUUAAGCUCUAUAUACAUACCCCCUUGAUUAUGUCGUAUUUCCUGUCAAAAUACAAUGCUCCAAAAUACAACACAUAUGCAAUAAUAGGGUUAUUUCAUGUGCCAAUUGGUGCGUUAGUAUACGAAUAAGCAUGAAAAUACUGGUUAAAUGACACUAAAAGUGUGUCAAUAACGAGCACCAACAAUCCCCCCACGCUUAGAUCUUGCUCGUCCUCGAGCAAGUCUAGCGACUAAAAGAUCUUGAAUUAAACAUGAGCAAGCGAGUCAAGUACCUAGCCUUGAAACAAAAGAUUAGAGGAGCAGCAAAGAUAAUCAAAGUCUGGGUGUUCAAAGAUUUAUCUAAGCAAAGAUUCCCCUACAACUAUUAUUCAGAACCAAGUAACUUCAAGAAUCAACUACACUUAUUUUCUGGCUUUUUUCAGAGGGUUUUUCUUUCAUCACAAAACAAUCUCCCUGCAACAAAAUUGAAAAAAGAAUUAUUUUCCAGGUGCUUACAUGUCGUUUAAAUGAAUGUUCGCUAUCCUACUUAUUUGCAAGCUCUCAUCUCUCAAAAUUCAUUCAAUUAUAUGGUGGAGCUUGGGUAAGGUUAGCUAGAAUCAACACGUAUAUUAUUGAAUUAAGAAAACCCUCUAACGGUAGCCUACCUUUCGAGCCAUUGAUCAUAAGAAUAUCCACAUAAUGUGAAGUUUUCAAGGAUGAGAAUAGAAUGGUGGACAUGUGCAAAGGAAAAGAAAUAUAGUGACUCUGAGGCACAAGCAAUGUCCUCGUCGUUGGAUUGCAUAUGGUUGGAAUGAAAAUCUGUUCCUUAAACAAGUCCAUCUUUUCUUUGCACCACUCUUGAUCUUCAUGACAGUAAAAACUCCUCCUUUAUUUCUUUCUCUCUUUUCCUAUUAUUUCUUUUUAUUUGUCUCAAUACUUUUCUUUCUUUAUUUCUUUAUUUUAAUCUCUUCUCCGAACCUCUUCUGAACACCACACAAUAAAAAUCAGUUUUAGAUCCUUCUAGAGACCUUCCAGGAAUUUGCUACAUGAAAACCGAGGCAAGGAGACCCCAGGCCGAUUGGCCUGGCCACUCCUUUGCUCUCCUCUAGCUCUUCUUUCUUGUGAAGCUUCCUUAUCUUGUAUCUUUCCAAAAAUUUCAUAAAGCUCAACUAGAAACGGAACACAUCUUCAUAUAAUGAGUUGUGUUCAAGGAAUUGGUAAUAAAAUUGAGAAAUUUGUGGUUCGGGUUUACGAAUUCAGUACAAAAAUAUGAUUAUUCCAAUGAAGAACUCUCAUUACUGAAUAUUGACGAGGCAAGCAUUCAAAGAUGGUAAAAAGGAUAUGAUCAAUUCUCAGAAUUAAAGCAAACCAAGAGAGAGCGAUCCUAAUUCAAUUCAAAGUGUCAAAUGUUGCUUAUGGUGGUAUGAAUAAAUAUUUUUAGGCAUUGGGUAGGAUAAAUAAAAACUCUCAACCUGGUUAAAAGAUAUUGAUCAAUCUUGUUUUUGCAGAGGUUUUAAAUAAAAAAUAAAAUUUUAAAUCACCUCCAAUUCAAAGCCUUACUCAUAAAUCAUAAUCAAAACUGAAGCACUUGAUCAUCAUAAAGCAUGGGUAUUGCAUAAACAAAUCGAUUACUAAAACUCCACAACUACGAUUUAGAAUUCAAGACAAUGCUCAUAAUCUAAAGUUGCAAAGACAAAAUAAAAGACAAGCAAGCCAAGGUAGACACUAAAAACACUUGCACGAUCCUUGAAUUUUAUUCAUGCUUCUUCUCACAAAGACGCUAAAGUAGCCAUGUAGGCCUAAGUCUUCCCAAAAGCUUAAGAAGACUACUACUUUAUCUACUUUUGGUUGAAAUAAAAAUACUAAUCUAGACUCUCACAUGAUUCGACUCGACCAAACUAGAUCCAAAAACUCAUACGAGCGACAAUCUCCCCCCCCCCUCUCAAAUCUACGACCUCCUCGUGGUAACCAUAUGGAGUACAAGGAAAAGACGCUUGUAAACGCACUAAUGACGCUACCCGGACUACUUGCACACGGAAUGGUUGUUGUUUCCUUUGCUUUGUUCUUCGUCAUGUUGCUGCACAUCCCGAAGAGCUUCCUCACGUUCCUCUGCAAGAACUUGAACUUGAACUUGUCCUCCUGACGGCAAUCAUUAUCUUCUGCCUUUUGAUCCAGAGCUUGUAAGGCUUGCAUGAUGUCAUCGAACGCAUCGAAGAGGUAGUGGAUGUUCUUCCUGCAAGCUGUGGAACAUGUACGAUCAUGCUCCUACGAUUCUGGCCCGUCGUCUUCUAGAUCCUCCUCUUUGCCCUUGUCUUGACGGUGGCCAUCUUGCUCCUUGCUCGUCUUCUUGCCUUCAGCCCGAUCCCAGUACGUGUUGUCAUCUUCUUCAUCGUCACGGCCUGCAGCACCCUAUGAUCCAUUGUCUAUCUUGUAUGAAAGAAUCAGAAGCUUGUUCUCCUCAGGGUGUCUUGCGCGGUGCAGCGUUUGCAAGUGCAAGGCUUGCUAGUUCUUUUUACACAUUGUAAUGUUCAUUGCAUGCUCUAAUUGUUCUACAUUUGUAAUUUCUUGGUGAAGUUUGGUUACUGAUCCACUGUUUGAUUAACUCUUGGGCCCAAACACUGUACUACUUCUGAUUAGAUAUCUGUAUCUUAACUUUGACCAAAAAAAAUAUCCGGCAGUUUUUGCCAUUAAAGUUUCAUAAAUCAUCUUGCAAAAAUCGUACUAUACAACAAGGGACGGUUUAUUAUAAAAUAUACGUUCCCCUUAUCACAUGCCACUUCCACUCAAAAGGCAACGAAUCAGUUUUCAAUCCUGAGUGAGCAAUUUGCUUUUAUUACCGAUGCCUCCUAUUCCCUUGUGCACCAAGUUCAUUUUGGAUAGGACUGCAAAAAGCGACUAACCAGCUCGGAUUCUCCACCUGCAAAACCGCAUCUGCAGCAACCAACCCCACGCGGUGGAAAAAAAAACAAAACCCAGAAACCGGACGGGGGUGGAUGUGGGGCUCGGAGCCCAAGCAAAAAAAAGGAUCGGGAGCGCCGGAGCAGGCCAUCACCGGAUGUUAGAGAUAGAAAAUGGUUGAAGUUGGAGUGGAAAUCAAACAAGCCUUGGAGCAAAGGAAAAAAAAGAUCAAACCACUCAAGCAUUCAUUUGAUUUAGAAAAGAGAACAUUUGUUAAGGUGGGGAGUUGAAAUCAUCUUUUAAUUAGUUCCACGUAUCUGGUAUCAUUACAGUUGGUUUACUUGUGUAAGUAUAUAAGUAGCUCUGCCGAAGCCUUUGCUCCUAUAAUUUAGUAACUAGUACAAAUGGAUCAUUAGGAAAAUCAAGUUGCAAUCAUUUCUCAGCCAACCAAACCUAUCUAAAUCAAAUUAUUGUCCAUGCCCGGCAUGCACAGGUGCCUGCCAUGCAUGCAUUGUUGCUCCAUUGUAAUAACCAUUAUUGUCCAUUGAUGUUCCAGCGCAUGUGUGCACUGUGCAGACACCAAGCAUCGAGAUUAUGUACUAGUAAGGUACCAAGAACACGUGAAGCACACGGGGGAGGCUGCUCCACUCGGCAUGCACAGGUGGGGCACGGCACCACUACUCGUCUCCUUCAGGCAGAGGACAAGUGAUGUACGCUGAUCAACCACUAGUAGAAAAACGACUUUCCAUCCGCCCCUUUUGUCCCGGUUUAAAGUUGGCCCGGGACAAAAGGUUCACCAACCGGGACUAAAACUCGGUCACUGGUGGGGGGCUCACCAACCGGGACCUUUUAUCCCGGUUGCAAAGGCUAGUGGGAAAAAAAGACUCUGAGAGGCCUUUUAUCCCGGUUUGAAACACCAACCGGAAUAAAAGGUGGUCUUUUAUCCCGGUUGGUGUUUCCAACCGGGAUAAAAGGGUCCCCCACGAGUUAAUACAAAAGGAUAGUAUCCCCUAUAUAGUCAGAUGUGGUGUGUAGGUGGGAUGGCAAGGAAGCUACGCGCGAGGCUGGAGGUUGUGGGUUUGAAUCCCACGAACCGCGCACCCCCACCACGGCAAACGGAGGUGAUGGCGGAAGGUGAGGCAACGACAGUAGCUGGUGAGCUCCCGCUCCAAUGUCUCGCGAGUGAAGGAGGAGGAGGUGGCAUGGGAAUCGAAGAGGAGGCCGCCGCUGGCGGGUUUAGACUACGUGGAUGUGUGGGUAGGGUUAAGGUGACGGUGUGGACUAGUAUAUAUAAGAUGUCUGGGCUUGUUAGAAUAAGAUAACAUUCUAACCGGCCAAAUUCGGACCCGGUUAGAUUAAAUUGAUAUUCUAACCGGUCCUAUUUCUAGGUGGUAAGAAUAAGUUAACAUUGUAAUUGGCUUUAUUUGGAACCCGAUUGAAUCUUCUUGUUAUUCAAAAAAACAUCAAGUUCAUCAAUUUUAAUCCAGAAAAACAUCAAGAUAAUUUAAGCACGAUAUAUAACAAGAUUAAUAAAUUUAAUAAUUGUUUGAUCCACAAAUUAACGAUAUUUAACAAAUUCAAAAAAUCCAAAUUAACAGAACACAAUAACCAAUUGUUCGAAAAAAUCAAAAUAAUCCACACACAUUAAUAUAUUACAAAUUCAGAAAUAUAUCAAAAUAAUCCCCGAUCCACUCGAUACCGUCAUAGGACUUUUAAAUACUGAGCUUCUUGAUUCGUCUGAGGUCCACGUACUCGUCUCAGUAACACUAGUGAUGGCCAUGCAUCUUGUAGAUGUCUUCUAACGAAUCAAGCUUGACGUACAAGGUCAUGCCUUCCGCUCCUUGAGGAUAACCAUCUUUGGUGAUCUUGAAAUGGCAGACGGUGGAUGUGCCAAAGGUACGUAACGAUCCUUCUAAAUGUAUGCCACCACAACUUCCGUCUGAUCGCCAUGGGUGACACCAAGAAGAGCUACCAUGCGGCAAGGGACGAACAAUUUAUCAAUUAGUGCCGCUGUCCAUUCGCCAUCAUCUAAUCCAGCCAUAUCUUGAUGUAUAUUUAAGUAUAGAAAUUAAGAUUUAAAAAUAAACAGAAUAAAUUGAGAUCGACUAUGUAUGUAUAUCAGAACAUUAGCUUUUGGAAAAAGGGCUUCGAUGGAAGAGAGGCACGGGGCAUAGAGACAACAACGAGUGACAAUAUGUCAGAAGAAUACCCGAUCACAAUUAUUGGCUACAGGACGGGCACACACAGCCGAUAUUUACAGUAGUCAAUACCCCUGGUAAAUAACCACACCAUCAAGAGUAAAUAGUGACAAUAUGCAGUAUAUACACGACAUAGCCUUGGUUGCCGUGGAAGCGCCAGAAGGGAGACAAAUAACAGGGACCACAACAUCAAGUAGAUAGUGACAAUAUGCAGAAGAAUACCCGCGCCUGUUAGCAUGUGUGAACUGACCACACCACGAAACGUGAUACACGGCAAGCGUACCAAGGCCUUGCUGUGCAGACUAUGCAUGGACAACACAUGGUACCUGACCGCUUUUGGCCUCAGACACAUCGAAAAACUGCAUCGUUCCACGUUGUACAUCCAUUGCUAGUUUAUCUAUAUUACAUAAUAUAUUAUUAGCUAUUUGAAUAGAAUGAACCAAUUAAAAAAUUGCGUUGUAUUUUAGUACCGGCUGCAGGAUGGUGUUACCAACCAGUACUAAUUGGCCUGUAGGAGUGAUGGUUAUUAGACUUGGUACUGUUGUUAGCAUCAUUAACCUAAUUGUGCGCGGUAUGAAUUUGGGGAUGCAAAGCUAGCUCUCUAUGAAUGUGAGGGAUGGAAAGCUAGUUCUCUAGUAGUAAUUAGCUAUAUAUAUAUGUCAGUCAAGAAAUCGAACACUAUGCUGCUACGAGUCACCAUCAUUUCCUUCAUUGACAAUCUGACAUAGGUGAAGCUGCUUCAAGAAUUUCCUUCGCGCAGUCGUGGAGCUUAUUGGAUUAUCACCAGGACGGGACACGGAAAUGGCCAGCAAUGAAGCUGAUUGCCGUCUGAGGAAGAUUACAUACUUACCUAUGAAAUGAAGCGAUUGCAUAGACUAAUGAAGCAUUGCAUAUUUGCAUGUGAGUGUGGCAGAUAAUUCUGCAGGACAUGAUUGCAAUCCACGCACCAUCGAGAAGACUGGGGCGAUGGGGUUGCCUCAUCAAUAAUCACGUGGAUGCAUGCAUGCAUGUUCCCGCAACCGGACAAGGGUCUGAUAUAUGGCUAUAGUAUUACUGAGCCCACAUCAAUAAUUUCCGCUGGUGUAUCGUGUGGGAAGAAUCAACAUACUACACCUCGAGUUCUUGGAACUAACUGACGUUCACAUGCAACCUCCACAAGGUGCUGUAUAUAUGCUUUUGACAUUCACCUGCCAGUUCGUGUAGAGGACACCCUAACGUAUGGUUAAUAUUAUCCAUUUCAUGAGUAAAAUACUGUGAUUCAAAAAUACUUCAAAUCCCUUGAGACAAUACUUCUCACUUGACUAACCACUAACCAACCCCGAAACCCUAACUCAACUCCGAACCCUAACACCUAACGGCAUAACCACUCCGUUUUGCCAGCCAGAUGGAGGAACUGGCUGGGAGGGAGAGAGGGCAGCGGUCCAGGGUUGAAAACGACGGGCGAGCGCAGUAACAUGUGGAGGAGGAAGUGCCACGUAUUCGUUCACCGCUAUUGGGCAGCGACACACAACACGCCCAAUAAGAUUUUCGCACGGUAGAAGGGCGCCAUGUAUUCAAUAAUGUUAUUGGUCCUCCAUGUGCAGAAGGGCGCGUAUGGAAUAACAAGUAGGGACACUGCAACUAAUCUACUCUGCUCGUCCAGUCCCUAGCCUAUAAAUAGAUGCCAUGCUAGCUCUUGUUGUGCUCACAGUUAAUCCGAUUACACACGAGCUUCUCUCCCUGGCCAAGACACAAUCAUAGUAUGAUGAAGAACAUGGCACUAGCCGGCAAUGGUAUGAAGAAGUUAAUCCUCGCUGUUCUCUUACUGUGUCUAGUUAUAGGGCAGAUACAAGUGGAAGCUAAGAGCUGCUGCCCAUCCACCACUGCAAGAAAUGUCUACAAUACCUGCCGUUUGACGGGUGCAUCCCGUCCAACGUGUGCAAAACUGUCAGGCUGCCAAAUUAUCAGCGGGAACAAAUGCAAGCCCCCUAACGACCACCUCACCCUUGACCCGGACACUGGUAAAUAAUAAAUUUAUCUCACUUGAUUUCUUUGUGUUUUGAGUCGUUAAUGUAUUUUCCAUCUGAUGAAACGCAUUGGUUUUGCAUUGAAGAGGAAGUUAAUGUGCUUAACUUCUGCAAGUUGGGGUGUGCGUCGUCUGUGUGCAACAACAUCAACGCUGGUAAGCACCUUUUGCUCAGACAGAGAAAACAAUAAUCAUUAAUUAGCGGCAGCUAGAAUCCUAUAAUCUAAUAUAUAUAUAUAAUUUUAUCAGCUCUGGGAAAUGAAGAGGCGAACGAUGCCGUUGAGAGUUGCGACCAAGCCUGCUCUAGCUUCUGCAGCGUGCAUGUUGGCAGCGCCACCGUGGUUGCUUAAGCAAAUGCAUCCAACUAGAUCGUCCUUGUGCUGAAUAAUUGGAUAUCGUAUCCACUUAAAGCUGCCUUGUGUAGUACGUCUUUGUGUCUCUCUUUAUAUUCCAAUAAGGUCGGUGAUCUUGAUGCCACACACUCAGAUGUGUGUUCAUCUCCAGAUACUACUCCAUGCUACCUGCCCUUUGUGUUUUGUUCAAUAACUGGGUAUCAUAUCCCAACCAGUAUGCCGUCUGUUUUGUGUUUGUUUCCUUCUAGUUCCAAAAGGGUCAUCAUGAUGUUACCUUCUUUCAAUAUGGUGCUUUGCAUGACUACUGUUGUAUGGUACCAUCUUGUGGCCAAUAAGUACAUCUUAUCCUAUGACCCUUUGCUAUGACCCUUUGCAAAUAAGUAGAAGAUUGUUAUAAGCGUCAAUACUCAGUAUAAUUGAUCGCUGCUGUGAGUUCCCUUUCAGCUUAUCGUAGGCAUACAUUAUUGCUAGCACGGUAAAGCCAACCAACACGAAUGAUGAAGUAAACGUAGCGGUACUUCUGUAUACCAACACCCUUACUUAAAUGUACCGGUGUCAUUCCCUACUGGCACAUAUAUUCUUAUAUGCUAGCCAGCUUGUAAAAUUAACCAAUUAAAAUAAUUAUUUCAAGAUAGAAAUAACUUAUCGGCUUCUGGAAGCAUGUGUAAUGUGAAUUCAAGGACUCGACGGAAGUUGAAUCACUUCAUCUAUAUUGCUUUCAGGAUUUUGGGUAACUAAAUUUAACAUUUGCACAUACAAAUGUUAAAGUACAAAUGUUAAAUCUAGUUACCCAAGCAGAAUAUGAAGAUAGUUUAUAGUAUAUAUAUACUAUAAAUAUACUAUAUAAAUCUAGUUAACAUUUAGUCUAAAUGUUAAAUCUAGUUACCUAAAAUCCUGAAAGCAAAAUGUAUAAAUAUAUAUCUUUUAAGGCAGUAUAAGCUUCGAUUCCUAUUGCUGCUCUGUUAAAUCUCAUCUUUCGUUGUGGCCCAACACUCUAGUAUGCAUGUUGCACCAAGCUUCUUUGAGCCGCUCUGCCCUCUGAUUUUGCUGUGUAGGGGAAUCUUUAUCAGGUUGGGCUACUUCCAGUUGUGCGAUGUAAAGAUUCGUAUUUUCUAGAAGGUAGACAAAAAACUCGCGUUCUCUUAAGGCAACAACCGGAAGAUUCUGCAGCGCAUAGGGCAUACCAUUAUUGUAGAAACGACCUUUAGUACCGAUCUCCAACCCCCUUUAAAACUGGUUUUGCAACCGGUACCGUUAUGUCGGUCCUUUAGUACCAGAUCAAAUAACCGGUACUAAAAGAGUCAACUAAAAGGACUCUUUUAGUACCGGUUGGUAACCAGUAUCAACUUGUUUUGUGGCCAAAAAAAUAAAGAAAAAAACAGUCAGAAGGCUCGCACACACGCGCAUCACAUGAAAUAUGCGUGUGCGGGGUCCAUGGGAUUCGAACCCAUGAAAUCAAGCUACGCGCGACCCUUCGUUACCAUCUCACCUGAAGUAACCCGUGGAGGAGGCUUUAGUACCGGGUCAUAACACCACCCGGUACUAAAAGUGACUCUUCAGUACCGGGUCAUAACACCACCCGGUACUAGUAUCGGAUGGUGUAAUGACCCGAUACUAAAAGGCCUCUAGGGACCCUCAAAUUUGAACCCGGUACUAAUGCUAAUAUUAGUACCGGGUCAAAGUGCAGCCAGAACUAAAGCAUGGGAUGAAAGGUCAUAUUUCUAGUAGUGUAUAGUUGUUGUGAAGGACUUACUUGGCUGUCCUCUCUCUUCUCCAUCCCCUUGGUCUUACGCCGCCGCUCGCACGCGAGCUGGUGCCCAACCAGAGGAGUGAGAGCUAGGGGCAGGUUGGGAGGUGGGGAUAGCGACUGGUGGCCAGGGUGAUGGUUGAUCCUGGCGGGGUUAGGGUUUUAGGGUUUUCGAGCUUCCUAUGGUCGGCGAACCUAGAGGAGGAGCUCAACAUCAGCUGCAACCCGCGAUGGUGGUGGUUUGGCCAGCGCCCGAGGCGAGGCAGCGCGGGAGUGCUGCCGGUGGGUUGGUGUUGGCACUCAUUAUUGACAACUAUUUUGUUCAUAAAAUAACACUCAAACUUGCUGCUGCUGCCGCCGCCAUCGCCACCCUAGCCAUAAUAUAAAGGCAAAAUUUGCUAAAGGACAUGCAAAAUGAUGCUAGUUUGCUGGCGGGCAUCGUUGACCUUGUAAUAUGCUACAAGACACUCUAGUUGUGUAUCAAUUUGCUGAAAGACAUUGCUAUGACUAAAAUAAUGUUUCUGGACUGAGUUGGAGAGAGAGAUGGAGUGAAAUGUCUGUUUUGCCCAUGACCCCACUGGUCAGAUCCUUCUUCUUCCACCCUCCUUUGUUCUUUCUUCAACCAUUACCCAGCUCCAGCGUGUUGCAGAUCUACGAGGGUGGCGGCCUGGGGCGAGGGGCAUUGCUCGCCCUCGGAGGAGCGCUGCGAGCGACGGCGCGGGGGCGGCAACCGCGCGUCAGAACCUGACUGUUCGUUAGCUCCUCUCGCUGCUGGGGAAGAAGGAGGGGGAUGGGCCAUGGACGGGGUUCCCUUGAAAACCUCAGCGUCGAGCUCGGGCGGCUACGCGCAGGCAGCACUAGGCUGCUUCACGGGGAGGGGGCGCGGCCAAUCAUUGGCACCCCACUGGUCCAAUGCUGAUGAAGAUGGUGCCAGCGUCGUGUGAGGACAUCUCAUCUCCUCGAGUUCCAUGGCCAGCACAGGUGAGCUGCCGCUACCACAAAACAGAGAUUUCGUGAGAGUCAAAAAACCUUAUGAAAAUAGCUAAAACCAUCAUGAAAAUAAUCCGUGACAUGACACUCUCACGAAAAUCCUCUCACAAAUAUGGUGCCAUGAAAAUACCAUUUUCAUGAGAGUGAACUGUCAUGAUUUUAUUUCGUGAGAGUAUUUCCUAUCAAUGACCUCCACGAAAUACUUUGUGCCACCAGGUCUUCAAGAUCAUUUUCAUGAGAGCUGAACAUCAGGAAAAGUCCGCCACAAAUGUUUUUCUUGGAGCCUCUAACUCUCAUGAAAAUCAUGCGGGCCGCCACGAAAAACAGCAUGACCAAAUGACAAAUUUUAUUUUCAUGUGUUCAUACCGUGAAAAUGGUCAUUUUCAUGAGAGUUGAUGAAACAAAAAAUAGUGCCAUUUUCAUGAGAGUUCAAGCAACCAGGAAAAGACACUAAUAAACAUCCAGAUCCCAUCCAGCACACAUCCAUGCACACAUAUAACCCACAUAUUGCUCCAGCACACAUCCAUGCAUAUACAAGAUCCAAAUGUUAAUAUAGUAGACAUCCAUGCCUGAACUAGUCUGCCACACAAGUCAUUGAUGCUACAAAUCCUACAAUCGCAGCAUGUGCAUACAAGUCACAGAAUGAGACAAUGUACCCAAAACUAAAAGGUUAGCAUCAACUGUGCUUCAACCAAAGUUGUCAUCCCAACUCUCCUCUUCAUCCAUGCCAUUCUUGUCAUGGCCGUCACUGUCAGUCCCCAUGGCAUUGCCAAUGCUGUGCAUGUCUUGGUAGGAACCUACAUGUGAUGAACCAGUAACCUGCAAAAAGAACUCAAAGGAUCUUGUUCUCAUAUUGUUCUCAUAUUGUAGCUGUGAAAUUCUUACAAGUAGUGUUGCAAUCAGUUCACUUUGAACCAAAAGAGCUCAAAGGAUCUUGUCCUAAAAGUUCCUCAUAAAGCUUAUGGGUUUGCUGGUGGAACUGGAAGGGCUUGAUGCAGCAGAUGCCAUUCUGCAAUAGAGAAAAAUUUAGAGAGCAGUAAUAGUUAAAAUUGGAUGCAGCAGAUACACAUGAAACUAGUAUUUAUACAAGUCUAUACAAUUAAAAUCUAAGGAGACUUAUCAUCGUUUUCAUGUGUUGCGAAUUAAAAUAAUGAAGGAUACACUGUUAGGUGAAAAUUCAAGAAACAAAAUUUUGCAUAGAGAUAAAGGUCCAACAUUAUUACAAGUUAAGGUAGUUUUAAAUAUCCUUGUAAUCUUCCUUUGGUUUCCUCAACGAUUCGAAGACAAUAACCUUGCUUCUAUCAAUGAUAAUUAUAAGGAGAAUCCAGUGGAAACUGUGUAUUCAUAUUAGAACUACCUAAGGUUAAUUAGGUUAGGAAAGGAAAUCGAAAAUAGAUGGUACCCACACUUACUUAAAGUUGUCGGGCAAUAGUAUGUAAUGCUUGUAAUUCCGUUGCUCCAAGAAUUUGUAUAUGUGGUCCAAUGUAGACUUUGGUUGAUCCCGUAUCUGCUGUUGGUUAAAUAAGUGUUUCUAGCCAUUUCUAGCCAUUAGAACUGGGACUAAAGGGGGCUCUUUAGUACGGGUUGAUAUUACUAACCGGGAUUAAAGAGCCCCCAUUAGAGUUGGUUUUUGGAUGCGGAACUAACAACUCCUUUAGUCCUGAGUACGAAAACGACUGAGAUAUUUGUUGCUUGGUUGAAGGUCCUUUCUCUACCGUGAAUAUUGCCAGAAAGAAUUGAAAGAGACUGCUUGCUAAAAAUAUGUCAUAGAUGUAGACCAAGCUACCAAGGAGGUAGCACUAGUAGAGAAUUGACUUUCGAGCCGCCCCCUUUUAUCCCGGUUUAAAGUUGGCCCAGGACAAAAGGGGGUGCGCCGGGGUGCGGAAAUUUGGAGGGGAGCAUUACUCCCGGUUGGUAAUUGCAACCGGGACUAAAGGCCCCCCUUUAGUCCCGGUUGCAACGGCUAGCUGGGGGGCAUCGGUGGCCGGACCCUUUUAUCCCGGUUGGAUCCUCCAACCGGGAUAAAAGGGACUCCCUUUUAUCCCGUUGGAGGAACCAACUGCGAUAAAAAGUUUAGUCCCGGUUGGUGCCUCCAACCGGGAUAAAAGGGUGUCCCUUUUAUCCCGGUUGGAGGAUCCAACCGGGACUAAACUUCCAACCGGGACAAAAGGUGUUUCCUUUUGUCUCGGUUGGAGUUUUUAACCGGGAUAAAAACUCAUCCCCCACUAUGUCCCGAGACAUAGACUUUCUUCUUCCUCCAGCCCGAGCCAGUCCAGCACAUUGAUAGAGAGCUGAGCUUCACCUACUCUCCGGUGGUGCCAAAGCAAGGGAGGUGCUGCCCGAAGUUUUUUCCCUCAUUUUCGUGGGAAUUUGACUCAGCCAACACAAGUGUUGCGAAGGUUUGCUACUUCAUCCUCGUGUUAUGCUUUGAUUUAUGCUUUGGAGAUGGAAAGAUUAUUUGCUACAAUGUGAUGAUGAAGUAGAAAAAUGGAGAGGUAUUUUGAGCUAGAAUGUGAGGGAGAUUGAUGUGUCAUAUAUAGUAUGCAUUAUUUCAGUGGUUUAAAAAUGAUGCUACCUUGUCUAGACGGUUUAUCUUAUCAAAUUCAAUAUGGUUUUUUAAAUCCAUAUACUUGUUGAACUUGCAUACCGUGUUCAUUUCGGCGAGAAUGUUCUCCGCCGAGCAGCAACGUAUGUCAAGAAGGAGGUUCGAUUCUACGAGAAAGAGUGGAUACGGACAUCGUGACCAUGUCCCCUUUUCCGUAGCAUCUAACCUCUUUCAUGACGAAGUGCGGUGCCACCCAGCUGAGGACAUCCUCGCGAAAUGAACACGGUCUUCAAGUUCAACAACUUCUGUAGUGGUAAGGAAAGAAUUUUUGUACAUAGAUGACUUCUGCUACUUGUUGAACUUGCAUACCGUGUUCAUCUCUCCGAGGAUGUUUUCCGCCGAGCAGCAACGUAUGUCAAGAAGGAGGUUUGAUUCUACGAGAAAGAGUGGAUACGGACAUCGUGACCGUGUCCCUUUUUCCGUAGCAUCUAACCUCUUUCAUGACGAAUACCGGUCCCGCCUAGUUGAGGACAUCCUCGCGAGAUGAUCACGGUCUUGAAGUUGAACAACUUAUGCAGUGUUAAGAUGAUCACGAUCUUUAAUCGAUUUUCACGCGUAAUCCAUUAUCAAGUGUAAUCCAUUUUCAUGCGUAAUACGAUGCAGAUGGACUAGCAAUGGAUGUAUAAUGCAGACAGGCGGAGCAAGGCGUUUAUUGAUGGCUUGCAUUAUUUUCUCGAAGUGGCAAAAGCGAACAAGCCAGAGAAUGGGUUCGUAUGUUGUCCAUGCUUCCAAUGCAAUAACAGGAAGGAGUAUUCAAACGAUUCCUGGGGGACUAUUCACAGCCACUUGUUUAAAUACGGUUUCAUGCCUAACUAUUUGGUUUGGACCAAGCACGGUAAACUAGGGGUUGUAAUGGAAGAUGGCGAGGAGGAGGAGGAAGAUGACACCAUUCCGGACUGGGUUGCAGGCCAAGCUUUUGCAGGUACUACAAUGGGCGAGGCUGAUGAAGAUGAGUUUGCAGAAAAUGACCCUACUGAUGACCUUGGUCAGGUGAUACAAGAUGCAUACAGAGAUUGCGAAACUGAGAAGGAAGCAGCAAAGUUGCAGCGCAUGAUAGAUGAUCACCAAAAAUUGUUGUACCGAGGUUGCCAGCAGGACCAUAAAAAACUAGGUACGACACUAGAAUUUGUGCAAUGGAAGGCAAAAAAUGGUGUGUCCGAUAAGGCAUUUCAGGGGAUGUUGAACAUUGUCAAGAAGAUUCUCCCCGAGAAUAAUGAAUUACCGUCCACAACAUAUGAAGCUAAACAGAUUAUUUGUCCUCUUGGAUUGGAUGUUCAGAAGAUACACGCAUGCCCUAAUGACUGUAUCCUCUAUCGUGGUGAUGAAUACGAGAAAUUGGAUGCUUGUCCCGUCUGCGAAGCCCUGCGGUAUAAGAUCAGGCGAGAUGAUCCUGGUGAUGUCGAGGGGCAGUCUCCCAAGAAGAGAGUUCCCGCGAAGGUGAUGUGGUAUUUCCCUAUAAUACCACGCUUGAAGCGCUUGUUCAGGAACAAGGCGAAUGCUAAGUUGAUGCGAUGGCACAAAGAAGACCGUAAGGAAGAUGAGAUGCUGAGACACCCCGCAGAUGGGGCACAGUGGAGAUCAAUUGAUAGAAAAUUCCCAGACUUUGAAAGUGAAGCAAGGAACAUAAGGUUUGGUUUAAGCACUGAUGGAUUCAAUUCAUUGGGUGAGUUGAGUAGUGGUCAUAGUACUUGGCCUGUGACCCUUUGUAUGUUCAACCUUCCUCCUUGGCUGUGCAUGAAGCGGAAGUUCAUUAUGAUGCCGGCGCUAAUCCAAGGCCCAAAACAACCCGGCAACGACAUUGACGUGUACCUAAGGCCGUUGGUUGAUAACCUUUUACAGCUCUGGAAGGAAGAAGGUGUACGUGUGUGGGAUGAGGAUAGACAAGAGAUCUUUAAUCUACGAGCACUGUUGUUCGUAACCAUCAACGAUUGGCCUGCAUUGAGUAACCUUUCAGGACAGACAAAUAAGGGAUAUCGGGCAUGCACCCACUGUUUAGACGACACAGACAGCAUGUACUUGAAGCACUGUAAGAAGGUCGUCUAUAUGGGUCAUCGUCGAUUUCUCCCUGCUCACCACCAGCUGAGAAAGAGCGGGAUGCAUUUCAAAGGGGCGCCAGACCAUCGUAAAAAACCUGCACACCGUAAUGGAAAGCGUGUGUUUGAGAUGAUGAAGGAUGUAUAUGUAGUCUUCGGAAAGGGACUUGGUAGCCAACCUGUUCCGAACGACGAUAACGGACAUGCACCCAUGUGGAAGAAAAAGUCAAUAUUUUGGGAGCUACCUUAUUGGGAAAUCCUAGAGGUUCGCAACGCAAUAGACGUGAUGCACCUGACGAAGAAUCUUUGCGUGAACGUGCUAGGCUUCAUGGGUGUUUAUGGAACCUCAAAAGAUACAUUGGAAGCACGACAGGACCUGAAAGCCAUGGGGCAACGAGAUGACCUACAUCCGGAAAAGAGAGAUAAUGGACAGCACUACUUACGUCCUGCCAGUUACACUCUCAGCAAGGAAGAGAAGGAUAGCAUGUUUGAAUGCUUGAAUAGUAUGAAGGUCCCGUCUGGGUACUCCUCGAAUAUAAAGGGAAUAAUAAAUAUGAAACAAAAGAAGUUUACAAAUCUCAAGGCUCAUGACUGCCACAUGUUGAUGACCCAGUUGCUUCCGGUUGCACUGAGGGGUGUUCUACCAGAAAAUGUCCGGUUGCCGCUCGUAAAGCUAUGCGCGUUUCUCAAUGCGAUUUCGCAGAAGGCAAUCGAUCCAUCCAAGCUAUCAAAGCUACAGAACGAUGUGGUGCAAUGUCUUGUCAGUUUUGAGUUGUUAUUUCCACCAUCCUUCUUCAAUAUUAUGACGCACUUACUGGUUCACCUAGUAAAAGAGAUUGGUAUUCUCGGACCUGUAUACCUGCACAAUAUGUGGCCUUUCGAGAGGUGCAUGGCAGUCCUAAAAAACUAUGUUCUUAAUCGUGCCCGUCCAGAAGGAAGCAUCGCCAGGGGAUAUGGAACAGAGGAGGUGAUCGAGUUUUGUGUUGAUUUUAUUGAUUCAAUUGACUCGAUUGGGGUUCCAACUUCACGCCACGAGGGGAGGCUCCGAGGAAUGGGCACCAUUGGAAGGAAAUCAAGUUUGAGCAAUGAUACUGAUUUGUUCGACAAGGCACACUACACUGUUCUACAACAGUCAUCCUUUGUGUCUCCGUAUAUCGAGCAGCACAGGCAGAUGGUAGCUUCCAAAAACCCGACCAAAUCCGAUGCUUGGCUUACCCGUCAUCACAUGGAAACUUUUCCCUCCUGGUUGCGCCAACAACUUAUGGGUAACUCUGAGAUUCACCCACAGCUUGCCUGGUUAGCCAGGGGACCUACUACCACAAUCGUCGAAUUCCAAGGCUAUGAGAUAAAUGGUUACACAUUUUACACGAGAGCCAAGGACCAGAAAAGCACGAACCAGAAUAGUGGUGUCCGCAUAGAUGCCAUGGACAGAAAUAAUAGCAAGGAGUCGUAUUAUGGUUUCAUACAGGAGAUAUGGGAACUCGAAUACGGACCGCUGUACAUCCCUCUAUUUCUUUGCAAUUGGGUGAAGCUAACUGCCGUCACCAAAGAUCAGUACGGAAUGACAAUAGUAGAUCUGAGCAAGACUGGAUACAGUGAUGACCCAUUCGUACUUGCCAAUGAUGUGCAUCAGGUGUUCUAUGUGAAGGACAUGUGCAGCAAACCCAAGAGGAAUCCAGAAGAGACAUGGGAGCCAAAGUGCCACAUAGUUCUUCCAGGUAAAAGAAAAAUCGUGGGAGUCGAGGAUAAAACAGACCAAUCAGAUGAUUAUGAUCAGUUUGAUGGCAUGCCUCCAUUCGCCGUUGAAGUUGAUCCAAGCAUCCUGCUAUCCAAAGAAGAGGCUCCGUACUUACGCCGCGAUCAUGAUCAAGGAACUUUCGUGAAGAAGAAAUUUUACAACGUUGUAUUGUAAUGCGUUAAAUGUACAUGACCUUUGUGUAUUAAUUGAUACAAUUUGUAAUGUACCCUAUGUAUGAUUUCAUGUGUUAUUAAAUUUGUUAGGUGAAGAUUUUUUAGAUAAACAUGAACAUUGUUAACCACAUACUAACAUGGAUUUUUCUGCUGUUGACGUCGGAUUUCGUCAUCAGUAGAAUCGGCGCCAAAGAGGAAAGAAAUCGAAGGAGGACGGAUGGAAAUCGGCCAAAAGGUGUUACAGUGCGGAAUCGGUCAAGUGGCUUUUACUUCGCUUCAGAGUGAAUACGCCGGGUUCCCAAUCGGCAAUCCUUUGCUGAUAAGAAAUCGGCCGAUCAGGAAGGUGGACUAAGGUGGGCCUGUAUGGGCUUGGAAAGAUGGAAGGAUAAGGUGGAGUUCAGCCCAUGAAGCGUGGGGUAAUUAGUUUAGCUCGGAUUGUGCUUGUAGAUAUUUGUUUUCUGUUUAAAUUAGAGAUAGAGUCCUAGUCGGUUAAGAAGAUUAUUUGUACGGGGCUAUAAAUAGCUACCUUUGUAAAUCUGUAAAAAAAAAACAAUCAAUCAAUACAACAAGUUACUUUAUUCUUCGUACUUACUUUCGAGCAGGCGACUUCGCCAUCACUUUUCCUUCUCACGAGUUCGUGCGGGUUGGCAGGGCUGCAUCAUCUUGAUCUCCGGCCGAUUCUGUAAGUUCCGUUUAUCGAGUAAUAUCUAAGCUUUAACUUCCGGCGCAUCGCUGUUGUUUCGUUUAGAUUUUAUUCAUCAGUUAUCGAUAUCGACUAGAUUCAUAGGUUUUUACCUGUUCUCCUAGUUUUUAUCACCAGUUACCCCGCUAGGAAUCGGUAGUAUCGGCUUUCAUUACUUUCUGUUACCAAAUCCAUCUGUUGCCGAUUAGAUCUUUUCCUGGUGCUGUUACUACGUGCCUUGUACCGAUUACUUUAAUAUUUUUCUAUCUACAAGGCUACGGGGGUCGUGCUGUCUUGUAGCCGAUUUCUUUACCACAGUAAAUCGGCCGAUCUGCCGAUAAGCUCUCUCGAUCGGAAACUUAGCCGAUCGUAGUUACUGAUUUUGACACGUGUUCUUCCUUGCCAAUCAACAGGUCAGAUUGGCUGGCACGCCGCGCGAACCGCACCAGGGCAUUCACCCGAACAGGAGCUAAGCAGAUUCUCCCGGGUCGUGUGUCGGCCGCUGGGAUUCGGUUGACCGAUUUCUAGCGCCAACACACUUUUGGCACGCCCGGUGGGACCAUUACAACCGCUGUCUUGUCGAAAGCUGCUGAAGUCUCCGAAGAUAACGUCAUCGAAGUGACGGAGGCAGAUCUAAAGGACGACCAAAAAGAAGAUCUAAAUCAGUAUUUGGAGCAAGUCCGGAAAACUUGCUUGAAAUCCUUCAGUCGUUCCAGGAGCGGGGAAACUGUUAAAAAGUCUCCUUUCCCUACUCCCCGCCAGAUCACGAUUUCAGAAGAUUCGGACAAAAUGUCCGAUAUGAUUCAGCAAUCUCUUCAUCACGCCUUCAUCAACCAAUCCCCGGUACUUUCAAACAUGGUGCACAAUGCUGUUGUCAACUCUUUCGCCGGAGGUAUACCACAGGGGUACAGGGGGCCUACGUAUUUUCAGCCGAUUCCACCAAAUCAGGCUUAUCAGGCUUCACAGCCGAUCCAAUCCUCUGUCGGAGGAUCUGGUGCUUCUACGUCAUCAACUCCUUUGGGAUACGGCUCCACUGCACCACUCCCUCCAGUCAUUCCUUUACCCUGGGGGGCACCCUUAAACACGACCGGUUUGAAUCAAUCGGUCAGCCAAGGAAAUCCUCCGUUCCAGACACCCUCCCAAACGGCCACUCGGCCGAUCAUACCACCAUACCAGCCUAUCGCUCCGGAGGUCAACAAGACGUCAGAGCUCAUGCUAUAUGAUGGAACAAGUGGUUCAUACAAGCAGCCGUCCUUUACUACACCGCCGGCUUAUACUCAGAUACCACCUUUUCAUCAACCUCCUUUUAUUCAACCUCCGAUUUAUCAACAUGUGCCGAUUCCGCCGCCAAUUAUUCCCCAACAACAACCGGAUUGGACGGCGCAAAUCGCGGAGGUAAUGCAAGAACAAUUCGGACUGAAGCCGAAGGUGCAAACUUAUACCUACAGGACACCAUACCCAUCUACGUACGACUUGUUGCCGUUUCCCCAUCGGUACAAAGUCCCGGAUUUCACUAAAUUUUCCGGAAUAUAUGAUACUUCUACCGUGGAACAUGUGAAUAGAUUCAUCAUCCAAUGCGGAGAAGCAGCUACGCAAGAUGCCCUACGGGUACGGUUGUUCUCGUCAUCUUUGUCUGGAUCGGCUUUCCAAUGGUUCACCACUUUGCCACCAAACUCGAUUAUCACAUGGGCCGAUCUAGAGAGGCAGUUCCACAAGUACUUCUAUGCUGGAGUCCACGAAAUGAAGUUGUCUGAUUUAACUAGCCUCCGGCAACGAAGUGAUGAGCCGAUACCCUCGUACAUACAGAGGUUUCGGGAAAUCAGAAACAAAUGCUACUCCUUGGCUCUAACCGAUGCGCAGUUGGCCGAUAUAGCUUUCCAAGGCCUGCUGCCACACAUUAAGGAGAAAUAUGCUUCGCAAGAAUUCGAGAGCCUGAGCCAGAUUGUCCACCGAUUGUCCGGACAAGAGGUGCGUCCAUUCGAUCCAAGAAGGAAUUUCCAGAAGAAAGUGGCGUUCCUGGAAGAAUUAGAGGACGAGGAAGACGCCGACAUCGGACUUGCAGAGUGGAUUAAAGGAAAGAAGCCGAUAUCAUGCCCGUUCGGCAAAAAGGAGCCGGAAGCAUUUGGUUUCGAUACAACUAAAGCUGACAAAAUCUUUGAUCUUCUACUCCAGGAAGGACAAAUUAAACUCUCGCCUUACCACACGAUACCCUCUGCCGAACAAUUGAAGAAGAUGAAGUAUUGCAAGUGGCAUAACGCCACAUCACAUGAUACCAACGCCAUUGAGCAAGGCAGACUCAAAUUUGAAGUGCCGGCAAAACUGGCUAAACCUAUGAAGAUUGAUCAACACCCUUUUCCUACCAACAUGGUGGAUACGGGUAAGAAUCCCCUCCAAACAAAAGUGCUGACGUCCGAAUCGGCAAAAAGGAGCGGCUCUGUCGACCCCAGAAAUCAAGUUACACCCGAAGACAUCAAAGGGAAACGGCGAAUGGAGGACGACGAUGGUGAGUCUGAUAGACCACGUAUUACUUCCCAGUUCCUGCUCCAAAAGUACCAACGCCAACAUGAACGAUCGAGGUCCCGAGAGGAAGCAAUGCGUCGACACGAAGAACACUGGAGAUGCCCAUUCUUCAUCCAUUGUUGGGAAAAUAACCUCAGGCUUCCAUCAGCCGAUACUUGCCCAGAGUGCAACGGUCCCUAUCGAAGCAAUCGGCCGAUUACAAGGUCUCGCUCCAGAGACGGAAGGCCAGAACCGAUCAGCAGGAAUCGGCGCAACCCAGAUGAUCAGCGCCCUUCCAUGCGUGAUCGGCUGGGGGGCAGAAGUGACCGAUAUGAUCGGUCAGAAGAUAGAAGCCAUAAUAGGCAGGGGGGCAGGACCGAUCGACAUGAUCAAUCAAGUAGCAAAGCCAGCGUUCACAGUCGGCUCCAAGACAUGGCCGAUGCUCGGGUAACAGACGAGAACCCGUUAGGACGCGAGCCAGAAUGGGAACGCGCCAGGAAAGAAGGGAGGCCAAUAAACCCCAGAUGGUGUCCCGAUGGUUUGACCAAAUCACAAAAACGAAGAGUCCAACGCCUCCGCCAAUGGGAACAGCAAGAAGAAGAAAGCGCGAUGGACAAGAAGGAAGGGAGGCCUCGGGUAUGGCGCCCCAAAGGAAACGACAAGGGCAACGAUGAAUCGGCGGGUGAUGAAUCGGCAGCCGAAAUCGGUAUGGUUUUCAUAUUGCCGACGGAGUUUAUGACCCCUGCCGAUCAACAGAACGUGUCGGCAAUAGAGGAACAAACAGCACGGUUGGCGUUAGAACCAAUGAUGGCCACGUUCGAAAAGCCCGAAGACGACGAACGACAACAUAUGAAGGCGUUGUUUCUUAAAGGGCAUGUUGACGGUCGCCCCCUCACUAAAUUGAUGGUCGACGGGGGAGCUGCCGUCAACAUCAUGCCGUAUGCCAUACUCCGAAAGCUGGGAAAGAGCGAUGACGACCUAACCAGGACGGACAUGAUGCUCAAGGACUUCGAAGGCAAGGUGUCAAACGCUCGCGGUGCCCUCUGCGUUGACCUCACCAUCGGCAGUAAGACCCUUCCUACCACGUUUUUCGUCAUUAAUGGCAAAGGGUCCUAUAAUAUGCUUCUUGGACGAGACUGGAUACACGCAAACUGCUGCAUACCGUCAACUAUGCAUCAAUGCCUGGUACAAUGGGUCGGCGACAACAUCGAGGUGGUCAAAGCCGACUCCGCGUACAGCAUCGCAGCAGCCGACGCACAGCAAUGGAGCUGCGAAACCGUCAGGUGCAUAUCAGGUAGGGUGUGGGAAACUGAUUUCCUGAAGGUCACCGAUUUUGGCCUACAGCCGAUCCGAGCAGUCGGCUCUGAAGAAGCGCAAUAAAUGGAUCAGUUCGCCCGAGAAGACGGGAAGCUGGGACACGGAUUCACGUCGGCCGAUUCAUUGGAAAUGGUAGAUUUAGGUGACGGGACCAAACCAAGGCCGACUUUUAUUAGUGCAAAUUUAGAUCCAGAGUACAAGUGUAAAUUGACAAAUUUAUUAAGAGAAUUCAAGGAUUGUUUUGCGUGGGAGUAUCACGAGAUGCCCGGAUUAGAUCGAUCUAUUGUUGAACAUCGGCUACCCAUAAAACCAGGGUAUCGGCCGUACCAACAACCCGCACGGCGAUGCAAUCCUAAAAUUUUACCAGACAUAAAAGCCGAAAUAACUCGGCUAAUUGAAGCGAAAUUUAUUCGGCAAUGUCGUUACGCCGAGUGGAUUUCUAAUAUCGUACCGGUGUAUAAGAAAAACGGGAAACUGCGCGUUUGCGUCGAUUUCAGAAAUCUUAAUCAGGCCACACCGAUGGAUGGCUACCCCAUGCCUACGGCCGAUGUACUGAUCGACGCUGCCGCGGGGCACAAAAUUAUUAGCUUCAUGGAUGGGAACGCCGGAUACAAUCAAAUACUUAUGGCCGAAGAGGACAUACCCAAAACGGCUUUCAGAUGUCCAGGCCAUCUUGGUCUAUUCGAGUGGGUGGUGAUGACUUUCGGUUUGAAGAAUGCUGGUGCUACAUAUCAGAGGGCCAUGAACUAUAUUUUCCACAAACUCAUCGGCCUCCUGGUGGAGAUCUACAUCGACGACGUUGUGGUCAAAUCCAAAAGCCACGAGGAACACCUAGCCGAUUUGCGAAGGGUCCUAGAGUGUACCAAGAAACAUGGUCUUAAGAUGAAUCCCAACAAAUGCGCUUUCGGCGUCUCCGCCGGACAGUUCCUAGGAUUCAUGGUGCACGAACGAGGCAUUGAAGUCAAUCAGAAGACCAUAGCGGCCAUCAACAAAGUCGUCGCUCCGCAGAACAAAACUGAACUACAAUCUCUAAUCGGCAAGGUAAACUUCAUCGGAAGGUUUAUAUCUAAUCUAUCUGGACGGAUCCAGACGUUCACACCACUUCUGAAGUUGAAGCCAGACCAAGAAUUUAUUUGGGGAGAAGAACAGCGCAAGGCGUUAGAAGACAUCAAGCGAUACUUAGUCUCGCCCCCAGUCCUGGUUCCCCCCCAAACGGGUAAGCCGUUUAAACUAUAUUUAUCAGCCGAUGAAAAAGCUAUUGGGUCGGCUCUAGUCCAAGAGUUUGAAGGCAAAGAACGGGUGAUUUAUUACGUUAGUAGAAGACUCCUGGAUGCCGAAACAAGAUAUCCUCCAGUAGAGCGUUUGUGUUUGUGUCUUUACUUCUCGUGCACCAAACUCAGACACUAUCUACUGUCGGCAGAAUGUAUAGUCGUAUGCAAAGAUGAUGUAGUGAAAUACAUGCUGUCACUGCCGAUAUUGAAAGGGCGAAUCGGUAAAUGGAUUUUAGCUUUAUCAGAAUUUGACCUACGGUACGAAUCGGCAAAAGCCAUCAAAGGUCAAGUCAUGGCCGAUUUCGUCGCACAGCACUGUGGGCCGGAGAUCGCCUUCGUGGAACUAGCGCCUUGGCAGUUAUUUUUUGAUGGGUCAUCAUGCGGAGUCGGAUCGGGAAUCAGCAUCGUUCUCAUAUCGCCUCGGGGGGCAAGAUACGAUUUUUCUCUGCCGAUAGAAACCGCCACCACAAACAAUCAAGCGUAAUACAGAGCUGUAUUAAAAGGCUUACGAUUAUUGAGAGAAGUCAAGGCCGAUUCUGUCGAGGUCUUCGGAGAUUCGAUGUUAAUCGUGGAUCAACUAACCGGGAAGGCUGAGUGCAAAGAUGACAUAUUACGAAUUCAUCACGAAGAUUGCCUACAGCUGUUAAAAGAAUUCAGAUCGGCAGUAAUCGAGCAUGUCCCAAGAGACCGCAAUGAGGAAGCGAACAAACUCGCUCAACACGCAUCUGGGUAUCGGCCGAUUCUAGGCGCCAUGGCCUUAGAGCUUGCAGCUGACGAUUGGCGCAAAGAAAUUGCCGAUUACCUAAAGGAUCCGUCUAAAAAGGUGGAGCGGCGAGUACGCUUUCACGCUACCAAAUACGUAUUACUCGAAGAUGAUCUGUUUUACCGAACGAUCGAAGGUGUUCUUCUUAAAUGCCUUGGGACAGAAGAAGCCAAGACUCUAAUGGGAGAAAUCCACGAAGGGGUAUGCGGAGCUCACCAAUCAGCACAUAAGAUGAAGUGGAUGAUCAGAAACAAUGGGUACUAUUGGCCUACGAUCCUUGAAGAUUGUUUCAAAUAUUAUAAGGGUUGUCAGGAGUGUCAAAAGUUUGGAAAUGUCCAGCAUGCACCUGCAUCGGCCAUGAAUCCCAUCAUCAAACCAUGGCCGUUCAGAGGGUGGGGAAUAGACCUUAUCGGCCAAAUUUAUCCACCAUCGAGCAAGGGGCACAAGUUUAUUCUGGUCGCCACCGAUUAUUUCACCAAAUGGGUGGAGGCAAUCCCAUUAAGAACUGUGACUUCGGCUAUCAUGGCCGAUUUUGUAAGGGAUCAUAUCGUCUACCGAUUCGGUAUCCCUCAAACUGUAACAACCGAUCAAGGAACGAUGUUCACAUCGGGGGAAUUUGAGGAGUUUACAACCGAUAUGGGCAUCAAAUUGUUAAAUUCUUCUCUGUAUUACGCUCAGGCCAAUGGUCAAGCAGAAUCUUCCAACAAAGGAAUAAUCAAGUUGAUCAAAAGGAAGAUUGAAGAAUACCCGAAGAAGUGGCACCUGUGUUUAACCGAAGCCCUAUGGGCAUACAGAAUGGCCUGUCAUGGGGCCACCAAGUUAUCUCCUUAUCAGUUGGUAUACGGUCACGAUGCAGUACUUCCAUGGGAAUCGAGGGCAGGAUCAAGGCGCAUUUCACUUCAAGACCAGUUAUCGGCCGACGACUACUCGGCACUUAUGAAAGAAGAACUUGAUGAUGUGGCCGGUCAUCGACUAAGGGCUCUGAUAAGUAUCGAAGAGAAUAAAAAGAGAGUGGCCAGGUGGUACGAUAAAAAGGUCAAAGUCAAGCAGUUCUCCCCCGGAGAUUUGGUAUGGAAGUUAGUACUACCGAUCGGGUCGAAAGAUCCUAAAUUCGGUAAAUGGUCUCCUACCUGGGAAGGGCCGUAUAAAAUCGGCAAAUGCUUAUAUCUUGGAAACAAUAGAAGGAGAAGAAUUCACUAGAGCUCUGAAUGGGAGGUAUUUAAAAAGGUAUUACCCAAGUAUAUGGGUCGGUGCCUAAGGAAUUAAACACGAUCAUACAUGACCGAUACGAUUCGGUCUUGAGACACACAUAAAGUCAACCGGAACGGCCGAUUACAUUCAUUCGGUACGGGCGACGGGUUACAUGGCCGACAAAAUGUUUAGUCGCCCUUAGAACAAAAAUACAGCAACUAAUUAUUCUUUUUCUUACGCUCCCUCUCAGCCCGACCUAACUCUAUCAUGAGUCGGAUGUAUUCUUCUUCUAUGGCCUUCAUUGAAAUCUCCGCUUCGACUUGACCGGGGAGAUCUACGGGAGGGCGCGAAGUCCCCACUCCCGCAUCUUCAAGAACGACUUGCCGAGGGAGUGGAUGACUCCUGUCAAUGGGAGGUCGACGGCUGCCAUUCCUCUCCACGAAGUCCAGGAUCAUUCGGGCCUCCGUGGCGAUGUCGUCUUCAAGAUCGCCACAACGAUCGCCCCUGACAGGUGGAGAUUGCUGGUUACUUUCACUCACCACGGAAUCCAAGACUACGCGAGCCUCCGUGGUAAUGUGAUCCUGGAGCUCUUCUCGGUGAGCCGCGAUCAGCAUCUUGUCCUCCGACGUUAAUGGAUCUUCGGAAUGAAUGCACUCAAUGGCGCGCACGAGCUCGGGGCUAAGACGUUGAGGCUGAAACAAAGAAGGGAUGAGGAGGGAUAUUCUCUUCCUUAGGGUCUAAAAAAGAAAGGAAGGUAGAGGUCAAAAAACUUCACCUGGUUAACAGAGGAAGAAGAAGAUGACGAGGCCAUAGCGAAGAAAUUGCACCGAUGAGAAGGGGCAGAAAGGUUGAACCGAGAGCCAAGAUUGAUGUUACCAGGAGUAAGCGCCGAGCUUGGUAUUUAUAAAAGAAUGCGUGGAAAUCUGGUAAAGCUACGUCCCAUCGGUAAUAAGAAGGCAAUAAAUAGAAAGGGCGUCGCGAGGGGCGGUCAAAGAAGGUAGUAAAUGAUUCGUACAAAACGGUCAGUGUUUUACAGAUUACCCAGAAGGGUAUCGAUGGCCGUGAUGGCCCGACGCCGGAUCUGAUCGGCAGAGUCAAGUACCCGUUGGUCUUCUUCCGCCGAUCCAGGAACCUCCGAUGCGCUGCGAUGGAGUCUCAGUGCCUCGUGAGCAAAGCGUUGCCUCUCCCGUGUUAAAUCGGCAAUAACAGAAGGUAGCUCUUCGAGUUUGUUCUCUUCGGCACUGAUUGCCUUGAUCACUUGCUCCAUUUCCUUGGCAAGCUCCGCCCUACGACGCUUGAGACGGUCUAUUUCUCCUAUGAUCGCCGGACGGGAAUCUUCUAGGACAUGGAUACGCCGAUUCGCCUCUUGAGCCUGACGUUUGAAAGCGUCUUCCUCUUCGCGAGCCUUGGUCAGCUUAGCGCGAUCGGCCAUGUGACGAAGGGCUCUGAAGACCGGGAUCCUCAUAGACUCGAUGAAGGCCGCCGGCGCCAGGGCCUCCUCCGCCUCUUCUGGUACUCGUCCGCUGACGUCAUUGAAGAGCUGCCGAAUCGGCGAGGCGUCUUCUACUAAUCGGCCGAUGUCCCCUUGAAGGAGGGAUCGGAUGCUGGAAAGUUUGGCUCGGACGUCGUCAGGAACGGAACUCAAGGCGACUUGGCGAGAAGCAACUUCUUCGUCGUCAGAGAGGGCGACCGCAAAAGAAAAGAGACUGUUGUCGGGGGUAUCCUGUUCCUGAAGAUAAUAAAGAAAAGAAAUGAACCAGCUGUAAGAAAGAGCAAAUCGGCUAAGAUGGAGGCCGAAACAGAAAAAUACCAUUUUGAAGCGAAUCUCCUCAUGUUGCACUUGAGAAGCCGCCAUGCCUUGCUCGGGGGCCUGCGCCAUGGGUUCAUCAGAUGGAGAGGACUCCACGAUAAUUGGCGCAGUGUUUGGACCAGCCUCCUGACAAGAAAUCGGCGAUCGAGGAGCGAUUGAUGUGCCGAUGGCCUGUGUCAGAAGUUUGAAUAAAUACGGUACGUAAAUGCCCAAAGGAAAUCGGUACGAGAAGUUCUAUACAUUAACGGAAGGAAACGGGGGCACGUCAAUAGCUGGAGGGGCUGCUGCCGAUUGUGGUACUUCUGUAGGGAUGCUCUGUGCAGUUUAAAGAUAAAAGAAAAAUUAAUAUCAAAAAUAAUAAUCGGAGACAGCGCAACUCAGUUUUACCUGUAUGGCCUCCAACAACAACGAUGCGGCGGCCGCCCCAGCUUGCGUCAUGGUUUGAGUAUCGGCACCUUGAAUGACUUGAGGAGGUGGUACGGCCGAAGUGUCUGCCGAUACGCUCACGGGAGGAUCCGCCGAUCCCGUACGAGCCCGGACUCGGCGACUGGUCUUCUUGGUAGUCCUUUUAUGAACUUGUUUCGAUCGGCCAGUAAUCACGUCAACAGACGGGGCGUUAUAGCCGAUAAGGGGAUAAGUAGUGUAUGGAUGACUCUCUAUCAGUCGUCCGCUGCGGCUGUGUGUUGGAGGGAUCCGAUUCUCGGCCUAAAAUAAUAAAAUCAUUAGUACUCGGUCGUGUUAAGGGGAAUAAAAGGGAAUAAAAAUCGGCUAUGUGAAGUACCUCGGCGUUUGGAUCAAUGUUGGUCGGGUCCAGAAGAUUGCAGUAUGCCGAUGCUGAGUUGCAGAAGAGGAAUUGCUUCCAAUCAGCCCACCAUAGUUUGAACGGCUGAACAGCAAAUGGAGCUACUAGCCAGUCGUUCAAGUUAAUUGUACUGGAGUCUGGAAUUCGGUCUCGCAACCGACCGUAAUCUAGGCUAGAUUUGAGAUCAUCUCUAAACUUGAUUUUGCCAGCAAAGUACACCUGAAUCGGCAGCUGACCCAUGCCAAAUUGUCGUGCCGCAGCAGAAGGGUUGUAGAAUUCAUACGUAGGGGCAUCCUUCCCUGAGAAGAAAUUGGCCGGUAGGAUCCCUGGCUUGAUCAACCCUUCAUAGAGAUCUUCAUCAAACCGGCCAGAAGUUGAGUCAAAGCAGGAAGGGAGCUCGAAGAUGGGAAUGUCUCGCUGGUAUGGAAACCAGAUAGUUGCGUCCUCAUUAAAUCCAUCGUAAAAGCACCGAAAGUACUCGGCUACCUUUGUAGCGGAAUACGCACAACCUGGAAAAGCUGAUGCCGCUUCACCAUAAGACAUGCAUCGGCGACGCUCGGUAGGGUCUUCCGCCGAUUCAAUAUUGGGAAACGUCAUGUGGUCCACUGGCUGCCGGGUGAUCCUGUUCAUGUAAAGGUUCAACCAUAGAUUGACGAACCACCAAGGCCCACCUGGGUUGCCGAUUGGUUCUCCCUUGGAAAGUUUUGUGCCGAUUUGGUGGAGCAUGUGGUACACAGCACCCAGAAGAUGUUUCCCGAGAGGAAUGUGGCUUCCUUUGGACAGUGCCUCGGCUAAAGAUUGGGUGUUGGUUGUUGGGCCGGCGGCUCUUCCACAGAAAAGGUGUUUUUCUAGCCACAUCAUCAGGAAAGCGGUGUGCUCCCUAUUAUCAAUAGUACCGGUCUUCUUGUUAUUACUAAUAAAGCCCUUCCAGCUGCCGAUUCCUCUUACGUCCAGCCGAUGCGACGGUACGGUCAGAAGUUGGAAAGGCGUGUCAGGAGAGGAUAUGUCCAGGCCGGUCAAGAGGACCACAUCGGCCAGAGUGGGGGUCAUAGGACCGUGUCCAAAUAAGAAUGCAUUAAGAGCGUCAGACCAAAAAUAGGAAGCCGCCAUCACUAGCGGUUCGUUUUUCUCCAUUUGCGACAGAGAGAGGUUGAUACAUUGGCCGAUUUUGAGUUCAUCCCACAAGACGCUCUUUGACGUGGCCAUCCGUUGGUACCAUUCCCUCCAACCGGGGGUUUCAUUCGGCCAAGAUCUAAAAGUGCUGGCCCAUUGAUCUAAGUUCAUGUCAGAUCGUUUGAAAGGUAUCCGGUCAGUUUCCAAGUUUAUGAGGUCUGCUGGAUCUGGGUCUCCCAUGGGACCAAGGCAAACAAGGCCAGGACUACCCGUGAGAUGGAUAGUGAUUCUAUGUCUAACCGCCUAAAUGAGGAAAAGAGGCAUAAGAAUAUAAGGAAUAGAUCUAAGAUAAAUACGUUACCGAUAGAGGAAAAAUUCGGUGUUUACCUCCGGUAUAAAAUUCUGAGUAAUCGGUGUGGUCGCCGAUGCAGAUGCAGAUGAUGAAGCCGUAAUGGGGAUCGCCAUUGGGAUCUCUGAUGAAGCUCCUUCAUCUAUGGAUGGAGUGACGGUUGUUGCCACCGUUACCGGAGGUGCUACCUCCACCGGGGGCAUUGUCCCUGGAGCAUCGCGUGCUGGGGAAUUACCGGAGGGAGUCGCCAUUGAAGGGGAGGGGAAGAAGUGACAGGAGCUGGAGCUGGAAGGCUUCGAUGGCAAGAUUGAAGAAGGAAGGAAGUGCGCGCGCUGGAAAGAGGGAUGUGAGCUUGAAGAUGAGUUGCGGUGAAAUGAUAUUUAUAGGGUGCCUGAAGAAAGGGUAAAGAUGGAAUUUUCAACGCGCCGGCGCGUCGAGUUUUUCGGGGUAGUGGCUGUCGUGGGCGCCCGUUUCAAAAAAUUGCAAUGAUCAGCCGGGAGACCGCGAAACGGAAGGAUAUUUUCACUGCGGCCGUUUCGGAAGAGAGGUUAUAAAGAAUUUCGAAGUAAAAGGCUAUGUUUUACUCCGAAACUGGGGGGCAUGUGUUGACGCCGGAUUUCGUCAUCAGUAGAAUCGGCGCCAAAGAGGAAAGAAAUCGAAGGAGGACGGAUGGAAAUCGGCCAAAAGGUGCUACAGCGCGGAAUCGGUCAAGUGGCUUUUACUUUGCUUCAGAGUGAAUACGCCGGGUUCCCAAUCGGCAAUCCUUUGCUGAUAAGAAAUCGGCCGAUCAGGAAGGUGGACUAAGGUGGGCCUGUAUGGGCUUGGAAAGAUGGAAGGAUAAGGUGGAGUUCAGCCCAUGAAGCGUGGGGUAAUUAGUUUAGCUCGGAUUGUGCUUGUAGAUAUUUGUUUUCUGUUUAAAUUAGAGAUAGAGUCCUAGUCGGUUAAGAAGAUUAUUUGUACGGGGCUAUAAAUAGCUACCUUUGUAAAUCUGUAAAAAAAAAAAACAAUCAAUCAAUACAACAAGUUACUUUAUUCUUCGUACUUACUUUCGAGCAGGCGACUUCGCCAUCACUUUUCCUUCUCACGAGUUCGUGCGGGUUGGCAGGGCUGCAUCAUCUUGAUCUCCGGCCGAUUCUGUAAGUUCCGUUUAUCGAGUAAUAUCUAAGCUUUAACUUCCGGCGCAUCGCUGUUGUUUCGUUUAGAUUUUAUUCAUCAGUUAUCGAUAUCGACUAGAUUCAUAGGUUUUUACCUGUUCUCCUAGUUUUUAUCACCAGUUACCCCGCUAGGAAUCGGUAGUAUCGGCUUUCAUUACUUUCUGUUACCAAAUCCAUCUGUUGCCGAUUAGAUCUUUUCCUGGUGCUGUUACUACGUGCCUUGUACCGAUUACUUUAAUAUUUUUCUAUCUACAAGGCUACGGGGGUCGUGCUGUCUUGUAGCCGAUUUCUUUACCACAGUAAAUCGGCCGAUCUGCCGAUAAGCUCUCUCGAUCGGAAACUUAGCCGAUCGUAGUUACUGAUUUUGACACGUGUUCUUCCUUGCCAAUCAACAGGUCAGAUUGGCUGGCACGCCGUGCGAACCGCACCAGGGCAUUCACCCGAACAGGAGCUAAGCAGAUUCUCCCGGGUCGUGUGUCGGCCGCUGGGAUUCGGUUGACCGAUUUCUAGCGCCAACAUCUGCGCAUUCAAAUAAUUUAAUUGAAUAAUUUCUUGAUCACAGCAAUGCAGUAAAAUAAAUAUUUUACAGGCUAAAUGAGUUGGUAUAGAAUUAAUGAUUACUUCAUACUUAUUGUCAAUUUACUCGUUAAUUAAAUAUAUUUUUGCAUGUACAAAAUCUGUGAAGGUUUUGUUUUUCAUCCUGAAAUGCAGUGAAAAGGUAAAAUAAAAUCCAUUUCCAAAAAACAGGCGGGAGAAGAAAAAUAGGAAAAAAGACCUUUUGUCUCGGGGCUAACAGCAACCGGGACAAAAGGCCCCCCUUUUAUCCUGGUUGCCAACGGCAACCGGGAUAAAAGGGUACGUUUCGUCUCCCGCCCAAACGUACCCUUUUAUCCCGGUUGCCAACUGCAGCAGGGAUAAAAGGGUACACUCCCAGCCCCACCUGGCGGGGGUACCCUUUUGUCCCGGGUCCCGUCGCCAACCGGGAUAAAAGGGGGGGGGCCUUUUAUCCCGGUUGGUGNNNNNNNNNNNNNNNNNNNNNNNNNNNNNNNNNNNNNNNNNNNNNNNNNNNNNNNNNNNNNNNNNNNNNNNNNNNNNNNNNNNNNNNNNNNNNNNNNNNNGACGAGACGACGACGCGAGACGACGACGGCCGAGGCGAAGACGACGACGGCGGCGUAGGCGGGACGGCGACGAGACGGCGACGAGGGGCGACGAGGAUGGAGCCGGCGACGAGGAUGUGGAGCCGGUGGCCGGAGGCGACGAGGUGGCCGGGGGCCGGGCGCGUCGACGGACGAGGAGGGGAUCGAGGAGGGCCGGCCGGGGGACGACGACGGCGCAAUGGGGGACAUCGACGGCGCAAUGGGGGACGACGACGGCGGCGGCCGGUGAGGGAGGCGGACGGGCGGCGACGGCGGAGAACGCGCGGGACUUGCGAAAUUUUGGCUAAGUGUGUAACUGGCAGGGGGUAGAAGGGAGUACAGUGCCUUUUAACCCCCCCCUUUUAUCCCGGUUCGUAAUAGGACCCGGGACAAAAGGCUCUUUUGUCCCGGGUCCUAUUACGAACCGGGAUAAAAGGGGGGGGUUAAAAGGCACUGUACUCCCUUCUACCCCCUGCCAGUUACACACUUAGCCAAAAUUUCGCAAGUCCCGCGCGUUCUCCGCCGUCGCCGCCCGUCCGCCUCCCUCACCGGCCGCCGCCGUCGUCGUCCCCCAUUGCGCCGUCGAUGUCCCCCAUUGCGCCGUCGUCGUCCCCCGGCCGGCCCUCCUCGAUCCCCUCCUCGUCCGUCGACGCGCCCGGCCCCCGGCCACCUCGUCGCCUCCGGCCACCGGCUCCACAUCCUCGUCGCCGGCUCCAUCCUCGUCGCCCCUCGUCGCCGUCUCGUCGCCGUCCCGCCUACGCCGCCGUCGUCGUCUUCGCCUCGGCCGUCGUCGUCCCGCCGUCGUCGUCUUCGUCCUCGUCGCCGUCCCGCGCGCCGCCCGGCCGCCGCCGUCCCGCCGCCCCGGCCGCCGCCGUCCCGCCACCCCGGCCGCCGCCGUCCCGCCGCCCCGGCCGCCGCCGUCCCGCCGACCCGGCCGCCGCCGACCCGCCGACCCGGCCGCCGCCGUCCCGCCGUCCCGCCGUCCCGGCCGUCGGCCCGCGCGGGAGAGGUCCGCUGCCGCGCCGGCCGGCAGCGCCGGGAGGGUUUUCUUUUUAAGUUAAUUAGAAAAUUAAGUUUUAUUUUUAGAUAGAAUUGUAAUUUUGUUAAGUUAGAUUUUUAGAUUUCUAGUUAGUUUGUUAAGUUAGAUUUCUAGUUAGUUUUUUAAGUUAGAGUUGAUAUAGAGAUCGCCGAGUAGCCGCCGUGAUCGUCGCCUUGUAGCCGCCGUGAUCGCCGCCGAGUAGCCGCCGUGAUCGCCGCCAUCCCGCCGCCCAUCACAACCUAGUAGGCACCGCCCGUGGUUCCGGUGAACCGUCCCCGCCGUACCGCCGCCCUGACCGCCGCCGUCCCGCCUCCGCCGCCCUGAUCGCCGCCGUCCCGCCUCCGCCGCCCUGAUCGCCGCCGUCACAACCUAGGCACCGCACGUGGAUAUUGUUACAAAUUCGUAGAAAUUCGUCAAAAUUCGUAGAAAUUCGUCAAAAUUCGUAGAAAUUCGUAGAAAUUUGUAGAAAUUCAUAGAAAUUCGUAGAAAUUCGUAGAAAUUUGUAGAAAUUCGUAGAAAUUCAUAGAAAUUCGUAGAAAUUCAUAGAAAUUUGUUGAAAUUCGUCAAAAUUCAUAGAAAUAUUUCGGACUUUGUACGAUUCAUGUUAUUUUAUGAUUUCAUUAUAUACAUGUAUGAUUCCAUUCCGGACUUUGUACAAAUUUGUAUUAAGACGAUUUCUAUGACUGUCAUGUAUGAUUCCAUGUAUGUUUCCAUCAAUAGUUGAAAUGGCAGACGAUGAGACCGCAAGGUAUAUCAUGGAGCAGAUAAUCGCUGGUGAUGGUAGUGGCGACAACGUUCCACUAUCAUACACGUAUGAAGAGGGCACCCAGGCGGACAUGUUCCUCAACAUGUCCGCUGAUGGGAAUGAAGAGCAACAGCCGCAACAACAACUUGCCGUGGCGGAAGGUUCCGGCGAGGUAUAUACAACCAUUCUUGUAUUGUUUCACGCCACCGCUACUACUACGUACUAAUUAACGAAUCUUGAACUGUUAGCCCUCCGGAUCGACACAAGGGCAGAAGACCUGAGGUCGUACAAAGGUGAUGGAAGGGAGGCUUGUCAUCACCGAAGUUACAGAAGAGGGCAAGCCGGUUGCUCCCGAGAAAGUAGCAAAGAAGUACGUGAGUCAAAUCGGGGCAAUCGUUCGGGACAACGUGCCUAUCAGCAUCAGAGAAUGGAAGGGCAGAAGAGAUAAUCCGUACGCCCUUCCAGAGAUAGAAAAGAAUAUGCUGUGGGAAGACGUGAAGAGACAUUUCACAUUCCCCGAAGGAUAUAGCGAGAAGGAUGUCAAAGCGUGGACGCUUAAGAAGAUGGCUACUCAAUUCCAGACAUUCAAGAAGAUGCUGGACACCCACUACAUCAAGAAGGGCAAAACUCCAGACUUCAACGCGUGGCCAAAGUUGAGGGACCACUGGGAUGCAUUUGUUGAAUACAAGAGGAGUGAAGAAGGUGUGAAAAAGAUCACGACCAACAUAGCAAAUGCUAGUCAGAAGGGCUACCACCAUCAUUUGGGGUGAGGUGGGUAUGGCUCAGCAAUUCCCAAGUGGAGGAAGAUGGAACAAGAUCUGAUCGAACGGGGAAUCGUACCUGCAACUAUUGAAUGGCCCGAACGAUCAAAGAACUGGUACUACGCUCAUGGAGGCUCCCUAAGCCAAGAGGAUGGGACGCUGAUUUUCAAUGACACAAUACGUGAGAAGGCCGAACAUCUCAUGAAGAACAUUGAAGAUUCCAAGGCUGGGAGGUUGAGGGUGGACCAAGAAAAUGAUGAGCUCACAUUGGCCCUCGGUAAUCCAGAGCACCCAGGACGUUGCCGGGGGUUCGGGGUGGUUCCGUGGAAGUUCGCUUUCCGAGGCGACAGCGCCUCUUACAGAAGCCGGAAGCGAAGAAAGGAACAGAUGGAGGAGAGCUGGUAGCAGAUGGUAGAACAAAGAAUGAUGGAUGAAAUCAAUCGGCGGGUGGCCGACGCAGUUGCGGAGUUGGCGCAAUCUGGAGCAAUGCCGAAUCCUAACACCGCCAGCCCUUCUCAACGCCUCGGGAGCAGUUGUGCUUCUACAGGGGUCCCCGAUGCGCAGACGCCCAGGUUACCCGUGGAGGAGCAAUGGUUCCCCGUGGAUGCCAUCACGCAACGGACCUCAUGUAAGCUGCAUGCACCGGUCGGCAACCUCACUAUUAAGGUAUACUUAUACAUAAUAUUUAUGCAAUCUUGUCAAUUGAUCCAGGCCUCGAGAUCGGAGUUCAACCUGUUUACUUCUACUAUAUGUACAGGUAGCGUACGGGAGUGUGUUACCAACCCUGGCAGGGCAGAGCAGUCAUGGCAUGGACAUUCCAACAGGCUACGCCAGCGUCUGCGUCGAGCAAAUAGUUGAUCCCCAGUAUGAAGGUCUAGAGCUCGACUUCCCGGGAGGCGACGGGGAAAAGACAUUGGCAGAUGCGCUUCAUGGGAUCAUUCUAUGGAAGAAACGCUACAUCAUUAUUCCCCGCACGGAGCCAUCUCCUCAGACCUCAAGACCACUCCCCGUAGAUCCCCAGCAGCGACCUUCUCCUCAUACCUCGAGACCGGCAUCUCCUGCUCCAGGACCGUCUCUUCCAUCUAUAUCAAGGUCUCCAUCUCCACCACAUCCUGGUGCUGGGAGCGACGACGACAAUAACAACACCCCUCCCCGAUCACCGUCACCGGCACCAAGAGCGGCCCCCUCGAAGGAACCUGCAGCACCACUCAAGAAGUCACGAGCACCGCCUCCCAAGCAAAGACAGAGAAAGAAGAAAACAAAGGUCGACCCUGAAGUGGCUCGCAAGGAACGCUUUGAGGCAAUGUCUCAUGAAGAACAGUGGGCAGAAAUCCAACGAGAGGCCAGUGAGUGGUUCAAGAAACAAGCCGAAUUAAAAAAGGCAAGGGAGAUGGAGCCACCGUCAGUAAGUCGGCGAGAUUUAAACUUUUUUAUCAGGAUGGAGGAAGAAGCCAAGAAAAGGAUACCACUCUUGUCAAACUAUGAACGGGCUCUAGUAAAGGCUGAUGAAAAGGAUAAAAGGAAAGGAAAAUCAUCCUCCAGCAGUCCAGUCCCCGACCUCAGCCAUUUAUCAAAAAAAGAUGCUCAACGGGUAAAAGCAAUGCCCUUGGAUCAACAAGCAAAUAUAUUGAAGUUCAUGGAAGAAACAGGUCUGGGACUUGAUGAAUGCAUAGGGCAAGUCGAGACGCCAACUGCACCGCCCCCUGAGCCGAAGUGGACUUAUGAGCUAGGCAAACCUCUAGUAAAGCCUUCAAUGGUACGGAAGCUAUCAACAAAGAUGUACGAAUUCCAUCAAUGGUCGGCAUGAAGGUAAAACCGAUAGAUUUUCACGGUGAAGGGGAGAAAGUGCUGUGGCUAGACUUCAAGGAUAUAUACGAAGUGUACCAUCAUGAUGCCCUGGACGUCUCUCUGAUCAGCGCUUGGAUUCUGUAAGUGUCCGUUUAUUAUCUCUACAUGUAAAUUUUGGCGUGCGUCACCGUACUAACUUCAUCUUCCAUUUCAUGUAGGAUGCUAAUUCAGACAUGCCGCCGAGAGGCGUACCUACAUGUAGGCUUCAUGGAUCCAUCUGUAGUUAACCAACAACAGAUACAAUUAGCGCCGGAAAAAACCUUUGCGGAAAUAUACAAUUUCCUACACAAACAAACAUUCAAGGAUUUCAUACUACUUCCAUACAACUUCAAGUAAGUGUGUGUAUACCGUCUACUUUCGAUGUCUUUUUCCUUAUCUCUACAUGUUAGUUAGCUCUAAUAUGCAUGAACAUUUUACGCACGCAGCUUCCACUGGAUCCUUAUUAUAAUUGAGCCUGAAAGAAGCCACGUCACUGUCUUAGAUUCGUUAAGGAAAGAUCCGAUGGACUACCAAGAAUUGCAAGACAUGCUAGGCUUGUAAUAAUUCUGGACCUUUAUCUCUAUGCAAAAAUUUAUUUCCUAAAUUUUAUCCCUGUUACACUAUGUCAUUCAUUAUUCUAAUCCGCAGCGCAUGGAAACAAUUCAUAAGGACACACAAAGGUCCAUUCAAAGAAAAUCUUACAUGGAACACAGACUUCCCGGUACGUAUGCAGUCUGCACAUUUAUUACAUUGUAUAACACAAAUAUUUCAUAACUUAUUUUUUUCCGCACUGAAGUGCUUAAGACAGGAACCCGGGAAUAAUCUAUGUGGCUACUACAUCUGUGAGCACAUGCACAGUUUUUUGGGACCCAAGGGACCGAAGAUGACGCCGCACAACUUUAAAGUACGUAAAAUAACUAUAUUACUAGUUAAUUAUUUUCUAGCUCCUUAUAUGUAUUUGUUCAUGUAACAUUCACAAAUUUCCAAAUUAUAGAUGUUAAAUAUUCAACAAGGACUCUUGAAGGAAGAAAGAGUAGCGGCAAUAUGUGAAGGUCUCAUUGGAUUCAUAAUGGACGAGGUGGUGGACGAGGUGGUAAAUCCAAGAGGAGAAUUUUAUUACGAUGGACGACAAUUAGACACUCCGAUCAGCAACACCACGAUGGAUACUUUGAUUUAUUUGUAUAUAUAAUACGCGCUAAUUAUGAUCGAUUUGUACUAAGCUAGUUGAAUUGUGUAUAUGAAUUGUGUAUAAGGAUUGUGUAUAUAUAUAGUAAUUGUAUAAUUACAAAUCCCAUUCGUUUAAAUACUAGUUGAUUUCGUUCUAAAAAAAUCUCAACUACAAGGUUAACAAAUUAAAAGGGCUGCGGUACUACUAUACGUAUACGUGAUGCAUGCAUGAAAAAUUCAGACGUCACGGCUGUGCCAUGCAAGCGCCAUUUAGUCCCGGUUGGAAUCGAGCCGGGACUAAAGGGGACCCCUUUAGUCCCGGUUGGGAAAUCCAACCAGGACUAAAGGGGGACCUUUACUCCCGGUUAAAAGACCCGGGAGUAAAGACCCCCCCCUUUUGUCCCGGUUGGUUUAUCCCGGAUGGAUAUCCGAGAGAUAUGCACCCUACCAACCGGGACUAAAGGCCAAUUCUCUACCAGUGUAGACCAAACAUGAUACACACCAUGCGUACCUUGCUGUGCAGACUAUGCAUUGACAAGAUACCCGACCACAUGUUGGCCUCGGUCACAUCAAAAGAAUCAUGUAGGCCACCAAUAAACUACUUGAAGCGGCAUUCCGUAUCGUAUAUGCAUUGCCGGUUCAUCUGCAUUACAUUACAUAAAGCACUAUUAACUAUUUGAAUAAAAUGAACCAAUUUAAAAGUAAUGUGUUGUACUCUACUAUAGAAAGCCCUAUCACUGCCGGAUCCAAAAACAUCAUUGUUAAUGGUGGUUAAGUACCAAAUAUGAUGGUCAAUAUUCUCAAGAAUAAUGGAGAAUUAGCAUUUCUUAGACACAUAUUUGGUUUUGAACAAUGUAGUUCCACAUGUCUUUGGAGAUUAUUUGGGUGUGGGUGAAAUAAUACAAAAAUAAGGAGAAAACACACUCCCAUGGCAAAGAAACACAACUCCAACCAAUGAGAGAUAGCCACAGGGGCAGCACACGGAUCCAUGGGCCCACAAACCGCAUCAAACCGUCUUACCAAGGCAGGUAGCACCCACAACCGUCAUUAGGACCCACCUGGAAGUCUACCAAGAAGAAGGUUGCGAGUGGGGCCAGGAGGGGUUCGGUUGAAUCAUCUCUAGCUAGCUCCCCUCAUCCCCAGCUGGUGGGUGGUGGUGGUUGAUGGUGUCCCUACAUCGGUUAGAGGAGAUUCCCCCAAAUAUUCCUCCUGUAAACCACCUCUAUGGACCUAUACAUAGAGGGGUGUGCUCUCCAUUCCAACACACACCACAAGUUGAAUCACUGUCUCCCUCUUUAGUUUCCAAGUUUAUGGAGUUAGGCUAGAGUAGCUCUGCUCAAGGUUCCAAGUCCACUUGGAGUUAAGCAUAUGUCUCUUGUAUCGUUAUUUCCUAAAUUGACUUUAUGCUUAGUUCUUAUAUGCAUGAGUUAGUCUAAUACCCUUGCUCUAUUGAUAUGCUCGACUUAUAUGCUCGUAUGCUAGUCAUAUACCCUUGCUGUCGUAGUAUAGGCUUAUAUGCUCUCAUGUGUGCCUGUAGACCUUGCUAUAGUAUAUACUUGUUGUGUAUACAUACCAUGUAUAGGCUAGUCGAUCUAUACCAUGGCAUUGGUUCAAUAGCCAUGUUUUUGGUGGCUCCAGCCCUAGUCACAAUAGCUCGGGACAGCUGGAGUGUUGUUAAAAAUGCAAGAGUGGUGCUUGGGUUGUUUAGCAUCGUUGGAUAUGGGUUUGCCCCACAGGUUUCUAACGGUAGGCGACAGCUAGUGACAUCCCUGUCCGUCCUUCGUAAUCCCCCCACAUUCAGGUACGCCAUAAAUGUUCGUAAAUUAGCAGUAACUACGCCGGUACACCCAUAGGGUAUUGUCUCCCUGUAGUACCUUGGUGCAUAGAACUAAGUCCUAUACACUGUGUGUGUAUGUUUACGCUGAUAUGAUCUGUGCAGUAUAUAGGAUGUAUAUAUGAACCUAGAGCUAACUCCUAGUCCGUUCUCCAUAGCUUAGUUAUCUUGAGAUGAUUCUUUUGUAUGUGUAACACUACCCAUCUUAUCAUUAUCCUUGCUCCUGUCUUGUGUAAUAUAUCUACUCAUCCUAUGAUAUACUCAUAUGCAUAGUAAACUAUUUUGACCUACCCGCCUUCCUUUGGGAAAUAUGAUACCCUGGAAUAAUCCUAGGUGAAAUCCUACAACGGUAUAUCCAUGUGCUUGCGGAUUUAUUCAUGACCAUUAAAUAUACCAACAAUCAUCACUGCCGGUUAUGGGCGUCGUUAGUGAAGGGUUGGUAGUGAUGGGCAUCCCCUUCACCAAUGGACCUGGAACCGGCGGUGAUGGCUGUUAUAAAAAAGGGGACACCACCCAGCGUACCCCGCGACCCGGCUGGCCGCACCUCCCAUCAUCCCCGCCAGCCGCCCUUCCUUUUCGCCGGCCGAGCAUGGUCCUGGCCUUUGUCCCUACCGCCUCGCCUCCACCGCGACCCCCCGCCGAUGCCCUCAUGCCUGGCCCCCCUCAUCUUGCCGGCCACCCUCCCGAUGCGUCCACUAGGGCCCUCACACCACCAACCGCCCUUGCCUAGAGAGGGAGAGAGAGGAGGGAGGUGAGGCCACGCACCUCGUCCUACACCGCCGCUGUUUCUCCUCGGCCCACCGCGCCUCACCCCACACCACAGCCGCGCCUUGCCAUCUUACCGGCUGCGACGCCUCAUCUCACCGGCCACCGUUCCUCACCCCCACUUCGGUCGUCGCCGCUCCUUGCCCUACUGCUGCUCUUUGCCGCUGCGACUGAGCGGCGAGUGGAGGAGGAGGGACGGGGCAGGAGGAGGGCAAGAUCCGGGAGGAAGGGAGAGAUCUUGGGAGGUGGAGAUGGAAGGAUAUGGCGGAAGGGAGAGAUCCAGAGGGAGAGAGCAGGGGAGAGAGGGGGGCAUGUGGGGAGAGAGUGCGUGUGGGGUGGGGCCAGGCUGGUGGGAUGGAAGGGAGAGGGGCUAGACGGGCGCAGUGCAUUCAACUGGAUGAAGUAAAUAUUUCGGAUUCGAGACCCCAGCUUUAUUAUCACCGCUGGUCCGUAGUACCAUCCGGUGCCUGCUCGUAAUUUAAUUUGAAUCUGCGGUGAUGUUUUAUUAUCACCAUCGGAUCAUAUAAAAAAUCCGGCGGUUAAAAAUCCGCUGGUUUCGAUGAAAACCGACGGUGAUAGGAUGACUGUGAUAGUCUCUUCUCUAGUAGUGGUAUAUUAGUACCGGCUGCCAGACGGUGUUGCCGACCAGUACUUCUCCGGAGGCGAUUCAGUACUGCUGUUAGCAAAGCUUGUUCUCUAUGAAUCUGGGGAUGGAAAGCUAGUUCUCUAGUUGUGAUUUGUUACAUAUAUAUCUAUGAUAGUCUAGAAAUUGCAUGUCCUUCGUUGACAUAGUUGAAGCUGCGCGCUUCAAGAAUUUACUUCGUGCAGUCGUGCAGCAUAUUGGAUUAUCACCUAGACAGGAUACAUAGGUGAAGCAUUGGAUGUGAUUGUGGCCGAUAAUUAUGCAGGACGCUGUUGCAAUCAACCACCAAGAAGUCUGGAGUGAUGGGGUUGCCUCAUCAAUAAUUUUUAUAUAUGGCUGCAGUAUUAUUAAGCCCACGUCAAUAAUUUUUUCUCCGCACCAUAUAUCGAUGGGGUUGCCUCAUCAAUAAUUCGCGCAACCAGACAAGCUGCAGACUCAAUAUGGUACGAAGCUAGUUGCUCAGCCCACAUGCUCUGAUAUAACAUUGACAUCUGCUGAUCUACAGUAUAUAUGACCAGAAAUAUUGUGCCCACCUCAAUAACUUUCUGAAGUAUCGUGGGGAAGAACCUACUCGUACUAUGCCUCGGAACUAACUGACAUAUCGGCCUAGGCGGUCUAGGCCGAUUGGACUGGCUCUUCCUUGUGGCUUCUCACGUCCCCUUCGUCCCCAAGUAAUUUCAGGUGUUCUGCAGUUUCCUUUUCACUUGCAUCUGAGCCUCAUAUAUCAAUAGCUUCGGGAUAAGAAUGCCUCUUGAUAACCUUCCAAAUCCUCGCUUGAUUCACAUUGAUUCCGAAAUCAUCUUGCCAUAUCUUCAGAGACUUAGGUCCUAAGGCAUCAUGGAGGAUUGCUCGCCAGGAAUGAGCACCAUUGGGCUCCUGAGGACCCUAGGCCGAUCAGCCCGGGCUCUAUAGGUCGAUUGGCCCAGGCCCUCUCUGGGCCCGUUGGCCUUCAUCUUUCUCUGAGUCGACGCUUAUUCAGGGCUUUGUCCAAUUAUAGUCUAUUAUAGUCUAAUUUCCUACAAAAACAGAAUGUCCUCCAAAAUACAAUGCAUAUGUGAAAACAGCCCAAUUAUUAGGUAUGAUCAAUAGUUUAGGUAUAUAAAUUAAUAUUAUUAUUUAAGAUAAACAGGGGUAAAGGGUGUCAUUAAUAACAAGCGCCAACAAGCGUCCUGGCUGUUCAAUAAAUUUUUUCUAGUACCGAUUGGUAACACUAACCGGUGCUAAUAUGUACCCUUUAGUACCGGUUAUUUUACCAGGUACUAAAGGAGACAAGAGCAUCCUAACAUAAGGUUAAUAUCAUCCAUUUCAUGAGUAAAAUACUAUGAUUCAAAAAUAAUUCAAAUCCCUUAAGACAAUACCUAUCAAAUGAGUAAAUUGUAAAUAGAGUAAUCUUGAUCAAACAAUGUCCUAAUGAAACGGAACACUUCUGGUUCGUGUAGAGCACAAUAUAGAAAACAGUAGGGUAGCUGUACGAUUGACACGUGGUCCAUUAAUUCUUGAGCCAACACUAUGGACAUGUCUUCAUGAGUAGUGUACUAGUCAUGAUACAUGGUAUGCAGUAGGUGGAGGUAUUGACUUAGCCAUGCUAUGAGCACUUAGUUACAACAAACACUUUGCCAUUAUCGAGCAUCCCAAAUCACUACAAAAUCCAUAGUUUACCAUAUACUACAAAAUCUGAGUUAAAAUAAGAGCAUACACGGAAGAGUCCGAAUGCACCGGCACAUUGAAUUACUAGACAAAAAUUAUGGGACAAGGUUUUGGGUAACCGCAUGAAAAAUAUUGGAUUUUACUGAACACUUAGUUACAAUUACCAUGCCGUGAGCACUUAGUCACCACAAACAUUUAACCACUUUAGAUCAUCCUGAAUCCCUAUAAAUUCUAUACCUUACACCGUACCAUGAAAACGACAAGAACAGAGACAGAUGCGGUGAAAAUCUCCAGAGCAAGCCUGAAAUUAAAAUAAGAGGAGGCAGUCACUAUCGACAGGACACGGAGAUUGCUAGCCAUGACAGAGGAAGACAUGAUAUGAUAUUCACCUCUGAAAUGCAGCGUAGACUAAAUGAAGCACAAUUGCAAGUGAGUGUGGCAGAUAAUGGACCAUCGAGACCAUCGAUUGGUAUGAAGCAUGAUUAUCACCUAGACAUGAUAUCCUAGACAGGACGGUGAAUUGUAAAAAGAGUAAUCUUGAUCAAAGAAUGUCCUAAUGAAACGGAACAUUUUUGGUACGUGUAGAGCACAAUAUAGAAAACAGUAGAGUAGUUGUACGAUUGAACUGCAUCCAUCGACGUGGUGCAUGAAUUGUUGAGCCAACACUGGGGACAUGUCUUCAUGAACACCAUCUAGUGAGGACAGCAUGCAGAAAAAUAUCAAAACAUGUCAUAGGGAGGCAGACCAAUCUUGCGAGGUAGACGAAACGUGAUACACGAUCUGCCUACCUUGUCGUGGAUACCCCAAGUGAAGAUGUCAUAGAGGUGCAGACCAAGCUAGCAAGGAGGUAGAUGAAACGUGAUACACGGCCUGCCUACCUUGCCGUGGAUAUUAGUCCUGAUAUCAUUCUAUUGUUCAAGGAAUAACACUCAAUGCUGCUGCUGCUGCUGACCUGGCUCCAUAAAGUUAUAUUCCUCUAGCCGCUUGCACUAACUUUAUCUGAAGUAUUAUUCUCUCUGCACUGUAUAUAUGGUUACGGAGUUUGCUGGAGUAUCCGGGGGGAAGAACCUACAUAAUAUGUCUUGGAACUAACUGACAUUGAUUCACAGACAAGGUGCUGUUGUUGCCAUAUUUUAGAGCAUCCCAAAGGACUAUAAAUAAUAUAGUUUACCAUAUACCGUAUACCAUUAUAUGUUAGCUAAAAUAAGAGCAUAACAUGUCGCAGGAGUCCAAAAGCACCGGUUGAGGACCAGGUACAUUAAAUUACUAGAAAACGAAAGGGGACAAGGUUUAGGUAGCCACAUGAAAAACAUUUGAAUUUACUGUACCAUGAACACUUAGUUACCAUGCCGGGAGCACCUAGUUAACACUAACAUUUAGCCACUUUAGAUCAUCCCGAAACACCAAUGACCCUCAAUAGCGACAAAUUUUGGUUUAAAUGCCGUCACCAAUGAUCCUCAAUAGUGACGUGUUUAGGUUUAAAUCCCGUCACUAAUAACCCUUGGUAGUGACGUGUUUUGGUUUAAAUCUCAUCACCACUGAUCCUCACUAGUGACGUGUUUUUAGCAACACACGUUAUGAAUGACUUGUCAUUGGUGACAUGUUAAACGCGUUAUCUCAAUGGCAAAUCAAUGGUGACGUGUUUAAAAAAACAUGUCACCGUGAGAGUUAUUGGUGAAGGGUAAUUAAAAUGCAUCACUAAUUUUGUAGCAUUAGUUAUGAUAUAAUUUUGUAACGCAAAAAUCUACCAUAGUAACGAGGUUUAGAGCCGUCGCUAAUGUGGGUUUCUUACGUAGUGAUGCAAGCUCUACAAGGUGCUGUUGUUGCCAUUUUAAAGCAUCCCAAAUGACUACAAGUGUCUGGUUGAGGACUAAACAAAUUGAAUUACUAGAACCAAAUGUAUGUCCAGAACAAAGAAAGGGGUCAAGGUUUGGGUAACCGCAUUAAAAACAUUGGAUUUUACUGUACCAUGAACACUUAGUUACCAUUACCAUGCCUUGAGCACCUAGUUACCACAAACAUUAAUUUAGCCACUUUAGAGGUUCCUCAAUCACUAUAAAUAAUAUACCAACACCGUACCAUGAAAACAUCAAGAAGAGAGACAGGUACAUGGACCACCAUCAAGUGAGUAGUGACAGCAUGCACAAGAAUACCCGGAACCUUUUAGCUUGUCUGUAGUGAUCUGUUUUCUUCCCCGUAAAAUCCAUGAGUAUUGCCACAAAUAAUGAAAGAGGCUGACCAAGCUAGCAACGAGGUAGAGCAAACGUGAUACACGUAGGUUUCAUUCAAGACAUCCAUGUAAGAUUCAUUCAAAACAUUCAUGGAAAUUUCUUAUAAGUUUUCAUGUAAAUUUCAUUCAAGACAUUUGUUAGAGGUGUUGUAUAUAUACUUAACGUACAUAUAUCUAUGAUUUCAUGGUUGUUAGUGAUGGCAGAUGAGGAGCAUGCAAGGUAUUUAAUGGAGCAGAUUAUUGCUAGUGGCAGUGGCUCCAACCUGCCCGUAACGUACACCGACGAAGAGGGCAGCCAGGCGGACAUGUUCCUCAACAUGUCCGGUGAUGGCAAUGAAGAGCCCGAGCAAAACCUUGCCGUGACGGAAGGUUCCAGCGAGGUAUAUAUCAUUUCCAUUAUUUUACCCCAUCUAUAAUUUCAUAUUCAUUAUUACUAUGUACUAAUUAACGAAUCUUGAACCGUUAGCCCUCUAGAUCAACGAACCGAAAUAAGCCCCGAGGUCUUACAAAGAUAAUGCAGGGAAGGCUUCACAUCAUGGAAGUCACAGAAGAGGGCACCUCGGUUGCUCCCGAACAUGUGGCAAGAACGUACGUGAGUCAAACCGGGGCAAUCGUAAGGGACAACGUGCCCAUCAGCAUCAGGGAAUGAAAGAGCAAUAGAAAUGAUCUAUACGCACCCCCGGAUACACAAAAGGAUAUGCUGUGGGCAAAUAUCAAGAAACACUUCACAUUUCCCAAAGGAUAUGUUGAAAAAGAUGUGAAAGCGUGGAUGCUGAAGAAGAUGGCCACCCAAUUCCAAACAUUCAAGAAGAUGUUGGAUGCCAACUUCGUCAAGAAGGGUCGAACUCCGGGUUUCGAUGAGUGGCCAAAGUUAAGGGACCACUGGGAGUCAUUUGUCGAAUACAAGACGAGCGAAGGUGGUGCCAGUAAGGUUCGCAUCAAUGUUGCCAAUGCUAGCAAGGAGUACCAUCAUCAUCUAGGGCGACGUGGUUACAGCACUGCAAUUCCCAGAUGGCGCAAGAUGGAACAAGACUUGAUCGAUCGGGGUAUCGUACCAGCAACUCUUGACUGGCCUGAUCGAUUGAAAAAUUGGUAUUAUGCUCAUGAAGGCAAUCUGAGCCAAGAGGAUGCGACAUUGGUCUUCAAUAAAACAAUACAUCAGAAGGUCGGAAGGCUUAUUAGGAACAUUGAAGAUGCUAAAGCUGGGAGGUUCAAGGUGGAUAGAGAGAAUGAUGAACUCACAUUGGCCCUCGGGACUGUCAUCUCUAGCACUUCCAGCUCCAGGACUAUCAUCACCACCGGGACCGUCGCUUCUUGCUCGAUCACAGUCUCCAUCUCCAGCACAUCCUGGUGGUGCGAGCGACGACGACAACAACACCCCUCCCUGCCCACCAUUGCCGGGACUAAGACCCGCAUUGUGUAAGGAACCUGCAACACCACUGAAGAAGUCGCGACCACCACCUUCAAGGCAAGUCAGCAAAAGAAGAAAGCAGAGAAGCCUAAACCCACUGAGAAGCCAGCGACUGAUAUGACCGAUGCGGAAAGAUGGAAGGCACUCAAAGAAGAAUGCAUGGAGUGGUUCAGAAAAAGGACCAAAGAAAGAAAAGGAAAGGAGAUGGAGCCACCGCCAGUAGAUCCAAGAAAAUUAUAAUUUUUUAUUAAGAUGUCAAAAGGAGCUAAGAAGAUGAUGCCACAACUAUCAAACUACGACUGGGCGUUAGUCAAGGCUGAUGAGAGUUAAAAAAGGAAAGGAAAGUCAUCGUCAAGUGGUACUGUCCCCCAGCUCGAGGAUCUACCAGAAAAAGAUGCUAAAAAGAUAGUAGCAAUGCUCUUGGAUCAACAAACACAUAUAUCGUGAGAUUAAUGCAAGAAACAGGUAUGUCCCUUGCUGAAUGUCUAUGGCAAGUUGAUAUGCUAGCUCCAGAGCCAGUUGUACCGAAAUGGACCUUUGAGCUAGGCAAGCCUCUAGUAAGGCCUGAGUUGGUACAGAAGCUAUCCACAUAGAUGCAUGAAUUCCAUGAAUGGUACAUGAAGCAGUCUGCCAAUGAGAGGGAAAUGUUCGGUCUCGAGGAAAAACUAAUAAUUUUUUUCGGCGAAGGCGAGAAAGUCGUAUGAAUCAAAUUCAAGGAUAUAUAUGAAGUGAACCAUCAGGAUGCCCUUGAUGUCUCUCUCAUCAGCGCCUAGGUUUUGUAAGUGUAUGUUUAUCUAUACGUAAAUUUUGGCUCAUAUCAUUAUUUUUUUUGCGUGCGUCACCCUACUAACUUCGUCUUCCAUUUUAUGUAGGAUGCUAAUUCAGACGUGCCGCAUAGAAGCGUACUUCCAUGUUGGCUUCAUGGAUCCAUCCCUAGUUAACCAAAAGCCGAUACGGAAGUAGCUAGAGAAAACGUUGGAGGUGGUGUACAACUUUCUGGACAAACAAAACUACAGAAUAGGGGCAAUAUGUGAGGGUCUUGUAGGAUUCCUAGUGGACGAGGUGAUAAAUCCAUAAGGAGAAUAUCAUUACAACGGACGAGCAUUAGACACACUGAGCAACACCUAGACGGGAGGAUCCUAGGAAUGACCUCAACAGAUUUUGGUAUAAAUAGUAAUUGUGUAAAUACUAGUUUGAUUUGUAUAGGAAUAUACUAAGAAUUGUAUAUAUAGUAAUUGUACAAAUACUAGUUUGAUUUGUAUGAAUACUAGAUUGAUUUUAUUAUAAAAAAGUUUUAAGUCGUACGUGCAUGCGCCUACAAAGGCGCGGAUGCCCUUUAAUCCCAGUCGGAAAAACAAACCGGUACUAAAGGGGCUCGUGCCGCACCUGGCAUGACCACCCCUUUAGUCCCGGUUGAACGACCCAGGACUAAAGAUCUCCGCGUCUCAAAAAUUUUAUCUCGGAUGCUUUUUAGAGAGAUUUGAGGCCUAUCAACCAAGACUAAUAUCGAGUUUUCUACCAGUGGAACUAACUAACGUUCACAUGCUUUUGACAUUCACCUGCCAUUUGGUGUAGACAAGGGCACCCUAACAUAUGGUUAAUAUUAUUCUUGAAAGAAAAUCCUUUGAUUCAAAAUACUUCAAACCUAAUAAUACAAUACUUCUCACAUCUCAAAAAUAUGAGACGGCCCGACAGUAUUCUAACCGACGCAAUAAUAUUUUGAGGGCAGCACUACUACAGCGACCCUCAUUCGUGCCGGUGCUGGGACUCCUAUCACGACCCUGAUACAAAUGAGGGUACAUUAUUGGUGCCAGUGCUAGAACAGCCACCAAUAACUUGCUAAACGUGCUGUUACACUCACUACAGGGACCAAGAAGGUAGAUAAAUUACACGACAUAGCCUUGGUUGCCGUGGAAGCGCCAAGAAGGGAGACAAAUUACAGGGACCACACCAUCAAGUAGAUAGUGACAAUAUGCAGAUGAAUACCCGCGCCUGUUAGCAUGUGAACUGACCACACCACGAAACGUGAUACACGGCAAGCGUACCAAGGCCUUGCUGUGCAGACUAUGCGUGGACAACACAUGGUACCUGACCGCUUUUGGCCUCAGACACAUCGAAAAACUGCAUCGUUCCACGUUGUACAUCCACUGCUAGUUUAUCUAUAUUACAUAAUAUAUUAUUAGCUAUUUGAAUAGAAUGAACCAAUUAAAAAAUUGCGUUGUAUUUUAGUACCGGCUGCAGGAUGGUGUUACCAACCAGUACUAAUUAGCCUGUAGGAGUGAUGGUUAUUAGACUUGGUACUGUUGUUACAUCAUUAACCUAAUUGUGCGCGGUAUGAAUUUGGGGAUGCAAAGCUAGCUCUCUAUGAAUGUGAGGGACGGAAAGCUAGUUCUCUAGUAGUAAUUAGCUAUAUAUAUAUGACAGUCAAGAAAUCGAACACUAUGCUGCUACGAGUCACCAUCAUUUCCUUCAUUGAGAAUCUGACAUAGGUGAAGCUGCUUCAAGAAUUUCCUUCGCGCAGUCGUGGAGCUUAUUGGAUUAUCACCAGGACGGGACACGGAAAUGGCCAGCAAUGAAGCUGAUUGCCGUCUGAGGAAGACUACAUACUUUACCUAUGAAAUGAAGCGAUUGCAUAGACUAAUGAAGCAUUGCAUAUUUGCAUGUGAGUGUGGCAGAUAAUUCUGCAGGACAUGAUUGCAAUCCACGCACCAUCGAGAAGACUGGGGCGAUGGGGUUGCCUCAUCAAUAAUCACGUGGAUGCAUGCAUGCAUGUUCCCGCAACCGGACAAGGGUCUGAUAUAUGGCUAUAGUAUUACUGAGCCCACAUCAAUAAUUUCCGCUGGUGUAUCGUGUGGGAAGAAUCAACAUACUACACCUCGAGUUCUUGGAACUAACUGACGUUCACAUGCAACCUCCACAAGGUGCUGUAUAUAUGCUUUUGACAUUCACCUGCCAGUUCGUGUAGAGGACACCCUAACGUAUGGUUAAUAUUAUCCAUUUCAUGAGUAAAAUACUGUGAUUCAAAAAUACUUCAAAUCCCUUGAGACAAUACUUCUCACUUGACUAACCACUAACCAACCCCGAAACCCUAACUCAACUCCGAACCCUAACACCUAACGGCAUAACCACUCCGUUUUGCCAGCCAGAUGGAGGAACUGGCUGGGAGGGAGAGAGGGCAGCGGUCCAGGGUUGAAAACGACGGGCGAGCGCAGUAACAUGUGGAGGAGGAAGUGCCACGUAUUCGUUCACCGCUAUUGGGCAGCGACACACAACACGCCCAAUAAGAUCUUCGCACGGUAGAAGGACGUCAUGUAUUCAAUAAUGUUAUUGGUCCUCCAUGUGCAGAAGGGCGCGUAUGGAAUAACAAGUAGGGACACUGCAACUAAUCUACUCUGCUCGUCCAGUCCCUAGCCUAUAAAUAGAUGCCAUGCUAGCUCUUGUUGUGCUCACAGUUAAUCCGAUUACACACGAGCUCCUCUCCCUAGCCAAGACACAAUCAUAGUAUGAUGAAGAACAUGGCACUAGCCGGCAAUGGUAUGAAGAAGUUAAUCCUCGCUGUUCUCUUACUGUGUCUAGUUAUAGGGCAGAUACAAGUGGAAGCUAAGAGCUGCUGCCCAUCCACCACUGCAAGAAAUGUCUACAAUACCUGCCGUUUGACGGGUGCAUCCCGUCCAAUGUGUGCAAAACUGUCAGGCUGCCAAAUUAUCAGCGGGAACAAAUGCAAGCCCCCUAACGACCACCUCACCCUUGACCCGGACACUGGUAAAUAAUAAAUUUAUCUCACUUGAUUUCUUUGUGUUUUGAGUCGUUAAUGUAUUUUCCAUCUGAUGAAACGCAUUGGUUUUGCAUUGAAGAGGAAGUUAAUGUGCUUAACUUCUGCAAGUUGGGGUGUGCGUCGUCUGUGUGCAACAACAUCAACGCUGGUAAGCACCUUUUGCUCAGACAGAGAAAACAAUAAUCAUUAAUUAGCGGCAGCUAGAAUCCUAUAAUCUAAUAUAUAUAUAUAAUUUUAUCAGCUCUGGGAAAUGAAGAGGCGAACGAUGCCGUUGAGAGUUGCGACCAAGCCUGCUCUAGCUUCUGCAGCGUGCAUGUUGGCAGCGCCACCGUGGUUGCUUAAGCAAAUGCAUCCAACUAGAUCGUCCUUGUGCUGAAUAAUUGGAUAUCGUAUCCACUUAAAGCUGCCUUGUGUAGUACGUCUUUGUGUCUCUCUUUAUAUUCCAAUAAGGUCGGUGAUCUUGAUGCCACACACUCAGAUGUGUGUUCAUCUCCAGAUACUACUCCAUGCUACCUGCCCUUUGUGUUUUGUUCAAUAACUGGGUAUCAUAUCCGAGCCAGUAUGCCGUCUGUUUUGUGUUUGUUUCCUUCUAGUUCCAAAGGGGUCAUCAUGAUGUUACCUUCUUUCAAUAUGGUGCUUUGCAUGACUACUGUUGUAUGGUACCAUCUUGUGGCCAAUAAGUACAUCUUAUCCUAUGACCCUUUGCUAUGACCCUUUGCAAAUAAGUAGAAGAUUGUUAUAAGCGUCAAUACUCAGUAUAAUUGAUCGCUGCUGUGAGUUCCCUUUCAGCUUAUCGUAGGCAUACAUUAUUGCUAGCACGGUAAAGCCAACCAACACGAAUGAUGAAGUAAACGUAGCGGUACUUCUGUAUACCAACACCCUUACUUAAAUGUACCGGUGUCAUUCCCUACUGGCACAUAUAUUCUUAUAUGCUAGCCAGCUUGUAAAAUUAACCAAUUAAAAUAAUUAUUUCAAGAUAGAAAUAACUUAUUGGCUUCUCGAAGCAUGUGUAAUGUGAAUUCAUGAGACUUCAAGCAACCAGGAAAAGACACUAAUAAACAUCCAGAUCCCAUCCAGCACACAUCCAUGCACAUAUAUAACCCACAUAUUGCUCCAGCACACAUCCAUGCAUAUACGAUAUCCAAAUGUUAAUAUUGUAGACAUCCAUGCCUGAACUAGUCUGCCACACAAGUCAUUGAUGCUACAAAUUCUACAAUCGCAGCAUGUGCAUACAACUUACAGAAUGAGAUAAUGUACCAAAACUAAAACGUUAGCAUCAACUGUGCUUCAACCAAAGUUGUCAUCCCAACUCUCCUCUUCAUCCAUGCCAUUCUUGUCAUGGCCGUCGCUGUCAGUCUCCAUGGCAUUGCCAAUGCUGUGUAUGUCUUGGUAGGAACCUACAUGUGAUGAACAGUAACCUGCAAAAAGAGCUCAAAGGAUCUUGUUCUCAUAUUGUAGCUGUGAAAUUCUUGCAAGUAGUGUUGCAAUCUGUUCACUUUGAACCAAAAGAGCUCAAAGGAUCUUGUCCUAAAAGUUCCUCUUAAAGCUUAUGGGUUUGCUGGUGGAACCGGAAGGGCUUGAUGCAGCAGAUGCCAUUCUGCAAUAGAGAAAAAUUUAGAGGGCAGUACUAGUUAAAAUUUGAUGCAGCAGAUACACACGAAACUAGUAUUUAUACAAUUCUAUAUAUGUAAUAAUUUGUCCCCUAAAUUUUUAGGAUCCUCUUGAUGGUGGUGAGUCUUCCAGUAAGGCAAUUGAAUGUCCGUCAUAAUAAAAUUCUCCUUAGGAUUUAUCAUCUCGUCAACCAGAAAUCCUAGGAGUGCUUCUUGGAUUGCCAAAACCCUAUCCUGAUGCAGGAGUUCGUCCUUAAGCCUUAACAUUUGUAAUUUGGAAAUAUGUGAAAGUUAAACCAACAAUUAAAAUAUAAGGAGCCUUAUCAUCAUUUCCAUGUGUUGCGAAUUAAAAUAAUGAAUAAUACAGUGUUAGGUGAAAAUUCAAGAAACAAAAUUUUGCAUAGAGAUAAACGUCCAACAUUAUUACAAGUUAAGGUAGUUUUAAAUAUCCUUGUAAUCUUCCUUUGAUUUCCUCAACGAUUCGAAGACAAUAACCUUACUUCUAUCAAUGAUAAUUAUAAGGAGAACCCAGUGAAAACUGUGUAUUCAUAUUAGAACUACCUAAGGUUAAUUAGGUUAGGAAAGGAAAUCGAAAAUAGAUGGUACCCACACUUACUUAAAGUUGUCGGGCAAUAGUAUGUAAUGCUUGUAAUUCCGUUGCUCCAAGAAUUUGUAUAUGUGGUCCAAUGUAGACUUUGGUUGAUUCCGUAUCUGCUGUUGGUUAAAUAAGUGUUUCUAGCCAUUACUAGCCGUUAGAACUCGGACUAAAGGGGGCUCUUUAGUACGGGUUGAUAUUACUAAUCGGGAUUAAAGAGCCCCCAUUAGAGUUGGUUUUUGGACGCGGAACUAACAACUCCUUUAGUCCUAAGUACAAAAAUGACUGAAAUAUUUGUUGCUGGAUGGAAGGUCCUUUCUCUACCAUGAAUAUUGCCAGAAAGAAUUGAAAGAGACUGCUUGCUAAAAAUAUGUCAUAGAUGUAGACCAAGCUACCAAGGAUGUAGACCAAACAUGAUACACACCAUGCGUACCUUGCUGUGCAGACUAUGCAUUGACAAGAUAGAAAUAAUUAAUUCUAAUAUGCGUACCCUUACUUACACUAGUAGAGAAUUGGGCUUUAAUCCCGGUUGGUAAGGUGCAAAUAUCUCGAAAAUGCAUCCGGGAUAAACCAACCGGGACAAAAGGGGGAUCUUUUAUCCCGGGUCACUCAACACGCGAUUUUUCACAAAAAAAAAAUUCCCGAGCUCCCAGGCAGGCCCCCCACACGCGAUUUUUCACGCGAAAUAUGCGCGUGCGCGGUUCGUGGGAUUCGAACCCACAACCUCCAGCCUCGCGCGUAGUUUCCUUGCCAUCCCACCUACACACCACAUCUGACUAUGUAGGGGAUACUAUCCUUUUGUAUUAAAAGGCUCUUGACCCUUUUAUCUCGGUUGGUGUUACCAACCGGGAUAAAAGGGGGGGUCUUUUAUCCCGGUUGGUGUUUCAAACCGGGAUAAAAGGCCUCUCAGAGUCUUUUUUUCCCAUUAGCCUUUGCAACCGGGAUAAAAGGUUCCGGUUGGUGAGCCCCCCACCAGUGACCGAGUUUUAGUCCCGGUUGGUGAACCUUUUGUCCCGGGCCAACUUUAAACCGGGACAAAAGGGGGCGUAUGGAAAGCCAAUUCUCUACUAGUGUUAAAUAUACCGGUGUUAUUGCCCACUGGCACAUAUAUUCUUAUAUGCUAGCCGGCUUGAAAAUUAACCGAUUAAAAUAAUUAAUUCAAGACAGAAAUAACUUAUCGGCUUCUCGAAGCAUGUGUAAUAUGAAUUCAAGGACUCGAUGGAAGUUGAAUCGCUUCAUCUAGAUUGCUUUCAGGAUUUUGGGUAACUAAAUUUAACAUUUGCACACACAAAUGUUAAUGUACAAAUGUUAAAUCUAGUUACCCAAGCAGAAUAUGAAUAUACUCUAUAGUAUACAUAUACUAUAUAAAUCUAGUUAAUAUUUAGUCUAAAUGUUAAAUCUAGUUACCUAAAAUCCUGAAAGCAAAAUGUAUAAAUAUAUAUCUUUUAAGGCAGUAUAAACUUCGAUUCCUUUUGCUGCUCUGUUAAAUCUCAUCUUUCGUUGUGGCCCAACACUCUAGUAUGUAUGUUGCACCAAGCUUCCUUGAGCCGCUCUGCCCUCUGAUUUUGCUGCGUAGGGGAAUCUUUAUCAGGUUGGGCUGCUUCCAGUCAUACGAUGUGUGGCUUCAUAUCUUCUACAAGUUAGACAGGAAACCCGCGUUCUGGAAGAUUCUGCAACGUGCACGUUGGCGCUGCCACCGUGGUUGCUUAAGCAAAUGCAUCCAACUGAAUCGUCCUUGUGCUAAAUAAUUGGAUAUCGUAUCCACUGCUUAAAGCUGCCAUGUUUAGUACAUCUUUGUUUUUCUCUCUUUAUAUUCCAAUAAGGUCGGUGAUCUUGAUGCCACACACUCAGAUGUGUGUUCAUCUUCGGAUACUACUCCAUGCUACCUGCCCUUUGUGUUUUGUUCAAUAACUGGGUAUCAUAUCCUAGUCAGUGUGCCAUCUGUUUUGUGUUUGUUUCCUUCUAGUUCCAAAGGGGUUAUCAUGAUGUUACCUUCUUUUGAGGUGUCUAUGACUUUGUUAAUAUCAAUAUUAACCAAUUCAAUCUAUCUUAACUAUUUGUAAGGGGUAUGAUGUAUGCAUGAUUAUAACAAUGAUUGCGCAUACAAUCACUGCCAAAGAAACGGUCAAUACCAUAAAGACAUAUUACAGACAAUUCUCAUAAUCUAUAAUGAAUAUACAUAUUCACUACUGCAGAGACUGUCAUCUGUAUCAGCUCAUACGUGCCAGGGCAAAGGUCACCCUUGCAUUAAAAGUACAUUUGCACGGUAAAGAUAACCAACACGAAUAAUGAUGUAAACAUGCCGGUGCUUUUGUACACCAACACGCUUACUUAAAUGUACUGGUGUCAUUCCUCACCGGUAGCCGGCUUGAAAAUUAACCAAUUAGAACAAUUAUUUAUUGUAUCGGUGUGAAUUUUGACCUAUUGGAAUAUGAAUUUGACCAUUACUGCAUUCGUCAAGACUCAAGAGAGAAAUAACUGAUCGGCUUCUUAGAGCGUGUGCAAUGUGAAAUCAAGGACUGGAUGGAAGUUGAAGCGCUAGCUUCAUCUUCCGCUGCAUGUUAAUUGCUUGGAUAAGAAGUUGUAGCCGCGUAUAUAAAUAGUCCCGCUGAUGCUGUGCUCCGAAGUCUAUACUAUAUAUGCGAAAACUAGAUUGCUUUCAGGAUUUUGGGUAACUAAAUUUAACAUUUGUACAUAAAAAUGUUAGUUUACGAAUGUUAAAUCUAGUUACCCAAGCAGAACAAGAAGAUAGUAUAUACUAUAUACUAUGUAAAUCAAGUUAACAUUUAGUCUAAAUGUUAUAUCUACUUACCCAAAAUCUUGAAAGCAAAGAAAGAAUAAGUAUAUAUCUUUUGUUGGAAAAUUGGUCCACGGAGAGUGGCCUCGUUCGUUUCACCGGGAAGGAAUUCCAGUCAGGAUUACUUCCAAGUCCGGUUUAAGUGAUUCCACCCAUGUCACUCAAUUCGGCUAGGAUUCAUUCCAGGGGUGAGGAGGUAUGGUUUCAAUCCGGGCCAUCUAAUGUAGAAGGAUUCCAAUCCAGGCCGGUUUUCGUUCUAGGCUAGACUAAAACGAACAACACUUUCAAUGCAAGUCUGGUUUCAAACCGGGCCACUUCAAACCACCCGGAAUGGACCUCAUUCCGGGCCAAUCCGGUGAUAACAAACGAGGCCUUAAUGGAAUCCCAAAGCAAGAGUUCAGUGGCAUUCUAUAGUCCCAUGCUGCUAGUUUGAGUUGGUCGAAGCCAACUUAAAUAGGAGAGCUCUCUCACUUCUCUAAAAAUGUAACUGAAGGAGAGAAGGGGGCUUGGGUUACACAACGCACGCACGCACGCAUAUUUGCAUUCUUUUCGCGUAACCGACCGCGUGACUUGAAACUUGCGACGUAGCGUGCUGCUAAGUCAAGUUGAUAUAACCUUUUUGCCGUUUGCGUGUAAUCUUUUGACAACGGUCAUUGGAGGUGAUAAGCACGCAGUCAAUACCUUAAUCCUGAGUUAAUAGGGCGGUUACUACUGCCAAUUAGUGCAGCAAUUUUGUAGGGGAAACGGUUAGCAGAGGGCUACCGUCUUCUCUAUAAGAAGUUUUGGAGACGUCCAGGAACACACAUGUACAUGUGAGAGACCCACGGAUUCCUUCCCUUCUCCCUUUUCCAUCUGGUGAAGUGUGCUAUGGUACUGAGCUGCUGGAUCUCGCUGGCUCUUCUCCUUGGCGUGCACCGAGGAGGAGGAUGAGCGGUAUCUCUGAGCUAUUGCCGUCAGGAAGCCUGCACGAGGGACAACAAUAAAGUUUUUAGGUAGCGCCUGCCUAAUCUUCGAUCUGCACUGCAACGCGUAACCCUGCAGCAACUCUACACGAGGACGGAGCACUAAUCUGUAAGUCCUAGAUUGGUUUCUUACAGAGUUGUAGGUUACACAAGAUCUAGAAUGGUUACAUACCAAUUAUUAUGGGUUACAUGAUGUUUUGUACGGUUUCGUCUAUUUUGCAUAUGUUAUUUUUACAUACCGUUUACAUGCAUAUGUUAAUGGUUACACCUAGCUAUUUGAAUCUAGAAUUGGGUUACAUAGCAGUAGCAAUGAGUUACGUAAUAUGCCUCACGUUUAUAUCUGGUAGAAUUUAACACGUAUCUCCAACAUAUUUUGAGGCAGUAUAAAUUUCAAUUCCUUUUGCUGCUCUGUUAAAUCCCGUCUUUCGUUGUGGCCCAACACUCUAGUAUGCAUGUAGCACCAAGCUUGUUUGAGCCGCUUUGUGCUUUGAUUUUGCUGCGUAGGGGAAUCUGUAUCAGGUUGGAUUGUUUCUUUGUCUUGCGAUGUAUAGCUUCAUAUCUUCUAGAGGUUAGACAGCAAAACCCGCAUUCUCUUAAGGCAACAACCCGAAGAAUCUGCAGCGCCUCUGAUAUAUCACUGCUGCAGAAACGAUCUUUAGUACUGAUCUCCAACCCUCUUUAGUAUCGGUUGGGCAACCAGUACCACUAUGUCGGUACUAAAGGGAGUUCUCUAGAAUCGGAUCAAAUAACCGGUACUAAAAGGGCUCCUUUACUACCGGUUGGUAACAACAAUAGGUAGUGACUUUUUUGCACCCAAAAAAUUAAAGAAUAACAGCCGGGAGGCUCGCACACACACGCAUCAUGAGUAAUAUGCGCGUGCAUGGUUUGUGGGAUUUCAACCCACGACCAAGCUAUAAGAACGUAGUUACAACAAAUCAAACACUUAGACAUUUUAGAGCAUCCCAAAUAACUACAAAUUCUAUAGUUUACCAUAUACCAUAAAAUAUUAGUUAAAAUAAGAGCAUACACAUGUCGGAAGAGUCCCAAUGCACCGGUUGAGGAUCAGACCAGGCACUUUGAAUGCACAUGCCAUAAGAUAAUUCUGCAGGACAAUGAUUGCAAUAAUGGACCAUCGAGAAGAUAGGGGCGAUGGGGUUGCCUCAUCAAUUAUCACUUGGCGCAACAAGACCAGCAAAGUCUUUAUCGACGGGGGUGGAUCAAGGGGUGGGGCAGGCAGAGCUCCAGUCCUCCUACCGCCGCUCGAACAAUGGAGCCCCCUUAGCCCCUCCAUAAAUUUUUAGGUAGAAGAAAAAAGAAGAGAAGGGAAGCAAGGGGAAGAAGAGGGAGCCCCUGCUAAGUAGGUCGCCAUCGUGCUUCCCAACGCAUGAUCGCCGCACCGCAUCCAUUCCUCUACAAGCCUUCAGCGUCUCUCCCGCCGCUACCUCUGAACCAUGUGCAGCUAUAGACCCAACUAGUGUGUUGUCGCCCAUCUCAGUCCCAACAGAGCGGCGGCGGCUGCCAACACAAAUCUCCCUCCGCCUCUUCUUCACGGUCGAUGGCCGCCACAAGCAUAAACCUCGCCUUCGCAUCCAAGCAAAAGGGUCGUUGGGGUGCCUUCUUGCAUCACUUCUCAGCCUCCUUCACUUGCGGCCAGCGAAGAACUGCGCCACCACCUCGGGUGCGUGCCACCACUCCAGGGCCGCUACCCCAUGCCUGCGGCCGCCACCGGCCACCACGCGUGUGCAACCGCGUUGCACCGCUUCCCUGCUUUGUGCCACCACUACUGCUGUACCACCAGCUCCACCACCUUGGGAUGGUCGCCAGGGUGACUGAUUGGUGAUUAUUACUAAAAAUAAGUUCCUUAUUAUCUGCAACUACUAUUAACUCAGAGAUACAUGCGUCUUUUGCUUCUCCUGCUAAUAGGUCCUAAAAUAUCUAGGAUGCUUUAUAUUUCUGGACAGAGGAAGUAUUUGAAUAAAAUGAACCAAUUUAAAAAAAAUGUGUUGUACACUACUACAGAAAGACCUAUCAGUGUCAAACCCAAAAAUGUCGUCACCGCCAGUUUUAGGCAUCGUUGGUGAAAGGUUGGCGGUGAUGGGCAUCCCCUUCAACAACGGCACUGGAGCCGACGGUGAUUGACAUUAGAAAACAAAAAAGGGAACCCCACCUAGCCACCCCUGCAACCCAGCCGGCCGUGCCUCCCCUCAUGCCCACCACCUCGCCUCCCCCGUGACCCCCCGCCGGCGCCCUUGUGCCUAGCCCCCUCGCCUGCCCGGCCGGCCACCCUCGUCAUGAGAGAGAGAGGUGCAUGUUGUAUAAUUGCGUGAAUUUUUGAAUGUUUAAUUUUAUGUAAGUUCCAUGUAAUAAAUUGUACAAGUUUUAUUGUAUAUAUGAAUUCCAUAUAUAUGUAUUUAUAAUUUAAUGUAUGGUUUCAUGUGUAUAUUUCAAUCAUGUGUAUAAUUAGUAGAUUGCCGAUUUUCUUUUUCUACUAGACAAGGGUUGAUGUAUAAUUACGUGUAUAUGUUUAUUGUAUGGGCAAUUAGGACAAGUUUUGUAUAAAUUUCUUUUAUUUCAUGGUUGUUGUAUGGUUUCAUGUAUAUACAUUUAUUGUACUACUUGAGACAAUUUUAAUUUAAUAUUUCUAUGAUUACAUGUGUGUAUAACUAAUUGUAUUAUUAGUUAAGAUGGGAGCCAAAGAGGAUGAAAGGUAUAUAAUAGAGUAGAUUAUUGCUGGCGGUAGUGGCUCAAACGUUGCAAGAACCUACACCGAGGGUGAGGGUAGCUAGGUGGACAUGUACCUCAACAUGUCCAGUGAUGGCAAUGACGAUGAGGAGCACGAGCAUGACGUCUAUGAUAAUGCGGAACAAGACAUUGCAGAAUUGGAAGGUUCUAAUGAGGUGUGCUUCAUGUUGACGAUCUAGUUGGCUUUUUUUCUUUGGUCACACCUUAGUUACCAUAGAACUUCGUCUCGGGAGAAGAUUGGUGGUGCUAUGGUGAUUGGAAUUUUAUUGCCUCCAAAUUUGAUUUCCAUCGAAUCAUAUCCCUUGUAUUUAUCUUCUUUUUAUUUGUGAGAGCAUCUUCUUUAUGCUUGCAAAACAAUUCAAGUGCACAUACUACCCCUAGGGUGAUGAUUGGGAGUAGAAACAAUUGCCAACAAAACAACACCACAUCCUAAGAUUCUUAACUUGUGGCAUAAUUAAUCUAGUGAAAAGAAAGAUAAAAACCUAAUGGGUGUACGUGAGUGCAAUGUGUAUAUGCAUAUGAGUGGAAGGCAUAUAAGCAAAGACAAUAUUUACACAUAGUUCUAAACACCAUGUUUACAGCUAGGUUGCUGAAUUUCUCCAUAGCUAUAGAGAUUAAUUAACCAAGGUCAAAACACGAUGUCUAUCCCAAGAUCAGUAAUUCUUUAUAGCACAAGAAAAAUAAAGCGCAUUGCAAAGUUUAUAAACCAACCAAUACAGCAUGAAAACAAGAUGAAUAGCUAGCAAGGUUUAUUAAAUUGAAUGAUGACGGUCUGCAAGCAAGUUUGAACACCAUCUUUACACAAGAUUGCAAAUGGAAAAUGCCCAUAUGAAGCACUAACAUGGAUAUGAAAUCAUUCAUCAUAAAGCGUAAAGAACAACCAAGCCAACCAUAUGCAAAGCAUGAAUGGAAUGCAAUGAAGGUGCAAGAGAACAUUUUUGGAUGAACACAUUAUGAUGAUGGCAAAAUGCAAUGCGUGCAGAAAUAAUAAAUAUGAACAUGAAUAUGAUGAUCAGGGGCGGACCCACUAUUGUGGCCUGGGUAUUCCUGGGCAUACCCAAUAUUUUUGGGAAAAUGUUUAGUAGUUUUUAAUGGCAUAUACAUGUAUAAUAUAGUUUAGGUGUUAAAAUUGAUAUUCACAGCUAUUUUGGGCUCCAAUUCGCGUCCAAACCAACCUAGCCCACAGACCACACCCGGCCGGCCAGCCCAUCGGCCCAUCUAGUCACUGAUCCUUCCACCACCACACUCAGCCCAUCAGUCGGUCAGGUCCCGAGCUCCUGCCUGACCUAGUCUGCUACCGCCGCCGGGCGCCAAGCACAGCCGUACGCAUUGCACCGCCCCCGUCCACCCACGUCCGUUGGGGGGCCAAGCCGCGCCCCCCAGCCCCCGCGGUGAGAUCUCGACGCCCGCUGCCCCCAGACCCCAUUAGGCCUCCAUCGGCAAGUCCACCCACAGUCCCACGGGACGGGGCAGCCUUUUGGCUUUGGGCGCUCGGGGCGCGCCAAUGCCAGCGCAGCCCCAGCAGGCGACUGCCCCCCCCCCCCGCAUCAGGCCUCAGCCCCUCCCCAGCUCCCCCUCCCCCCUCCACCAGGACUGCUUGUUGGCCCCCACCGCGAGGUAAUCGAAAUGGACUGCUCAAUCACUCAAUCUGUUGACAUGAUGCACACGGNNNNNNNNNNNNNNNNNNNNNNNNNNNNNNNNNNNNNNNNNNNNNNNNNNNNNNNNNNNNNNNNNNNNNNNNNNNNNNNNNNNNNNNNNNNNNNNNNNNNNNNNNNNNNNNNNNNNNNNNNNNNNNNNNNNNNNNNNNNNNNNNNNNNNNNNNNNNNNNNNNNNNNNNNNNNNNNNNNNNNNNNNNNNNNNNNNNNNNNNNNNAUUUUUUUGCAAUGAGCAUACCCUACUCUGAAAUCCUGGGUCUGCCACUGAUGAUGAUGGUCUAAACAUAAAACAAGCCAAGAUUAAUUAGCCACAACUGAAAUUAAGCAAAGGUUAAUGUCAUUGACCCUAGCUCUAUCCUAGCUUUUACAAAAGUCCCAGCACAUAUAGUGGUUGGGCCCACUCUCUCUGCUUCCCUCUCUGCUGCAUGCAUGCACACGAGCAACGGGAGGCCCCACAAAGCCCAGAAGGGUUCGGCUGAACCCGGCCGAUCCAAUCUGAGCACCACUCCCUCCCAGCCUUCGCGCAGAUGCUCCUCCAACAUUCCUUGACCCCUCCCUCAGCGUCCCAUUGGGUUUAACAUUGCAGGAGAGGAGUCCCUUUUUUAAAAUCUCAACCACCUCCUCUCCUCAUUCACUCCACUCUCAUCUCCAUCAAACUCACCAAGAUCCACAUCGGAAAUCCCUGCUUACCACCAUGGCUGGCAAAGCCCUCGUCCCUUUCACCAACUUGGGCUUAACCAUUGAUCUCGAUGGGGAAAUCACUCCGGAAAUAGGGCAGUGACCCAGAGCAAAGGUGAUGCCAGAGUGUAGAUAGCAGUUAGCAUGCCAAAUUGUGAACCGCAAGCGCUCGGAUUAGUUGUUUUUUUUCCCUUAGAGAUUCCCCCAAGGUUUAUCAAUCCAUGGAACAAGGGAUUUGCACAUUUCACUAAGCAUUAAUCAAUGUAAUUGAAAGCUUUUUGAAUAAGAUAUGAUUAUGCUAACAAAGGAACUAAGCAAUCUAGAUUAAGAUGGAUAGAGAGUAAAGGUUGUGAACAAGAUAGAUUAAACGCUUAUAGAUGCAAUCACCAUGCAUGAAUGAAUUAGAUCUAGGUGUUAUUGUGAGUGGUUGUGAACCAUACCCCAACACUUUCCCACCCGCAACAUUGUCACUACAUGUGGGUACUCAACUAUCGAAACAUAAGAACACAUCAAGAUGAUCAUUCUAGGUAAGCAAAUAAGCAACCCAAAGUAGCGCUGGCCAGCCUUUUCAUGAAAGAGCAUCAUCAAGAUAAGAUUGAUAACAAAAUAGAUCUCAACCAAAGGUUCAGCGAUUACAAAUCAAGAUCUCCGUAUAACCCCGAUGACAAAUAGAGGUAUUACCCCCAUGAUCUUACACAUGUUGAUGAAUUUUAGGGUAAAGGACGCCCUGUAGAUCAACUGGACCAAAGAUGAUGAUGAACAGGGGCAGGGAAGGCCCAGGCUGAUCAGCCUGGGCACUUUUGAGCCGAUCAGCUUAGGGAGUUUCCUCCUCCCCUGGUGCUCCUCUUCGCGUGGCCUCCUCUGGAUCCAAUCUUCUCUUCAUUUCUCCUACUUGUGGUGGCAAUGGAUGGUGUUUGCAUGGUGAUUUCCUCUUCUCCCCAACUCUCCCUCCUUGAAGUCCAUGAGGGGGUAUUAAUAGUCUCCAAUAUGCGGCAGCUCUGGGUCAAUGUCGGUGAAAAAACCCUAGAGAUCAUCGUACACUUCACGCUGAGGAAACAAGAGGUCGACCGAGCCCUGGGAUAGACCAAGAGGAUCAGCCUAGAGGGUCCCAGGCCAAUCGGUCUAGGCCCUUCCUAGCCCUUCUAGUCCUCUCCUUCCUCGUGCUGGCUUUUCUCGAUGACCCUUGUCCAAAUAUCCAUUAAGCUCUAUAUACAUACCCCCUUGAUUAUGUCGUAUUUCCUGUCAAAAUACAAUGCUCCAAAAUACAACACAUAUGCAAUAAUAGGGUUAUUUCAUGUGCCAAUUGGUGCGUUAGUAUACGAAUAAGCAUGAAAAUACUGGUUAAAUGACACUAAAAGUGUGUCAAUAACGAGCACCAACAAUCCCCCCACGCUUAGAUCUUGCUCGUCCUCGAGCAAGUCUAGCGACUAAAAGAUCUUGAAUUAAACAUGAGCAAGCGAGUCAAGUACCUAGCCUUGAAACAAAAGAUUAGAGGAGCAGCAAAGAUAAUCAAAGUCUGGGUGUUCAAAGAUUUAUCUAAGCAAAGAUUCCCCUACAACUAUUAUUCAGAACCAAGUAACUUCAAGAAUCAACUACACUUAUUUUCUGGCUUUUUUCAGAGGGUUUUUCUUUCAUCACAAAACAAUCUCCCUGCAACAAAAUUGAAAAAAGAAUUAUUUUCCAGGUGCUUACAUGUCGUUUAAAUGAAUGUUCGCUAUCCUACUUAUUUGCAAGCUCUCAUCUCUCAAAAUUCAUUCAAUUAUAUGGUGGAGCUUGGGUAAGGUUAGCUAGAAUCAACACGUAUAUUAUUGAAUUAAGAAAACCCUCUAACGGUAGCCUACCUUUCGAGCCAUUGAUCAUAAGAAUAUCCACAUAAUGUGAAGUUUUCAAGGAUGAGAAUAGAAUGGUGGACAUGUGCAAAGGCAAAGAAAUAUAGUGACUCUGAGGCACAAGCAAUGUCCUCGUCGUUGGAUUGCAUAUGGUUGGAAUGAAAAUCUGUUCCUUAAACAAGUCCAUCUUUUCUUUGCACCACUCUUGAUCUUCAUGACAGUAAAAACUCCUCCUUUAUUUCUUUCUCUCUUUUCCUAUUAUUUCUUUUUAUUUGUCUCAAUACUUUUCUUUCUUUAUUUCUUUAUUUUAAUCUCUUCUCCGAACCUCUUCUGAACACCACACAAUAAAAAUCAGUUUUAGAUCCUUCUAGAGACCUUCCAGGAAUUUGCUACAUGAAAACCGAGGCAAGGAGACCCCAGGCCGAUUGGCCUGGCCACUCCUUUGCUCUCCUCUAGCUCUUCUUUCUUGUGAAGCUUCCUUAUCUUGUAUCUUUCCAAAAAUUUCAUAAAGCUCAACUAGAAACGGAACACAUCUUCAUAUAAUGAGUUGUGUUCAAGGAAUUGGUAAUAAAAUUGAGAAAUUUGUGGUUCGGGUUUACGAAUUCAGUACAAAAAUAUGAUUAUUCCAAUGAAGAACUCUCAUUACUGAAUAUUGACGAGGCAAGCAUUCAAAGAUGGUAAAAAGGAUAUGAUCAAUUCUCAGAAUUAAAGCAAACCAAGAGAGAGCGAUCCUAAUUCAAUUCAAAGUGUCAAAUGUUGCUUAUGGUGGUAUGAAUAAAUAUUUUUAGGCAUUGGGUAGGAUAAAUAAAAACUCUCAACCUGGUUAAAAGAUAUUGAUCAAUCUUGUUUUUGCAGAGGUUUUAAAUAAAAAAUAAAAUUUUAAAUCACCUCCAAUUCAAAGCCUUACUCAUAAAUCAUAAUCAAAACUGAAGCACUUGAUCAUCAUAAAGCAUGGGUAUUGCAUAAACAAAUCGAUUACUAAAACUCCACAACUACGAUUUAGAAUUCAAGACAAUGCUCAUAAUCUAAAGUUGCAAAGACAAAAUAAAAGACAAGCAAGCCAAGGUAGACACUAAAAACACUUGCACGAUCCUUGAAUUUUAUUCAUGCUUCUUCUCACAAAGACGCUAAAGUAGCCAUGUAGGCCUAAGUCUUCCCAAAAGCUUAAGAAGACUACUACUUUAUCUACUUUUGGUUCUAAUAAAAACACUAAUCUAGACUCUCACAUGAUUCGACUCGACCAAACUAGAUCCAAAAACUCAUACGAGCGACAAUCUCCCCCCCCCCCUCUCAAAUCUACGACCUCCUCGUGGUAACCAUAUGGAGUACAAGGAAAAGACGCUUGUAAACGCACUAAUGACGCUACCCGGACUACUUGCACACGGAAUGGUUGCUGUUUCCUUUGCUUUGUUCUUCGUCAUGUUGCUGCACAUCCCGAAGAGCUUCCUCACGUUCCUCUGCAAGAACUUGAACUUGAACUUGUCCUCCUGACGGCAAUCAUUAUCUUCUGCCUUUUGAUCCAGAGCUUGUAAGGCUUGCAUGAUGUCAUUGAACGCAUCGAAGAGGUAGUGGAUGUUCUUCCUGCAAGCUGUGGAACAUGUACGAUCAUGCUCCUACGAUUCUGGCCCGUCGUCUUCUAGAUCCUCCUCUUUGCCCUUGUCUUGACGGUGGCCAUCUUGCUCCUUGCUCGUCUUCUUGCCUUCAGCCCGAUCCCAGUACGUGUUGUCAUCUUCUUCAUCAUCACGGCCUGCAGCACCCUAUGAUCCAUUGUCUAUCUUGUAUGAAAGAAUCAGAAGCUUGUUCUCCUCAGGGUGUCUUGCGCGGUGCAGCGUUUGCAAGUGCAAGGCUUGCUAGUUCUUUUUACACAUUGUAAUGUUCAUUGCAUGCUCUAAUUGUUCUACAUUUGUAAUUUCUUGGUGAAGUUUGGUUACUGAUCCACUGUUUGAUUAACUCUUGGGCCCAAACACUGUACUACUUCUGAUUAGAUAUCUGUAUCUUAACUUUGACCAAAAAAAAUAUCCGGCAGUUUUUGCCAUUAAAGUUUCAUAAAUCAUCUUGCAAAAAUCGUACUAUACAACAAGGGACGGUUUAUUAUAAAAUAUACGUUCCCCUUAUCACAUGCCACUUCCACUCAAAAGGCAACGAAUCAGUUUUCAAUCCUGAGUGAGCAAUUUGCUUUUAUUACCGAUGCCUCCUAUUCCCUUGUGCACCAAGUUCAUUUUGGAUAGGACUGCAAAAAGCGACUAACCAGCUCGGAUUCUCCACCUGCAAAACCGCAUCUGCAGCAACCAACCCCACGCGGUGGAAAAAAAAACAAAACCCAGAAACCGGACGGGGGUGGAUGUGGGGCUCGGAGCCCAAGCAAAAAAAGGAUCGGGAGCGCCGGAGCAGGCCAUCACCGGAUGUUAGAGAUAGAAAAUGGUUGAAGUUGGAGUGGAAAUCAAACAAGCCUUGGAGCAAAGGAAAAAAAAGAUCAAACCACUCAAGCAUUCAUUUGAUUUAGAAAAGAGAACAUUUGUUAAGGUGGGGAGUUGAAAUCAUCUUUUAAUUAGUUCCACGUAUCUGGUAUCAUUACAGUUGGUUGACUUGUGUAAGUAUAUAAGUAGCUCUGCCGAAGCCUUUGCUCCUAUAAUUUAGUAACUAGUACAAAUGGAUCAUUAGGAAAAUCAAGUUGCAAUCAUUUCUCAGCCAACCAAACCUAUCUAAAUCAAAUUAUUGUCCAUGCCCGGCAUGCACAGGUGCCUGCCAUGCAUGCAUUGUUGCUCCAUUGUAAUAACCAUUAUUGUCCAUUGAUGUUCCAGCGCAUGUGUGCACUGUGCAGACACCAAGCAUCGAGAUUAUGUACUAGUAAGGUACCAAGAACACGUGAAGCACACGGGGGAGGCUGCUCCACUCGGCAUGCACAGGUGGGGCACGGCACCACUACUCGUCUCCUUCAGGCAGAGGACAAGUGAUGUACGCUGAUCAACCACUAGUAGAAAAACGACUUUCCAUCCACCCCCUUUUGUCCCGGUUUAAAGUUGGCCCGGGAUAAAAGGUUCACCAACCGGGACUAAAACUCGGUCACUGGUGGGGGGCUCACCAACCGGGACCUUUUAUCCCGGUUGCAAAGGCUAGUGGGAAAAAAAGACUCUGAGAGGCCUUUUAUCCCGGUUUGAAACACCAACCGGGAUAAAAGGUGGUCUUUUAUCCCGGUUGGUGUUUCCAACCGGGAUAAAAGGGUCCCCACGAGUUAAUACAAAAGGAUAGUAUCCCCUAUAUAGUCAGAUGUGGUGUGUAGGUGGGAUGGCAAGGAAUCUCCGCCCUCUCCACCUUCGGUACUCCAUGGGAAACCAUUCCUUUGGAACCAAGGAAGCUUGAACAGUAUAACGAAUAAAGUUUCAUAUAUCCAUUUGAUUUCACAUGAAAUAAAAUAUCCUGUCAGAACCAAUGGUUUCACUGAAGCUCCAGGCAGCGAGCGAAGGGGUGAGAGAGGAUAACGCUUACUGUGUGUUACCAUCACGUGCACCAUGGAUGACCAACGCGCAGCCGAGAUGAAACGGCGGACCUAAACAGGUCCUCGCUAUUUUUGCAGGUUCUCGACCAGGCCAGUUCUUUGGGCCAACCUAUAAUUCACGAGUUAAACAUACGGUGGCUGUAGAAAUGUUCUAUUCUUUUCAACAAUACCAGCUGGUUCCUCCGUUUUUAUUCCACCAAUACAAGCACCACCUUGUAACAUUUCCUAUGUUUUUUUUCCUUUCGUCUGUUUUCUCACUACAUGCGUUGCUCUUUCAUGCAUUUUUUUCCAUUCCUGUAUUCCAAAUAGGUCUACAUGAACACAAAAUGAACUAGGGGACAGAAAAAGCCAGUGAAGUUAGUUUUGAGCUUCACCAGCUACUUGCUACAUAAAGUGUGCUAUAGUCGCAGAAAAGCUAAGCUGGAUCAGACGUGGCCGAAACCAUGCCAAAGAGCUAGGUCCCUAGCUGAUGGCAACACAUCAGAUGACUAGCCUGCUUUUUUGUAAUAAUGAUAUUGAGCAAUACACUGCAUGGCUAACCUGCUUUACAAUAAUUGUCAUUUUAUAAUAUUGGUCAUCACGAGAGAUGCACAUUGCAUACACCGGUCCAUCCCUAUAAAUAGCCAAGCCUUUCAGCCAUCUUGGGCACCUCCUCUCAGGGCCUCGUCUCACCAUUAGACAUCUCGUUCCCAGUUAUAAUUUGCGAGGUUAGAUCAGGCUGCGCCAUGGCGUCCGCAGCUGCUGUCAAGAUCGCCGCCAUCUUCAUGCUGGUGCUGACCAUGGGCCACCUGAUGGCCGAAGCAUCACCGCAGCCUCGGCGUCUGCUUGCAGAAACGGAGCAUGCUGCGGUGUCCGGGAAUCCUGGCCUCCCAGGUGAUGCUAGCGUCAUGCAGGUCCUCGAACCCGCCCUAGUUUCUCCUCUUGCCUGCAAGCCAGAGUGCACAGUCCCUUGGCCUCCUUUUGUAUGUAUCUGCUAGAUCCUCUUCCUGGAUCAACGGAACUUCAGGGAAAUGGCUGUGACGUCGGCCAAAGAAUAAAUUGGCUGAACAUAAUAUACCCCGGGUAGUGUAGCUUGGGCUUUUGUUGAGCGUCUGGUACUAGUUGUAUUUUGUUUGCUCAUGUGGCUUUGUUUCUGGUUGCAUAUUGUCUUUCCUAUCGCUCUCUGUUGCAGCUAUGGUUUCUGCCAGGUGUGUGUCAAUGCGGUUUGUAAGCGGUGCUUGUUCCUACCUUCUGUUUUCAAUAAAAGAAGUCGGAGUCUCCCUCCGACUCUUGUUAUCAGUCAAGAAAAAUGAGUUGUAUCAUAUAUAUCUGCGUCUUUUUUCUAUGUAUCUCUGGGCUGCUUCAGCUGGAAGUUUAUCGUAAGUACGUGUAUCAGGAUGAUCGUUUGAAUUAAAACGAAAUGAUAAUGUGUGGCUGCUAGAAAUGGAAUGAGCAUCUUACUAUAUUACUAAUUGGAAGCCUCCACGUGAAGCCACCUAGAAAUUCUAGGUGGAUGUUUUAAAAAAAAGAAAACCAAUAGAAGCCUCCACCACCUAGGAAUCCUAGAUGGACGCUCUAAAAAGAGAGAAAUCCUAGAAAUUCUAAAAAAAGAAAAAAAAUAAUAACAAUAAGAUUUUUUUUGCAGUCAGUUACAUAUAUUUUUUUGAGACACCGUGCUGCUAGCUCUUGCCAUUGCGACCAAUAAAGCAAGCAGAUAGUAAGAUGACAUGCGUGUGGAUUGAUUAAAACAGAUUCUGUUAGUUGAUUCUAAAUCAUAUGUAUCCUAAAAGGAACUAGAUAUGUGCGUGCAUGGUCCCUAGCGAUGACAUGUAGACAUGUAUUGCAAUUUCUUUUUUAAAAAAUAUGUCUAUCUCUAAACCAACAAACAGAAAAAAUAUCAAUCUAAAUCUAAAUCUCUUCCGUUCUCACACGCCUAUUAAAGAGAACACAACCAAUCCCAUCCAUGUUCCAUAGAAUCCAUCUAAAAGCUUGCUCACUGCGGACGGCAAAUCAACGAAAGAUCAUCCUCUCCAAAUAGCUAGACGGCAUCACCAUCUUUAUCUCACCAACCUACAGAGCUACAACGAUGUUGUAGAGAUCAACUAGGUAACCUACCAAUCACCCUCCCCUUUUCUAUAUGCUCUAAAGAACACGUGGAGUAAUUAUAGGCCUAUAGGAGCCGACUAACCUAGAUUAAUAUGAAAAAUAUUCCAAUAUUAAAAGCAAGCAGAUAGUAAUACUUGCCUUUGAGCAUUUUUCAAGAACUGUUAUUCCUAUUGAAUGUUCAAGUGCUACGGCCAGGCAUCGAAUGUCUGCACGGAACCUUCCUAUUGAAUGGUUACUCUAGAGAUCAACGCACCGCGAGACAUUGUUUUUGGAAUUUGUUUGAUUCCCCUUCUACAAUUAGAUUAAUUUUUCAUGGUAUAUAUUACUACUAUUAAAUUAUUUGUUUAUUAUCUGGCCUGCUGCAUGUGUGGUAUAGAUGACUUGCUUCUCACCAUUGUUCUCAAACUGUUAUUCCUAUCCAAUCUUUCUAUCGAAAUAUAUUUUAAUUACUUGAUUGUUGUUUGUGUACCAUAACUUCUGUAUAGAAAAAUUCCAUGUUUGUAGAUAAUGUCUUUUGUAUAGAAAAAUAGCCCAAUUAGGUCCAUCACCAUCUUUUGCUUAUGUAGUUGAACAAGUUGCAAUGCUGAACAAAACUUUAAGUGAAAUUAGACUAGGAAAAGGAAUUGUGGAACAUUAAGGCAAGGGUAACCAGAUUGUGGAAUGCAACCUUACUCAGUAGUGGCGAACAAUUAAGUCUUGACAUGAUCCUUAUUGAUCAAGAGGUAUGAUAGAUGUUCACUUUGAUUGCAUUUUUGGUAUAAUUUUUGGCUUACAAAUUAUUAAUGAUGAUGCAAAAUUAGGGAACCAUGAUCCACGGUGUUAUCAAUAAGCCCUAUAUGGAAAAGUUCAAACCAUUGAUUGAAGAAGGCAAUGUGUACAUAAUUGCAAAUGUCAGAAUCACACCAGAACCACAGAAGUAUCGGCCAGUGGGAAAUGACAGGAUAGUCAACUUCUUACCCACAACUGCACUAAAAAAGGUCAAAGAUACUGAAGACAUUCCAAAGUAUAGUUUUAACUUCAUGAGCACGGAUAUGCUUUCAGCAAGAAUAAAUGUGGACAUGUACCUAUCAGGUAAAACAUUACUGGUUUUUCAAUUUUUACACUUCCACUCAUUCAAUGACCAUCUAAUAAUAAUUCAGAUUUAUGUUUCAUAGAUGUUAUAGGUAUCUCAGCUCACAUUGGACCGAUAGAAGAAACAAGGACAAACUUCGGAUUUACCAAAAUCCGUGAUAUUGUGCUCCUGAUCGAGUAAUUCUCAUUUCUUUUGUAGAGAACAACUAUGAAACUUUCAACAUUUACAUGUAUGGUAUAGAACUUCUGUUGAACUAAAAGAUAUCUUCUACAGUGCCCCUACAAAUAAUUAAUUUCGCAGUUAGGUAUUUAAAAUAUUAAUUAUUCACUUUUAAUUUUGUGGCCAUGAAGUUAAAGUUAGAUUUUGGGGAGACAAAGUUGAGGAAGUUGAUGAUAAGACAAAAUCCCAUGUCAUUGCAAUAACAUCUACAACUGUGAGGAAAUUUGGCAGUAAGUCUUCAUUCAAUAUGAGUUAUUCAAUAUUAGUCAUUCAACAAACUAACCUCCUAGGAAAAAUAAAUAAUUGAUAUUUUAUCAGGGUAUUCUCUAUCGUCAACCAAUGCAACAAAAGUUUAUGUAGAUCUACCUAUUCCUGAAACUAAGGAUGCGCAUGAUAGGUGAGAAAAAUUAGAUAUUGUUUUUCUAUUUUAAUCUAUGUAGCAUGCACUCUAACAUGAUACAUUCUUUCGUAUGAUGAAAAAAUGUUAGUUCAAUUGAUAAUAUUGUCAAAGAGAUUCAUUAUUGAGGACCAUCUAAAAGGGAUAUUGGAAGACCAAAUGCAGUACAAUAGAAGAACUUUAGAAGAAUUAAAUUUGAUAUUAUUUGAAACAUCAAAUCAGGUAUGGAUUAGUAUGUUCAUUGUACACUAUACUAUUUAGAGACAUACAUACAUAAUGAUGGUAUUGUUCCUACUUUCAGGAUGAGGUAUUUACGAUGAGGUAUUUACUAUUGAAGCAACAAUAAAUGAAAUUAAUGCAACAUAUGGUUGGUACUACAUCUCAUGUAGUAGAGGCGAUUGUAAGAAGCAACUUGAAAAGAAGUUUCAUCACUACUAUUGCAAUAAAUGUGACAAGAGAGCCGAACCUAAAGCAUGGUAAAUUAUUUAGUAGUUUACAAUCUUAUUAUAAUACUUCUAUUUCUAAUUGGAGAAUAAUAUUUGCAAAUUCAAAAUUAAGCUUCAAAUAAGUGAUCCAACAACAAGUGCAACUUCUGUACUUUUGACAAGGAAGCAGAAAUGAUAAUUAAUGAAUGAGCAGAUUCGAUGAUCACCUCCGUUGAUCAUGAUAAUAAGUAGCUACCAAAAUCAACUAUGCAAAAAGUAGGAACAGAUCUUAAUCGGCUAUGCAAAAAGUAGUAAAUUGAGCAAUAAGAUAUAAAAAAGCUGACAGUCCUAAUUCCAAGCUGUAUAACUGGUGAUAAAACUAGAACAACAUGCAAAACCUAGAAUUCUAGUGAUUAUCGAUAACUGGUGAAUAAAUCUAAACAAAACGACAGCAAUGCGCCCGAAGUUAAAGCUUAGAUAUUACUUGAUAAGCGGAACUUAUAGAAUCGGCCGGAGAUCAAGUUGAUGCAGCCCCGCCAACCCGUACGAACUCGUGAAAAGAAGAAAAGUAUUGGCGAAGUCGCCUGCUCGAAAGUAAAGUGCGAGGAAAUAGUAGUUUGUUGUAUUGAUUUGAUGAUGAUUACAGAUCUAUGAAAGCGGCUAUUUAUAGCCAGUUACAACCAAUCUCUUAACUGACUAGGACUCUAUCUCUAAUUUUAAACGAAAACGAAUAUUUACAAGCAUAAUUCGUAUCGGAGUUGGUCAUCGUGUUCCCAUGGGCCGAUCUCCUUUUUAUCUUCAUAGCUCACUUUAGGCCCAUAUUGGCCCAACUGCUCCAACCUCCCAAUCGGCCGAUUUCCACCAACUCCAUCCGCCGAAAUACUACAGCACCAAUCGGCCGAUCCUCAACUGUAGCACCAAUCGGCCGAUUCCCAAUCGUGACCUCCGUGUUUCGCCGCAUCAGCUGAUUCCUUCCCUUCUUGACGCCGAUUUCAUACGCGUCAAAAUCUGGCAUCAACACAUGCCCCAAGUUUCGGAGUAAAACAUAAUCUUUACUUCAAAAUUCCUUUCAACUUCCCUUCCGAAACAAACGCAUUGAAAAUACCCUUCCGUUUCGCGGUCUUCUGCCUGAUGAUUGCAAUCUUUUCGAAACGGGCGCCCACGACAACCACUCCUCCUGAAAAAAUCGAACCGCCGGCGUGGUAAAAAUUCCGCUUUUACCCUUUCUCAGACCGCCCUUAGAUAUCAGUACGUCCCGUACUUCUUCUUCACGAGCCCACGUCUUCCUUCUUUGGCGCACUGACCUCCUUCUUCUUCCGGCGUCUCUUUAGCCUCUAACCUCUCACUCCGGCGAGUUCUUCCAUCUACAUUCCACCCCACCUUCCCGAUGGCAACACCUUCAGGCACUCCACCAACAUCCGAGGUCCCGGAGACGGCUCCAUCAGCAGCGGCUCCAACAGCAAUGGUGGCAGCUCCAUUGGCAGGAGCAGGAGCUCCAUCGGGCGGGAGCGGGAGCUUCAUCAACGACCACAAUGAGCUUCAUACCAGAGGUUUCUACCAAAACUUUCCUUUCCGCUCCUCUAUGUCGAUGCAUUUACCUUAGAUCAUUUCUUACUGCCCCUUCCAUUCUUUACCUGUUUAGGCAGUUAGGCACCACAUUACUAUUCGCCUCACCGAAACUCCCGGCCUUAUCUAUUUUGGUCCCAUGGGAAACCCAGAUCCAACCGACCUAAUCAAUUUGGAAACCCAUAGGAUCCCUUUCAAGCAAUCAACCAUGGACCUAGAUCACUGGUCAGGUACCUUCAGAUCAUGGCCGAAUGAAACCCCCGGCUGGAGGGAAUGGUACAAAUGGAUAGCCGCCUCAAAAAGAGUUCAAUGGGACGAGCACAAAAUCGGCCAGUGCAUCGACUUAUCUUUGUCCCAAAUGGAAAGGAAUGAGCCUUUAGUAAUAGCAGCCUCCUACUUUUGGUCCGAUGCCCUAAACGCAUUCCCCUUAGGACACGGAGCUAUGACCGCUACCCUAGCCGAUGUGGUCAUGUUGACCGGCCUUGAUAUCUCCUCUCCCGAUACUCCUUUCCGUUACUUGGCCAAAACAUCCCAUCGGCUAGAGACGAAAGGAAUCGGCGGGUGGAAAGGAUUCAUCAAGUGCAACAGAAGGGCCGGGACAGCCCAGGAAAGAGAGCAUGCGGCCUUCUUGAUGAUGUGGCUAGAAAAACACCUUUUUUGCGGGAGGGCAGCCGGUCCAUCCACUAACACACAGGCUUUGGCCGAGGCACUAUCGAUAGGUGCCUCUGUUCCUCUUGGAAAGCACCUAUUGGGAUCGGUUUACCAUAUGCUGCAUCAGAUCGGCGUCAAGCUAUCCAAAGGAGAGCCGAUUGGAAACCCAGGUGGACCCUGGUGGUUCAUCAACUUGUGGCUUAAUCUAUAUAUGAGCAAGAUCUCCCAGCAGCGAGUGGAGUACAUGAUGUUCCCCAACAUCGAAUCGGCAGAGAAUCCCACUGUACGGUGCCGGUGUACUUCCUUCGGUGAAGCGGCAUCGGCCUUCUCCGGUUGCUCAUAUUCUGCUGCCAAGGUGGCCGAAUACUUCAGAUGCUUCUACAAUGGCUUCAGCAAAGACGCAACCAGCUUGUUCCCUUAUCAAAGGGAGGAACCACUCUUCGAGCUCCCCUCCUGUUUUGACUCGGCCACCAGCAAAUUUGAUGAGGACCUCACAGAUGAAUUGAUCAAGCCUCUCGGGGAAGGAUGCCCCCACUUAUGAGUUUUACCAUCCUUCCGUCACAGCACGGCAAUUCGGCUUGGGUCAACUGCCGAUUUAUGCAUACUUCACCGGCCGAGCAAAAUUUCGAGACGAGCUCACCAAAGGUCUCCACUACUACGAUCGGAUUCCAGACUCCAGCACCAUAGACUUGGCCAGUUGGAUAGUAGCCCCUUUCGCUGUUCAGCAGUUCAAGCUAUGGUGGGUGGAAUGGAAGCAACAUCUAUUCUGCGCCUCUACGGCGAUAUAUUGUAAUCUCCUGAAUCCCGACAACAUCGAUCCGAAUGCUGAGGUAUCGCUCUCUUUCUAGCUGAUUUUCAACUCCUUUUUUUUUAUACUGACUCUUAUUAUUAUUUCAGUCUGAGAGCCAUGCUCCCCCAAAAUGCAGUCGGAGUGGUCGGUCGAUAGAGGACCGUUAUCCAUACACAACAUUCCCCCUCAUCGGCUAUCACGCCCCCUCCGUUGAUGACAUAGCCGGCCGAGCGAAGCAAGCGCAGAAAAAGAUUAUCAAGAAGACAAGUCGCCGAGUACGCGCCCGCACAGAAUCGGCCGAUCCACCCGUGGUUGCAUCGGCAGAAAUUUCGGCUACGCCGACCCUUCCGGUCGCUGAAGAAGUUGACCUCCAAGCCGCUAAAGAGGCCGGAGCGGCUGCCGCGUCAUUGUUGGUGGAAGCUAUUCAGGUAAACUCACCAUCCGAUUUUCCUGACAGUCAUUUCAAUACUGACCUUUCCUUUAUUAGGCCGUGCAGAUUGCCUCAGCAGAUCCACAGCAAUCUGCAAUGCCCCAAGCAGAAGUUGAAAUACCAGUGCCCCUUCCCGUUGAGGUACAUGAUCUCUCAACUCACUUCUUUAAUAUUUGAAUGAUGAUCCUACCAACCUUGACGCAGGUCAUCGGCACGUUAACUAUGCUAUCCGACUAGCCAUCUGCCAAAGAAGUCCUUCAAGAGGCCGGCCCGAGCAGAACGCCGAUCGUUGUCGAAUCCUCUUCUUCCGAUGAGCCAAUGGCACCAGUCCCCGAGUCGAUAGUGGUUGUUCCACAAACGCAGAUGGAGGAGAUCCAUUUCAAAGAGGUGAGAAGUCAUUUGACUCGCAUUUACCGAUUCGUCACCACCAUCGGCUGACUCAUUUUCCUUUUAUUUAUCAUUCACAGGAAUAGGACACUCCCAAUAAUAGCCUCUUCUCAUUUGCGGUCGCGCUCUCUGAUGACGAGGAAGUUGCUUCUCGUCAAGUUACUUUGAGCUCCAUCCCCGAUGACGUCCGCGCUAAGCUUGAAAGUAUACGGUCCCUUCUUUAAGAGGACAUCAGCCGAUUGGUGGAGGACGCCUCGCCGAUUCGGCAGCUCUUUGGUGACGUCAACGGGCGAGUCCCAGAGGAAGCAGAAGAAGCCUUGGCACCGGCCGCUUAUAUCGAGUCGAUGCGGAUCCCGGUCUUCAGGGCUCUGCGUCACAUGGCCGAUCGCGCCAAGCUGGCCAAGACUCGUGAGGAAGAGGACUCGUACAAGCAACGGGCCCAGGAGGUACACCAUCGGAUUCACUUCCUCGAGAAUUCCCGACCUGGACUCGUCGGCACGAUAGAUCGCCUCAAGCACCGAAGGGCGGAACUUGCCAAGGAGAUGGAGUAGGUAACCAAAGAAAUAGCUAUUGAAGAGAAGAAGCUUCAGGAACUCCCUUCCGUUAUCGCCGAUUUAAAGCAGGAGAGGCAGCAUUUGGCCCAUGAGGCCCUUAGACUCCAUCGCCAUAUGUCAGAAGUUCCAGGGUCGGCAGAUGAUGACCAACGAGUCUUGGACUCGGCCGAUCAGAUCAGGCAUCGAGCGAUUGCGGCCAUUAACGCCCUUCUGGGUGACUUGUAAAAGUACUAGCCGUUUUGUACGAACAUUAAUGCCUUUUGACCGUCCUUCGCGGCGCUCUCCUAUUUAUUACCCUUUUUACUCUGACAGGACGCGUCUUACCAAACCUCCGCUCUUCCUCUUAUUAUAAAUACCGGCCCUGGUUUCGCUCUUGAGAAUACCUGCUCCACUCGAUUCCUUUUUCCCCCAUUACGUUUCCAUCGGAACGUUCGUAGUCAUGUCUUCUUCAUCUUCUUCUUUCUCCUCUCCUUGUAUCAAUCAGGUACGAGGUCCGUCUUCGCCCUUUUUUCAGUUUGAUCCCUUUAAAUCGUUCCAACUUUUAGGCGGCUAUGUGCUAACUUCUUCAGCCAAGGCACCUUAUCCCUGAACUCGAAUGAGCAAUCGAACUCGUGCACUCUAAUGAGUCGUUGUCGCAAGAGGACAAGGACUUGAUCAAGGAACACCGUGAAGAACUCAGAGAUCACGUUCCUGCCGACGUCUAACGGAUCUGGGACUUCAUCGACGGCAAUGAUUACGGGCGACCGCAAGUUGACAGGAGCCACCCACUUCCUCUUCCGGUUGUUCUUGAAAACGCCGCGGUAGGGACAUCGCGCCCGGUGAUGGAUCGGAGCCAUCCUCUUCCUUGCCAAGUUGAGGCGGAGGCCGCGAUGAGAGAUGUGGCAGAACGAAGCAUUCGCCUUCUAAUGGAAUUAGGUAGGAUUGAGAGGGAACUCAAGAAGAAGCGUAGUUGAGUAUUUUUUGUUCUAAGGGCGAAGUGUACUGUGUCGGUCGUGUAAUUCAUCGUUCGUACUGAAUCACAAAUCGGCCGAUUUGAACGAUUAUUUUUCUCCUUUAGGCGAUUUCUUCUCCCGUAUCGGCUGUGUGAUCGUUCAGGGAGCGAUCUUUCUGUCUUGUCAAUGCCUUGCGAUCGAUUCUUAUGUUCCGACCCAUAUACUGGGGUAAUACCUUUUCAAGUACCUCCCGUUUAAGGCCCUAGUAAAUUCUUCUCCUUCGAUCAUUUCCAGAAUGUAAGCGUUUCCCAGGGCACAUCGGCCGAUUCUAUACAGCCCUUCCCAAGUGGGAGACCAUUUACCGAAUUUAGGAUCUUUUGAUCCAAUCGGCAACACUAACUUCCAUACCAGAUCCCCUUGGGAGAACUGCUUGACUUUGACCUUCUUGUCAUACCAUCUGGCCACUUUCUUUUUGUUUUCCUUGAUACUGAUCAAGGCUCUCAAACGUUGGCCCGCCAAAUCGUCGAGUUCCCUAUUCAUGAGCGAGGAGUAAUCAUCGGCCGUCAGCUGAUCUUGAAGCGACGUGCGUCUCGACCCUGUUCUCAACUCCCAUGGCAAUACUGCCUCAUGACUGUACACCAAUUGAUAAGGAGACACCUUGGUAGCCCCAUGGCAGGCCAUCCUGUAUGCCCAUAGAGCUUCGGUUAGACAUAAGUGCCAUUUUUUGGGUUGUUCUUCGAUCUUCCUCUUGAUCAACUUGAUUAUCCCUUUAUUGGAAGAUUUGGCCUGGCCGUUAGCCUGAGGAUAGUACGGGGAGGAAUUUAGCAACUUGAUUCCCAUAUCGGCCGUGAACUCCUCGAACUCUCCCGACGUGAACAUCAUCCCUUGAUCAGUUGUGAUAGUCUGAGGGAUGCCGAAACGAUAGACAAUAUGAUCCCUCACGAAAUCGACCAUAGCGGCCGAUGUUACGGCCUUUAAUGGAACCGCCUCCACCCAUUUGGUGAAAUAAUCUGUGGCUACCAGAAUGAAUUUAUGUCCUUUACUUGACGGAGGAUAAAUUUGUCCAAUGAGGUCUAUUCCCCAACCUCUGAACGGCCACGGCUUGAUAAUUGGAUUCAUAGCCGACGCGGGCGCGCGUUGCACAUUCCCAUAUUUCUGACAAUCUUGGCAUCCUUUAUAAUACUUGAAACAGUCCUCAAGGAUUGUCGGCCAGUAAUAUCCAUUAUUCCUAAUCAUCCACUUCAUCUUAUGCGCCGAUUGGUGGGCUCCACACACCCCUUCGUGCAUUUCUCCCAUCAGGGUCUUUGCCUCCUCCGUCCCUAGGCAUUUGAGUAGAACACCAUCAAUCGUCCGGUAGAACAAAUCAUUUUCCAAUAACACAUAUUUUGUGGCCUGAAAUCGUAUUCGCCAAUCCACUUUCUUAGAUGGGUCUUUUAAAAAAUCGGCGAUCUCUUUUCGCCAGCCGUCGGCCGCGAGUUCCAGAAUCAUGGCGCCUUGAAUCGGCCGAUACCCGAACGCGUGCUGAGCCAGCCUGUUGGCUUCUUCAUUGUAAUCCCUGGGGAUAUGCUCAAUAACUGUGGAUUUGAAUUCUUUCAGAAGUUGGAGGCAAUCCUCAUAGUAAACCCUUAAUACAUCAUCUUUGCACUCGGAUCUUCCUGUCAAUUGGUCCACGAUGAGCAUGGAAUCUCCAAAAACCUCGACGGUGUCGGCCUUAAUUUCUCUUAACAAUUGUAACCCUUUCAGGACAGCCCGGUAUUCCGUCUGGUUAUUAGUGGCGGAUGCUUCUAUCGACAGAGAGAAAUCAUAGCAUGCCCCCUGAGGCGAUAUGAGAACGAUGCCGAUUCCCGAUCCGGCCCCACAUGACGAGCCAUCAAAAUAUAAGGUCCACGGUACUGGUUCCACGACAGCGAUUUUUGGUCCGCAGUGUUGGGCGACGAAAUCAGCCAUAACCUGACCUUUGAUGGCGUUUGCCGAUUCGUACCGUAGAUCAAACUCUGAUAAAGCCAAAAUCCACUUUCCGAUCCACCCUUUCAAAAUCGGCAAUGACAGCAUAUACUUUACUACGUCAUUCGUGCAUACAACCACGCAUUCUGCCGAUAACAAGUAGUGCCUGAGCUUGGUGCAUGAGAAGUAAAGACAUAAGCACAGCCGCUCUACCGGGGGAUAUCUUGAUUCGGCGUCCAAAAGUCUUCUACUAAUAUAAUAUAUUACCCGUUCCUUUCCUUCGAACUCCUAGACCAGUGCCGAUCCGAUAGCUCGCUCAUCGGCUGAUAAAUACAGCUUGAAUGGCUUACCAGUUUCUGGUGGGACCAAGUACUGCUUGAUGUCUUCUAGUGCCUUGCGUUGCUCUUCUCCCCAUACGAACUCUUGGUUGGGUUUCAAUUUCAACAACGGUGUGAAGGCCUGGAUACGUCCAGAUAGGUUGGAUAUGAACCAGGCAACGUUGGUAAAGAAAACUGCUAAGAGUAAACUAAACAACGCUACAGUAGCAACACUAGGAACGGAUCUUAAUCGGCUAUGCAAAAAGUAGUAAAUUGAGCAAUAAGAUAUAAAAAAGCCGACAGUCCUAAUUCCAAGCUGGAUAACUGGUGAUAAAACUAGAACAAUAGGCAAAACCUAGAAUUCAAGUGAUUAUCGAUAACUGGUGAAUAAAUCUAAACGAAACGACAGCAAUGCGCCCGAAGUUAAAGCUUAGAUAUUACUCGAUAUGCGGAACUUACAGAAUCAGCCGGAGAUCAAGUUGAUGCAGCCCCGCCAACCCGUACAAACUCGUGAAAAGAAGAAAAGUAUUGGCGAAGUCGCCUGCUCGAAAGUAAAGUGCGAGAAAAUAGUAGUUUGUUGUAUUGAUUUGAUGAUGAUUACAGAUCUAUGAAAGCGGCUAUUUAUAGCCUGUUACAACCAAUCUCUUAACCAACUAGGACUCUAUCUCUAAUUUUAAACAAAAAUGAAUAUUUACAAGCAUAAUUCCUAUCGGAGUUGGUCAUCGUGUUCCCAUGGGCCGAUCUCCUUUUUAUCUUCAUAGCUCACUUUAGGCCCAUAUUGGCCCAACUGCUCCAGCCUCCCAAUCGGCCGAUUUCCACCAACUCCAUCCGCCGAAAUACUGCAGCACCAAUCGGCCGAUUCCCAAUCGUGACCUCCGUGUUUCGCCGCAUCAGCUGAUUCCUUCCCUUCUUGACGCCGAUUUCAUAUGUGUCAAAAUCUGGCGUCAACACAUACAUAAUGAUGGUAUUGUUCCUACUUUCAGGAUGAGGUAUUUACUAUUGAAGCAACAAUAAAUGAAAUUAAUGCAACAUAUGGUUGGUACUACAUCUCAUGUAGUAGAGGCGAUUGUAAGAAGUAACUUGAAAAGAUGUUUGAUCACUACUAGUGCAAUAAAUGUGACAAGAGAGCCUAACCUAAAGCACGGUAAAUUAGUUAGUAGUUUACAAUCUUAUUAUAGUACUUCUAUUUCUAAUAGAGAAUAAUAUUUGCAGAUUCAAAAUUAAGCUUCAAAUAAGUGAUCCAACAACAGUGCACUUGUGUACUUUUGACAAGGAAGCAGAAAUUAUAAUUAAUGAAUGAGCAGAUUCGAUGAUCACCUCAGUUGAUGAUGAUAAUAAGUAGCUACCAAAAUCAAUUCAGAAAAUAUGUGAAGAAACAUUGAUUUUUCAAUUCAAAUUGACCGAGUACAACUUGACAAGUUUUAGACCUGAUUAUACUGUUUCAAAGAUAUUUUUUCCAAAAGAAAAGAGCAGUUCUAGAAUUGGUAUGGAAAGUGUAAAAAAGGUAACACUUUAUUCUUAAGUUUUUAUUGCACUUUUUUCUUUUGAAUCCUUAAUAUUUAAUAAUUUUACUAUAUCAAUGAAACAAAUUCUAACCUAAAUUUACAACUCAGACAAAUGCUACAUGAUAACUACCGAGAAUGAAGAGGUAGACACUGAUGACUCUUUUACCGAGAAAGUAACAUUCGUAGAAGAAGCCAUAAGGACUGGGGAAAGAUUGGCUAGAAAAGUAUACUCACUUCCAUCUAAGUAUUCAUUCUAUUUACAAUACAUGCAAAAAAAUAUUAUUCAUGCAAAAUUGCAGGUCUACUAAGCAUUAAAGGAAUAGCGGAUAGUGCAAUAUCUAAUUUGAGCAGCAUGCAUUACAAAGUGCUCUACUGCAAUUAAAUUAAAAAACAUGAUAUAUGUUGAAUUCUUAGACUUUAUUAUUAUACUUUUCUAUGUGACAAUUCACAAUUUUUUAGAAAAAAGAAGAUCCCAGAAGAAGUGACCAUGAAAAAAGGUCUAUGCCCAGCAAUAAGAAAAAAUGCAAGCAUAGAAACAAAUCCGUAGAAAACAUAGAAAAUAAGGUACUCCAUAAACAAAAGUAUUCUCUUAUAUUUUUAUUAAAUAUUUCUUUAACACUUGACAAGUUCUUUUUUAGGAUCAAUAUAUCAGCAAUUCAGAUGUCAUUGGAGAUGAAAACCUUAGUUCGUCCAAAAGGUCAAAAAAAACAUCUGAAGAAAGGUGUUUGGCUGAAAAGGAAAAGCAAGAAAGUUGUAAUGCAGACAAACACAUGCAGAAAAAUAUAAAAACAUGUAAUAGGGAGGCAGACCAAUCUUGCAAGGAGGUAUAGACGAAACGUGAUACACGACCUGCCUACCUUGUCGUGGAUACCCCAAGAAGAUGUCAUAGAGGUGCAGACCAAGCUAGCAAGGAGGUCGAAACGUGAUACACGGCCUGCCUACCUUGCCGUGGAUAUUAGCCCUAAGAUCAUUCUACUGUUCAAGGAAUAACACUCAAUGCUGCUGCUGCUGCUGACCUGGCUCCAUAAAGUUAUACUCCUCUAGGUGCUUGCACUAACUUUAUCUGAAGUAUUAUUCUCUCUGCACUGUAUAUAUGGUUAUGGAGUUUGCUGGAGUAUCCUGGGGGAAGAACCUACAUAAUACGUCUUGGAACUAACUGACAUUGAUUCACAGACAAACUCUACAAGGUGCUGUUGUUGCCAUUUUAGAGCAUCCAAAGGACUAUAAAUAACAUAGUUUACCAUAUACCAUAUACCAUAAUAUGUUAGCUAAAAUAAGAGCAUACACAUGUUGCAGGAGUCCAAAAGCACCGGUUGAGGACCAGGUACAUUGAAUUACUAGAAAAAGACAGGGGACAAGGUUUAGGUAACCACAUGAAACAUUUGAAUUUACUGUACCAUGAACACUUAGUUACCAUGCCGGGAGCACAUAGUUAACACUAACAUUUAGCCACUUUAGAUCACCCCGAAUCACCAAUGACCCUCAAUAGUGACAAAUUUUGGUUUAAAUGCCGUCACCAAUGAUCCUCAAUAGUGACGUAUUUAGGUUUAAAUCCCAUCACUAAUAACCCUCAAUAGUGACCUGUUUUGGUUUAAAUCUCAUUACCACUUAUCCUCAAUAGUGACGUGUUAAAACGCGUUAUCUCAAUGGCAAAUCAUUGGUGACGUGUUUUAAAAAAACAUGUCACUGUGAGAGUCAUUGGUGAAGGGUAAUUAAAAUGCGUCACUAAUGUUGUAGCAUUAGUUAUGAUAAUUUAGUAAUGCAAAAAUCUACCAUCAGUAAUGAGCUUUAGAGCCAUCGCUAAUGUGGGUUUCUUACAUAGUGAUGCAAGCUCUACAAGGUGCUGUUGCUGCCAUUUUAAAGCAUCCCAUGACUACAUGUUAAUAACAUACUUUACCAUAUACCAUAAAAAUAUUAGUUACAAUAAGCACAUACGCAUGUGGAAGAGUCCGAAUGCACCGGUUGAGGACUAAACACAUUUAAUUACUAGAACCAAAUGUAUGUCCAGAACAAAGACAGGGGUCAAGGUUUGGGUAACCGCAUUAAAAACAUUGGAUUUUACUGUAGAUGAACACUUAGUUACCAUUACCAUGCCUUGAGCACCUAGUUACAACAAACAUUAAUUUAGCCACUUUAGAGCUUCCAGAAUCGCUAUAAAUAAUAUACCUACGCCGUACCAUGAAAACAUCAAGAAGAGAGACGGAUACAUGGACCACCAUCAAGCGAGUACUGACAGCACGCACAAGAAUACCCAGAACCUGUUAGCUUGUCUGUAGUGAUCUGUUUUCUUCCCCAUAAAAUCCAUGAGUAUUGCCACAAAUAAUGAAAGAGGCUGACCAAGCUAGCAAGGAGGUAGAGCAAACGUGAUACACGGCCUGCCAAGAUUGCCCUGGAUACGCCAAUAAGAGCGACAGAUACAUGGAUCACACCAAUAUGGUGAAACGUAUAUUCAUCACACAAGCAAAGCUGGUCAGUUUAUCCAUGGUCAAAUUGUGGUCUUUGUUUUCACUUGAGAGCUAAUUGAGGCACUAUAAUAUGGGCAGGCCUAUCUUCAACAGACAUGACAGCUACAGGGAACUUGACAUAAUUUGCUGGACCGCCUGUGCACAAUUAUUUGUUUUAUUGUCCUUGCAUAGAAUGCUAAAAUACUCUUUACAAAAUGUUGGAUCUAAUAUUUGAAAUAUAGAGUAGUAAUCAUAUAUUGAUCAACAACUUGAAAUUAUCUGUACAUUCUCGGUGAAGCUGUUGAACUAAUUUUUGCAAAUUAUUAAUUAAUUCAUCUCAUUACGUAAAGAAAACAGUAAGUGGAUAAGAUAUUUCGUGGACCACAUCACUGCAAACAUGUCAUGGAGAGACAGACCAAGGAGGCAGGACGUGAUACACGACUUACCCUAGGUUGCCGUGGAACCGCCAAGAAGAGAUACGGAUACAUGGACCACACCAUCUUGGGAGUAGUGACAGCAUAUAUGCAGAAGAAUACCCCGUGCCUAUUUGCAUGCAUGUCUCAAGUGAUCUGUUUUCUUCAGAAAAUACAUGAGCAUUGCCAGAAAGAAUGGCAAGAGACAAACAUGUCAUAGAUACUUGCAUGUCUUGCCUUGGAUACGCCAAGAAGAGGGACACAUACAUGGAUAACACAAAUCUAGUGACACGUAUAUUCAUCACAAAGGCAAAUCUGAUAAUUUUAUCCAUGGAGCAGACCAAGCAGAAAUUGAUGACGGACAUGUGAUCUCUGUAUUCAGUUGAAAGCUAAUUGAGCUACACUAAUAUGAGCAGGACUAUAUUCAAGAGACUUGUUGAGAGCUACAGGGAACUUGUAAUAAUUUGCUGGGCGGCCUGCGCACAAUGAUUUGUUAUACAUAGUUGAAAUAUUUCAAGAAUUUAUCAACCUCGUACUCUGAAACCCUUGGUGCAAUGUACUCUGCUUUCCGAGGUAGACUGUUCACGUAAAAUGAGGUCAUGCGUAAGACGGAAUCGGAUUGGAUUCGCAGGGAAUCAGAUUUGGAUAGCACCUUUUAGCCGGUUUUUAGUCAAAUGCAAAUUCGGAUCCAGAUGUGGUUGAAUGCGAGUUCAAAAUUCUACUUGGAUAUCCAUUUAAUUUAGGUGAUAGCAAUUAGCACAAAAUGUUGGAAGAACAAAAUCAUAGUUAGACAUACAAUUACAUGUAUUGUUAAAGUAUAAUACAAUACACCAAGAUUAUUCCUUCAAAAUAUUUCUUAAAAAUAUUAUAAUAAAUGAAUAAAUAUAAUUGUGGCCACCAACAAAUAGUCGGUGGUCACUAAGUUGGAGCCAUUUCUGGUUACUAAUGCGGCCUGCUCCUCGACCAGCGACGACAGCUGAGCUUGUUCCUUCUGACACCAAAUCAUCAGAGUCUUCCCUCCACUACUAUAGAAUGCACCUUUAGCACCAAUUGGGAAAUCCCCUUCAGUAUCGGAUGCUGCAACCUGUGCUAUGAAAAUGGAGACUAAAAGCCUCGGUCUUGGGUACCGGUUGCAUGACGCAUUACUAAAGGAGGCAAAAGAGAAAUGUAACAAAAAAAUAUUUUGAAUUCCAAGAAUGUUUCACUAUUCAAGAUGACUAACUGAGAGUCAUCAGACAAGAUACUAGGAAUGUGGGUGCUUGAAUGCAUUUGUACAGAGGUCAUACUAUUUACAAACUCUUCUGUGUUUCCAUAUGACUACCUACUUCAAUGUCACGCGAGCCAUUCAGGACACAUGGCACACAAGCUUGCAUGUCGAAUCCAUGAUUAAUUAUUUCCACUUGUGAUCUCUUACCAGUAUUUGUCCAGACUAGAAACGUGCAACACAUUUUUUGGAUAUGGACACGCAUAUAUUUGGACUAGUAUACAGGUCACCUUUGGAUGAGUACAAGGAUGACCGGGAGGGACUAAUGGAUACAAGGAAGGGACCAUCAGGAUUAAUAGUGACAUAUGCCACAUGACAAUCUUCAUUGUCAUGCAAUCCCUAUCAACAAUCAUGGAAUCCCUAGUGUACUAAUCCCUGGAGGGUUGUGUGGAAAUUUAUUUUACCUUGCGGUGAAAAUCUCAUGAGCAGUCAUUAGUUAAGCUGACUAGCUGAGAUAUAAUAGACAAGCUAGUAAGAUUGGGAGCAUCAAUGCAUCCAUACAGGGUCACAAUAUCCUUUCCAUUCACUUUUAUAUAUAACCCUACGAAUACAAGUCCAACGAAACGCGGGCCUUUCGAUCAAGAUAAAUUAAAUGGCCCACUUGUAUUUCUAAUCCAGGAUUAAUUAUGCCCUCUGUUCAUCUCUUGCAAGCACGUGCAACACAUUUUCACGAUAUGGACAUGCAUGGAGGUUAUUAUACUGUUUGGACAAACUCUGAUGUGCCAUGACCUGGGCCUGUUUGGUUUGAGUUGCUUAUUAUAAGCAACUUAAAGUUGCUUAAAGUUGCUUAUUUGAAGUUGCUUAUUUUUAGUCUAAACUGUUUGGAUACCCUUGCUUAUGAGCAUUGAAUGAGAUGGACAUUGUCAUAUUUGCCCCUUGUGUAGCUACCCCUCCAAUUUGCCUCCCCACCCUUCUUCUUCCUGCACACGCCCGAUCCCGGGGGCCGACGGCGGGCAGGGAGCAGCAGCAGCUGGCUGGGGCGGCGGUGGGGCGGGAGCGGCGGCGCACACCAGCAUGCGCUCGCACGCCAGGUGCUGGAGCGCGGCGAGGCAGUCGUCGUAGACCGCCGGGAGCGGGUGCUCGGGCGUGAGGCGGUACUCGACGGAGACAUCGAGCGUUGGGCGCGUGGCGGCGAGCGCGUUGAGGAAGCGAUGGUAGUGCGGCGACGUCGCGGACUCCGCCACGAAGCCGCCGCCGUGGACGUACACCACCACGGGCAGCUUCGUCUUGCCGUCGGCGGCCACGGCCGCGGCCUAGGGUGGCAGGUAGAGGCGGAUGGAGCAGGAGCCGAGGUCGACGUCCCCGGAGUCGACGCCCGUGGCGGCGUCCAGGCCGGGCCCGACCGGCGGCGGCACGAGCGACGCAGCCGCUCUUGUAAAUCCAGCAGGUCUGCGCGGAGGCGGGCGGCGGGCGGGAGCGGCGGCGGGUGGUGCGGAGGCCGGCGGCGGCGGGUGGCGCGGAGGAAGGGGAGCUGGUGAGUGGUGACAGGGGAGGGGGGAGAGAGAGAGGGGGGUAGGGUGCAUUGAAUGAGGGCAGGAGGUGUAAAGUGCACCUUUUAGUCCCCAUAAGCAACCAUAAGCAGCCCAAGAGUUGCUUAUUUACUUAUAAUAAGCAACCCCAUAAGCAAGAGUGAUUGGUUUCAUAAGCAACUUAUUUGCUUAUUUUAAGUUGCUUAUGCGUAAGCAUGUGAAACCAAACAGGCCCUUAACCUAUGGUUGUGGCACACAACCAUACAGUAGAUAGUAUUUAAUAAUGCUAUUCGUUUGGUAUGUGCAGAAGGGCACGCAUGAAAUGUCUGGCCCACGGUAAACAAGUACGGACGCUGCAAAUAAUCUACUCUGCUCGUCCAGUCCCUAGCCUAUAAAUAGAUGCCAUGCUAGCUCUUGUUGUGCUCACAAUUAAUCCGAUUACACACGAGCUUCUCUCCCUGGCCAAGACACAAUCAUAGUAUGAUGAAGAACAUGGCACUAGCCGGCAAUGGUAUGAAGAAGUUAAUCCUCGCUGUUCUCUUACUGUGUCUAGUUAUAGGGCAGAUACAAGUGGAAGCUAAGAGCUGCUGCCCAUCCACCACUGCAAGAAAUAUCUACAAUACCUGCCGUAUCACGGGUACAUCCCGUCCAACGUGUGCAAAACUGUCAGGCUGCAAAAUUAUCAGCGGGGACAAAUGCAAGCCCCCUAACGACCACCUCACCCUUGACCCGGACACUGGUAAAUAAUAAAUUUAUCUCACUUGAUUUCUUUGUGUUUUGAGUCGUUAAUGUAUUUUCCAUCUGAUGAAACGUAUUGGUUUUGCAUUGAAGAGGAAGUUAAUGUGCUUAACUUCUGCAAGUUGGGGUGUGCGUCGUCUGUGUGCAACAACAUCAACGCUGGUAAGCACCUUUUGCUCAGACAGAGAAAACAAUAAUCAUUAAUUAGCGGCAGCUAGAAUCCUAUAAUCUAAUAUAUAUAUAUAUAAUUUUAUCAGCUCUGGGAAAUGAAGAGGCGAACGAUGCCGUUGAGAGUUGCGACCAAGCCUGCUCUAGCUUCUGCAACGUGCACGUUGGCGCUGCCACCGUGGUUGCUUAAGCAAAUGCAUCCAACUGGAUCGUCCUUGUGCUGAAUAAUUGGAUAUCGUAUCCACUUAAAGCUGCCUUGUGUAGUACGUCUUUGUUUGUGUCUCUCUUUAUAUUCCAAUAAGGUCGGUGAUCUUGAUGCCACACACUCAGACGUGUGUUCAUCUCCAGAUACUACUCCAUGCUACCUACCCUUUGUGUUUUGUUCAAUAACUGGGUAUCAUAUUCCGGCCAGUGUGCCAUCUGUUUUGUGUUUAUUUCCUUCUAGUUCCAAAGGGGUCAUCAUGAUGUUACCUUCUUUCGAUAUGGUGCUUUGCAUGACUACUGUUGUAUGGUACCAUCUUGUUGGCCAAUAAAUACAUCUUAUCCUAUGACCCUUUGCUAUGACCCUUUGCAAAUAAGUACAAGAUUGUUAAAUACUCGGUAUAAAUUGACUACUGUUGUGAGUUCCCUUUCAGCUUAUUGUAGGCAUACAUUAUUGCUAGCACGGUGAAGACAACCAACACGAAUGAUCAAGUAAACGUACCGGUACUUUUGUAUACCAACACCCUUGCUUAAAUGUACCGGUGUUACUCCCCAUUGGCACAUAUAUUCUUUUAUGCUAGCCGGCUUGAAAAUUAACCGAUUAAAAUAAUUAUUUCAAGAUAGAAAUAACUUAUCGGCUUCUCGAAGCAUGUGUAAUGUGAAUUCAAGGACUCGAUGGAAGUUGAAUCGCUUCAUCUAGAUUGCUUUCAGGAUUUUGGGUAACUAAAUUUAACAUUUGCACAUACAAAUGUUAAUGUACAAAUGUUAAAUCUAGUUACCCAAGCAGAAUAUGAAGAUACUCUAUAGUAUAUAUAUACUAUAUAAAUCUAGUUAACAUUUAGUCUAAAUGUUAAAUCUAGUUACCUAAAAUCCUGAAAGCAAAAUGUAUAAAUAUAUAUCUUUUAAGGAAUCCCAAAGCAAGAGUUCAGUGGCAUUCUAUAGUCCCAUGCUGCUAGUUUGAGUUGGUCGAAGCCAACUUAAAUAGGAGAGCUCUCUCACUUCUCUAAAUACGUAACUGAAGGAGAGAAGGGGGCUUGGGUUAUACAAUGCACGCACGCACGCAUAUUUGCGUUCUUUUCGCGUAACCAACCAUGUGACUUGAAACUUGCGACGUAGCGUGCUGCCAAGUCAAGUUGAUAUAACCUUUUUGCCGUUUGCGUGUAAUCUUUUGACAACGGUCAUUGGAGGUGAUAAGCACGCAGUCAAUACCUUAAUCCUGAGUUAAUAGGGUGGUUACUACUGCCAAUUAGUGGGGCAAUUUUGUAGGGGAAACGGUUAGCAGAGGGCUACCGUCUUCUCUAUAAGAAGUUCUGGAGACGUCCAGAAACACACAUGUACAUGUGAGAGACCCACGAAUUCCUUCCCUUCUCCCUUUUCCAUCUGAUGAAGAGUGCUGUGGUACUGAGCUGCUGGAUCUCACCGGCUCUUCUCCUUGGCGUGCACUGAGGAGGGUGAGCGGUAUCUCCGAGCUAUUGCCGUCAGGAAGCCUGCACGACGGACAACAAUAAAGUUUUUGGGUAGCGCAACUGUGCAACCGCUCGAUUCGAUCGACUAUGUUAUGCGCUGCCUCAUCUUCGAUCUACACUGCAACGCGUAACCCUGCAGCAAGUCUACACGAGGACGGAGCACUAAUCUGUAAGUCCUAGAUUGGUUUCUUACAAAGUUGUAGGUUACACAAGAUCUAGAAUGUUACAUACCUAUUAUUAUGGGUUACAUGAUGUUUUGUACGGUUACGUCUAUUUUGCAUAUGCUAUUUUUACAUACCGUUUACAUGCAUAUGUUAAUGGUUACACCUAGCUAUUUGAAUCUAGAAUUGGGUUACAUAGUAGUAGCAAUGAGUUACGUAAUAUGCCUCAUGUUUAUAUCUGGUAGAAUUUAACACGUAUCUCCAACAUAUUUUGAGGCAGUAUAAAUUUCAAUUCCUUUUGCUGCUCUGUUAAAUACCAUCUUUCGUUGUGGCCCAACACUCUAGUAUGCAUGUAGCACCAAGCUUGUUUGAGCUGCUUUGUGCUCUGAUUUUGCUAUCUGUAUCAGGUUGGACUGUUUCUUUGUCUUGCGAUGUAUAGCUUCAUAUCUUCUAGAGGUUAGACAGCAAAACCCGCGUUCUCUUAAGGCAACAACUCGAAGAAUCUGCAGUGCCCCUGAUAUAUCACUGCUGCAGAAACGAUCUUUAGUACUGAUCUCCAACCCCCUUUAGUAUUGGUUUGGCAAUCAGUACCACUAUGUCGGUACUAAAGGGAGUUCUCUAGAAUCGGAUCAAAUAACCGGUACUAAAAGGGCUCCUUUACUACCAGUUGGUAACACCAAUAGGUAGUAAAUAUUUUGCACCCAAAAAAUUAAAGAAAAACAGCUGGGAGGCUCGCGCACACACGCAUCAUGAGUAAUAUGUGCGUGCAUGGUUUGUAGGAUUCCAACCCACGACCAAGCUAUAAGCACGUAGUUACAAAAAAUUAAACACUUAGACAUUUUAGAGCAUCCCAAAUAACUACAAAUUCUAUAGUUUACCAUAUACCAUAAAAUAUUAGUUAAAAUAAGAGCAUACACAUGUCGGAAGAGUCCCAACGCACCGGUUGAGGAUCAGACCAGGCACUUUGAAUGCACAUGCCAUAAGAUAAUUCUGCAGGACGAUGAUUGCAAUAAUGGACCAUCAAGAAGAUAGGGGCGAUGGGGUUGCCUCAUCAAUUAUCACUUGGCGCAACAAGACCAGCAAAGUCUUUAUCGACAGGGGUGGAUCAACGGGUGGGGCGGGCAGAGCUUCAGUCCUCCUACCGCCGCUCGAACAAUGGAGCCCCCCUUAGCCCCUCCAUAAAUUUUUAGGUAGAAGAAAAAAGAAGAGAAAGGAAGGAAGGGGAAGAAGAGGGAGCCCCUCCUAAGUAGGUCGCCAUCAUGCUUCCCAACGCAUGAUCGCCGCACCGCAUCCAUUCCUCUACAAGCCUCCAGCGUCUCUCCCGCCGCUACCUCUGAACCAUGUGCAGCUGCAGACCCAACUAGUGUCUUGUCCCCCAUCUCAGUCCCAACAGAGCAGCGGCGGUUGCCAGCACAAAUCUCCCUCCGCCUCUUCUUCAUGGUCGAUGGCCGCCACAAGCAUAAACCUCACCUUCGCAUCCACGCAAAAGGGUCGCUGGGGUGCCUUCUUGCAUCGCUUCUCAGCCUCCUUCACUUGCGGCCAGCCAAGAACCGUGCCACCACCUCGGGUGCGCGCCACCACUCCAGGGCUGCUACCCCAUGCCUGCGGCUGCCGCCGGCCACCACACAUGUCCCGCCGGCCACCACACGUGUCCAACCGCGUCGCACCGCUUCCCUGCUCUGUGCCACCACUUGUACCACCAGCUCCACCACCUUGGGCUGGUCGCCAGGGUGACUGAUUGGUGGAUUGUUACUAAAAAUAAGUUCCUUAUUAUCUGCAACUACUAUUAACUCACGGAUACAUGCAUAUUUUGCUUCUCCUGCUAAUAUGUCCUAAAAUAUCUAGGAUGCCUUAUAUUUCUGGAAAGAGGAAGUAUUUGAAUAAAAUGAACCAAUUUAAAAAAAUGUGUUAUACACUACUACAGAAAGACCUAUCAGUGUCAAACCCAAAAAUGUCGUCACCGCCAGUUUUAGGCACCGUUGGUGAAAGGUUGGCGGUGAUGGGCAUCCCCUUCAACAACGGCACUGGAGCCGACGGUGAUUGGCAUUAGAAAACAAAAAAGGGGACCCUACCUAGCCACCCCUGCAACCCGGCCAGCCGUGCCUCCCCUCGUCCCCGCCACCUCGCCUCCCCCGUUACCCCCCUCCGGCGCCCUUGCGCCUAGCCCCCUCGCCUGCCCGACUGGCCACCCUCGUCACGAGAGAGAGAGGUGCAUGUUGUAUAAUUGCGUGAAUUUUUUAAUGUUUAAUUUCAUGUAAGUUUCAUGUAAUAAAUUGUACAAGAUUUAUUGUAUAUAUGAAUUCCAUAUAUAUAUAUAUUUAUAAUUUAAUGUAUGGUUUCAUGUGUAUAUUUCAAUCAUGUGUAUAUUUAGUAGAUUGCCGAUUUUUUUUUACUAGACAAGGGUUGAUGUAUAAUUACGUGUAUAUGUUUAUUGUACAGGCAAUUAGGACAAGUUUUGUAUAAAUUUCUUUUAUUUCAUGGUUGUUGUAUGGUUUCAUGUAUAUACAUUUAUUGUAUCACUAAUUGUAUUAUUAGUUAAGAUGGGAGCCAAAGAGGAUGAAAGGUAUAUAAUGGAGCAGAUUAUUGCUGGCGGUAGUGGCUCAAACGUUGCAAGAACCUACACCGAGGGUGAGGGUAGCUAGGUGGACAUGUACCUCAACAUGUCCAGUGAUGGCAAUGGUGAUGAGGAGCACGAGCAUGACGUUUAUGAUAAUGCGGAACAAGACAUUGCAGAAUUGGAAGGUUCUAAUGAGGUGUGUUUCAUGUUGAUGAUCUGGUUGGCUUUUUUUCUUUGGUCACACCUUAGUUACCAUAGAACUUCGUCUCGGGAGAAGAUUAGUGGUGCUAUGGUGAUUGGAAUUUUAUUGCCUCCAAAUCUGAUUUCCAUCGAAUCAUAUCCCUUGUAUUUAUCUUCUUUUUAUUUGUGAGAGCAUCUUCUUUAUGCUUGCAAAACAAUUCAAGUGCACAUACUACACCUAGGGUGACGAUUAGGAGUAGAAACAAUUGCCAACAAACCAACACCACAUCCUAAGAUUCUUAACUUGUGGCAUAAUUAGUCUAGUAAAAAGAAAGAUAAAAACCUAAUGGGUGUACGUGAGUGCAAUGUGUAUAUGCAUAUGAGUGGAAGGCAUAUAAGCAAAGAUAAUAUUUACACAUAGUUCUAAACACCAUGUUUACAGCUAGGUUGCUGAAUUUCUCCAUAGCUAUAGAGAUUAAUUAACCAAGGUCAAAACACCAUGUCUAUCCCAAGAUCAGUAAUUCUUUAUAGCACAAGAAAAAGAAAGCGCAUUGCAAAGUUUAUAAACCAACCAAUGCAGCAUGAAAACAAGAUGAAUAGCUAGCAAGGUUUAUUAAACUGAAUGAUGAUGGUCUGCAAGCAAGUUUAAACACCAUCUUUACACAAGAUUGCGAAUGGAAAAUGCCCAUAUGAAGCACUAACAUGGAUAUGAAAUCAUUCAUCAUAAAGCGUAAAGAACAACCAAGCCAACCAUAUGCAAAGCAUGAAUGGAAUGCAAUGAAGGUGCAAGAGAACAUUUUUGGAUGAACACAUUAUAAUGAUGGCAAAAUGCAAUGCAUGCAGAAAAAAUAAAUAUGAACAUGAAUAUGAUGAUCAUGGGGCGGACCCACUAUUGUGGCCUGGGUAUUCCUGGGCAUACCCAAUAUUUUUGGGAAAAUGUUUAGUAGUUUUUAAUGGUAUAUACAUGUAUAAUAUAGUUUAGGUGUUAAAAUUGAUAUUCACAGCUAUUUUGGGCCGCAAUUCGCGUCCAAACCAGCCUGGCCCACAGACCACACCCGGCCGGCCGGCCCAUCUAGUCACUGAUCCCCCCACCACCACACUCAGCCCGUCAGUCGGUCAGGUCCCGAGCUCCUGCCUGACCUAGUCCGCUACCGCCGCCAGGUGCCAGGCACAGCCGCACGCACCACGCCGCCCCCGUCCGCCGCACGGCCGCGCCGCGCCCCCCAGCCCCCGCGGUGAGAUCCCGCCGCCCGCUACCGCCAAACCUCAUUAGGCCUCCACCAGCAGGUCCACCCACAAUCCCGAGCGACGCGGCAGCCUCUUGGCUCUCGUCGNNNNNNNNNNNNNNNNNNNNNNNNNNNNNNNNNNNNNNNNNNNNNNNNNNNNNNNNNNNNNNNNNNNNNNNNNNNNNNNNNNNNNNNNNNNNNNNNNNNNCCCCCCCCCCAUCGGGCCUCGGCCCCUCCCCAGCUCCCCCCCUCCACCAGGACUGCUGCUUCCCCCCACUGCGAGGUAAUCAAAAUCGACUGCUCAAUCUCUCAAUCUGUUGACAUGAUGCACACGGUUGCAAAAAUAGAUGUGUCAAAUAGAUGUAUUGCCAAUUGCUAUAGAUGCAUACGGUUGACAUGAAGAAGUCAAAAAUGACAUUUGGUUCCUUGUAGGCAGUCAAAACUGAAGAAGUCAAAAAAUAUUGAUCUGAAAUCAAUGUGGGAAAGGGCUACAAAGACACACAGGUAGAUUCCCUUGUGAACUUUUUAUGUCGUUCGUCUAAAUAUUUUUUUGCAAUGGGCAUACCCUACUCUAAAAUCCUAGGUCCGCCACUAAUGAUGAUGGUCUAAAAAUAAAACAAGCCUAGAUUAAUUAGCCACAACUGAAAUUAAGCAAAGGCUAAUGUCAUUGACACUAGCUCUAUCCUAGCUUUUACCAAAGUCCUGGCACAUAUAGUGGUUGGGCCCACUCUCUCUGCUUCCCUCUCUGUUGCAUGCACGCACACGAGCAACGGGAGGCCCGACGAAGCCCAGAAGGGUUCGGCCAAACCAGUCUGAGCGCCGCUCCCUCCCAGCCUUCGCGCAGAUGCUCCUCCAACGUUCCUUGACCCCUCCCUCAGCGUCCCGUUGGGUUUAACAUUGCAGGACAGGAGUCCCUUUUUUAAAAUCUCAACCACCUCCUCUCCUCAUUCACUCCACUCUCAUCUCCAUCAAACUAAACGAGAUCCACACCAGAAAUCCCUGCUUACCACCAUGGCUAGCAAAGCCCUCGUCCCUUUCACCAACUUAGGCUUGACCACUGAUCUCGAUGGGGAAAUCACUCCGGCAAAUGUCAUUGUCCCUGUCGGGCGAUCUUGCGAUGGAGGAGGUCCAGGCACUAGAGGUCGAGCCCCUAGCCAUCAUACCGCCCAAGGGGUAAAGCAGGGGUGUGACAGGCGCUGCUAGGGGUUCAGCCAAACUCCUAGUUCGGCCAAACCAGGACGGCGCCGCCUCGGCCUCCCGCUCGACUGCACGCUCGCCCUUGCCAAGGAGGACUCUAGAACAGCGGGCGCGAGCGUCAAGUCCCUACAAAAGGCUGAAAUACAAUGAAUAUCCAGGGCCACCCUUGAAGAUGGGUGAACGCUACGCCGGGUCCUUGUUUGACUAGUACGGCGAUGCAUUCUGCCACCGCUAUGAGGAGGACUUGUGGGCAGAAAGUCGGCUACCACAAACUUGCCUCCGAAUAUUUGGAUUGCGAACCUUGGAUGGUGGUUGUGGAGACCCCAAGCCAUACCUCGCACCCUUGGAGAGGUAAUUGGCUGGAUUGCUUGGUUCGUCUCUAGAAUGCGACAAGGUCAGGCGCCACCUCUCACUGCUACCAGUUAGAAGGCCGAGGGGCCAGUUUCAACAUAGUAAUGAGAAUCUCCGAAGGCCACCAUGGUUAAGCAGCUAACCUCCAUGAUCAUAGACUUACGUUUAGAAAAUAGGAGGCUUAGCGAUGCGUUAACAGAGCAGAAGUUAGAAACAGAAGAACUUAAGGACAACUUCCGUGUCCUCCGUCGUGGUCUUUGUGCUAAGAUAAAGCGCUUGUACAAUGCCACGGGGCAUGACGGUCUCUACGAUGCAGCUCAAUAGACGUGCCCCUUGUAUCCCUUCCUUUAGGCACUUUAGAAUAUGUUUAUUUGUUUUCCUUCAUUUUAAUUUCCAAUCAGAUUGUUAGCACCUCCAAUUUAAUUUCAAUAAAGUGUAGACUCACCGGUCAUCCAACCUGAUGGAGUCCUUGUGUCACUUAGUUGUCUUUGGAAGAAGUAGCUAGGUACAAAAUAAGUGUGGGGGAGAGCCACGGACUCUCUAGAGUUGAAACAAUGCACAACACCCACAAAUAGAGAAAACCACGCUGCACCAGCACGUACGUGAAAGGGGAGCCAGAGCUGGACCCAUAGGGGUUUGGCCAACCCAGGGUGUGGCCCACUCGGGCCAUCUUCAUCCACCGCGUCGGUUUGUGUUUCUUUACCCCUGAUCUCCCUGAUUCAUGAGUUUGAAUGAAUUUUAAAUCUGACCAACUAAUUCAAACUCAACUAAAAUGAAUCAAUUGCUCCACCUGCUCUACAUGUUUUCUAUGGUUGGCUUGCAUAUGUUUUAUUCCAUGCUUAUCAUCUUGAUGCUUGUGAACAAAUAUCUUUAGGACAGCAUGCUCAUCUAAGUAGUUGAUGUGUAUGAUAUGGUUUGAUGAUAUGAUCUUCGCUCUUAAUGCUUAAGUGCUUGGAAAAUUCUAUUUGAAAAUUUAAAGCCUUUUUUGAAAUCUCCUCUUUGAUGUGCCAAGGUCCUACCAAAGCCGUAUGAUAAGUUGUCUUGAAGAACCAUUUGCAUAUAUUGCUUGUCUUUGCAUUAAGCUUUGUCAAAGUGGUGUGACCCUUGAAGAACCAUUUGCAUAUAUUGCUUGUCUUUGCAUUAAGCUUUGUCAAAGUGGUGUGACCCUUGUGACAAUUCUUUUCAUACUUUCAUGAUCAAGACUCAUGUGCACACCAUAUACCCCUUGCUAUGCUUCUAUGAGAUGUUAGCAUUGUACCAUCCAUUGAUUCCACAAAAUAAAUGCUCCACCAUAUGUGUUGGUCUCCUUCUAAGAUUAUUGUUACAAAAGAGAUAUGGGCUAUCAAAAAAAAAUAUGAAUGUCCUAGAAAGUUGGACACAUAAAUGUCAAGAGAUCAUACAAAAAGGAGUUUCCAUUCCAUCCACCACAUCCAUACACGUGCACAUCUUGAUCUGAUUGUAUGACUUAUUUUUCUCUUUGGAUCUGGUCUUUGACUUUGCAAUAUAUGUGAUGCAAGUAUGCCUUAUCCUUCAUAGCCUACCUUGAGCUCCACAUAUAGCCAUCAUUAGAAGUAGGAUGAAGAAAGGCAAGUCUAAUGCCUUGGUGAGGACAUAUACACAUUGAGUGAUCUGAGAGAAUCAAAUGAGGAGCUAAGCAAGGUUUUGUUUUGAAAACUAAUUGAAAAAUCCCAAGCUACUUGGCAUAUGGAGUUGCGGUGACUUGAUUCAAGAUCAUUCCAUUCCUCAACUACCCAAGAUGGCAUGAUAGACACUCCAAAGUUCACAAGUGCAGGUAUGGUUUGGAAUAUCUUUUAGGCUCGCUUCAUACCUUUGAAAGUUAUGUUUCACCUUAGUCCUUUCUUCUUCACUCGAGGAUAAGCAAAGGCUAAGUGUGGGGGUGUUGUUGAUGGCUCUUAAGUACCAAAUCUGCACCAUCAACUCUUGCAUAAACACAUAAAAUAUGAGCAUCAACAGUAGUGGUAGCAGUUAUUACAAACGAAUUCCACAAGUCUUGGUGAAUAUUUGUAUGCAGGCCCAUUAGGAGAGAAAAGACACCUCAAGAGCAAGGAAACACACUCUCAACCAAUCAGGAGCAAGCACAUGGAACCAUGGGCCCACAACCGGAAGGAAAUCGACUACAUUCACCACCAAACACCCUAUACCCACAUGAGAACCCAUAGGCAGUGACCCAGAGCAGAGGUGGUGCCAGAGUGUAGAUGGCAGUUAGCAUGCCAAAUUGUGAACCGCAAGCGCACGGAUCAAUUGUUGCUUUUCCCUUAGAGAUUCCCCCAAGGUUUAUGAAUCCAUGGAAUAAGGGAUUUGCACGUUUAACUAAGCACUAAUCAAUGUAAUUGAAAGCUUUUCGAAUAAGAUAUGAUUAUGCUAACAAAGGAACUAAGCAAUCUAGAUUAAGAUGGAUAGAGAGUAAAGGUUGUGAACAAGAUAGAUUAAAUGCUUGUCCUAGGGAUCUAGGAUCACUUGUAGAUGGAAUCGCCAUGCAUAAAUGAAUUAGAUCUAGGUGUUAUCAUGAGUGGUUGUGAACCAUGCCCAACACUUUCCCACCCGCAACACUGUCACUACAUGUGGGUACUCAACUAUCAGAACAUAAGAACACAUCAAGAUGAUCAUUCUAGGUAAGCAAAUAAGCAACCCAAAGUAGUGCUGGCUAGCCUUUUCAUGAAAGAGCAUCAUCAAGAUAAGAUUGAUAACAAAAUAGAUCUCAACCAAAGGUUCAGCGAUUACAAAUCAAGAUCUCCGUAUAACCCCGAUGACAAAUAGAGGUAUUACCCCCAUGAUCUUACACAUGUUGAUGAAUUUUGGGGUAAAGGACACCUUGUAGAUCAAUUGGACCAAAGAUGAUGAUAAACGGGGGCAGGGAAGGCCCAGACCGAUCAGCCUGGGCACUUUUGAGCCGAUCAGCUCAGGGGGUUUCCUCCUCCCCUAGAGAUCAUGGUACACUUCACGCUGAAGAAACAAGAGAUCGACCGAGCCCUGGGAUAGACCAUGAGGAUCAGCCUAGAGGGUCCUAGGCCGAUCGGCCUAGGCCCUUCCUAGCCCUUCUGGUCCUCUCCUUCCUCAUGCUGGCUUUUCUCGACGACCCUUAUCCAAAUAUCCAUUAAGCUCUCUAUACAUACCCCCUUGAUUAUGUCGUAUUUCCUGCCAAAAUACAAUGCUCCAAAAUACAACACAUAUGCAAUAAUAGGGUUAUUUUAGGUGCCAAUUGGUGGGUUAGUAUACGAAUAAGCAUGAAAAUACUGAUUAAAUGGCACUAAAAGUGUGUCAAUAAUGAGCACCAACAAUCCCCCCACGCUUAGAUCUUGCUCGUCCUCGAGCAAGUCUAGCGACUAAAAGAUCUUGAAUUAAACCUGAGCAAGCGAGUCAAGUACCUAGCCUUGAAACAAAAGAUUAGAGGAGCAGCAAAGAUAAUCAAAGUCUGGGUGUUCAAAGAUUUAUCUAAGCAAAGAUUCCCCUACAACUAUUAUUCAGAACCAAGUAACUUCAAGUAUCAACUACACUUAUUUUUUGGCUUUUUUCAGAGGGUUUUUCUUUCAUCAUAAAACAAUCUCCCUGCAAAAAAAUUGGAAAAAGAAUUAUUUUCCAGGUGCUUAUAUGUCGCUUAAAUGAAUGUUGGCUAUCCUACUUAUUUGCAAGCUCUCAUCUCUCAAAAGUCAUUCAAUUCUAUGGUGGAGCUUGGGUAAGGUUAGCUAGAAUCAACACGUAUAUUAUUGAAUUAAGAAAACCCUCUAACGGUGGCCUACCUUCCGAGCCAUUGAUCAUAAGAAUAUCCACAUAAUGUGAAGUUUUCAAGGAUGAGAAGAUAUAGAAUGGUGGACAUGUGCAAAUGCAAAGAAAUAUAGUGACUCUGAGGCACAAGCAAUGUCCUCGUCAUUGGAUUGCAUAUGGUUGGAAUGAAAAUCCGUUCCUUAAACAAGUCCAUCUUUUCUUUGCACCACUCUUGAUCUUCAUGACAGUAAAAACUCCUCCUUUAUUUUUUUCUCUCUUUUCCUAUUAUUUCUUUUUAUUUGUCUCAAUACUUUUCUUUCUUUCUUUCUUUAUUUUAAUCUCUUCUCUGAACCUCCUCUGAACACCACACAAUAAAAAUCAGUUUUAGAUCCUUCCAGAGACCUUCCAUGAAUUUGCUACAUGAAAACUGAGGCAAGGAGACCUCAGGCCGAUUGGCCUGGCCACUCCUUUGCUCUCCUCUAGCUCUUCUUUCUGGUGAAGCUUCCAUAUCUUGUAUCUUUCCAAAAAUUUCAAUAAGCUCGACUAGAAGCAGAACAGAUCUUCAUAUAAUGAGUUGUGUUCAAGGAAUUGGUAAUAAAAUUGAGAAAUUUGUGGUCCGGGUUUACGAAUUCAGUACAAAAAUCUGAUGGUUCCAAUGAAGAACUCUCAUUACUGAAUAUUGACGAGGCAAGCAUUCAAAGAUGGUAAAAAGGAUAUGAUCAAUUCUCAAAAUUAAAGCAAACCAAGAGAGAGCGAUCCUAAUUCAAUUCAAAGUGUCAAAUAUUGCUUAUGGUGGUAUGAAUAAAUAUUUUUAGGCAUUGGGUAGGAUAAAUAAAAACUCUCAACCUGGUUAAAAUAUAUUGAUCAAUCUUGUUUUUGCAGAGGUUUUAAAUAAAAAAUAAAAUUUUAAAUCACCUCCAAUUCAAAGCCUUACUCAUAAAUCAUAAUCAAAACUGAAGCACUUGAUCAUCAUAAAGCAUGGGUAUUGCAUAAACAAAUUGAUUACUAAAACUCCACAACUACGAUUUAGAAUUCAAGACAAUGCUCAUAAUCCAAAGUUGCAAAGACAAAAUAAAAGACAAGCAAGCCAAGGUAGACACUAAAAACACUUGCACGAUCCUUGAAUUUUAUUCAUGCUUCUUCUCACAAAGAUGCUAAAGUAGCCAUGUAGGCCUAAGUCUUCCCAAAAGCUUAAUAAGAUUACUACUUUAUUUACUUUUGGUUGAAAUAAAAACACUAAUUUAGACUCUCACAUGACUCGACUCGACCAAACUAGAUCCAAAAACUCAUAUGAGCGACGAUCUCCACCCCCCCUCACGCUUAAAAUCUACGACCUCCUCGUCGUAACCAUAUGGAGUACAUGGAAAAGAUGCUUGUAAAUGCACUAAUGACGCUACCCGCACUACUUGCACAUGGGAUGGUUGCUGCUUCCUUCACUUUGUUCUUCCUCAUGUUGCUGCACAUCUCGAAGAGCUUCCUCAUGUUCCUCUGCAAGAACUUGAAGUCGUCCUCCUGACUUGCAUGAUGUCAUCGACAGCAUCGAAGAGGUAGUGGAUGUUCUUCCUGCAAGCUGCGGAACAUGUACGAUCAUGCUCCUCUGAUUCUGGCCCGUCGUCUUCUAGAUCCUUCUCUUUGCCCUUGUCUUGAUGGUGGCCAUCUUGCUCCUUGCUCGCCUUCUUGCCUUCAGCCCAAUCCCAGUACGUGUUGUCAUCUUCUUCAUCAUCACGGCCUGCAGCACCCUAUGAUCCAGGGCUCCUAUCGUCCUCCGAAUUGCUAUCACCUCCAUAGUCAGCUGGCGUGUACUCGGGCAUCUUCGCUAUGUAGCUCUUGCGCUUCAUCAUGAGGAGCCUUGCUGAAAUCCUUGUGGGAGUGACGACGACCUCCUUCUUCUUCUUGGGUGCUUCAUCUUCGCUCGAGAAGAUGAUCAACAUGCGAUUCGCAAGCUUUCCGGAUGGUGCCUUGCCUCCAACACUGAUGUGAGCGUUACGAGUAGUCCUUGGUGGAGUUUUGGGACCCUACUCACACCUCUUGGCUUCCAUAUGAAGGGUGAAGGUGGCAGCCAAGGGAGGGGGUGGUGCUGAUCGGCUUGGGGAGGUCAGGUCGAUCAGCCUGGCCGCCUCCUUCGCCGGCUGCUGCCCCCUCUCGUCUCCCGAGCUCCUGGACGUCACCACUGCACUUUUUUUUUGGUUUGGUGGAUCUGAAUUGCUUGUGUAGAUGCAAAACUCAAGCUCCAAUUGGCCUCAUUAUAUACUCUUGAAGUCUUUGUCAAGGAUCCACACAUUUCCAAAAACUUCCUUGCCCCUUCCCGCAAAAAUUCACUUCCAUAAUCUGUUGUUACCAAAGAUGUGAAAGAGGGAACUGAAUCGGAAAUUACAUAUAUUUUUAGACGUACGCUCUGCCUCCCAAAUUUUCAUGGCAGCGCGUAUGUCUAAAAAUAUAUGUAAUUUUUUGAGUCUUACACAAAAUUCAAAUGAAAAUAAUAGAAUUUAAGAUAGUGUAUGUACAAGGUACCUAUUUUAGUGUCGUCAAGCUUGACUUGGCCAUUCUUCCUUCAUGGUAUAGACGUCAAUAGAAUUGAUAGGCACGAUGUCGGCUUCCAAGAAUACCUUUAGCCGCUGUCCAUUCACAAUAUAUUGAUCUCCUUUGACGUCCAUGAUUGUUACUGCUCUGGUAGGUGACGCAGAAUACAUGACGUAUGGUCCACCCCACUUGCUCAUCAAUUUUCCCUUACCGAAGAAUUUAAACAUGGAGUUGAACAAUAACACUUUAUCCCCUUCUUUGAAUUCCUUCUUAUGAGGCCUUUUAUCAAACCACCUCUUGAUUCUUUCCUUGUAAAUGCUUGCAUUGUGGUAAGCUUUAAGCCUCAUCUCUUCCAAUUCACUUAUUUGAAUCCUUCUUUUUACUCUCGCAGCAUUAAAAUCAAGAUUCAUCUCUUUUAUGGCCCAAUAAGCUUUAUGUUCAAGUUCAACAGGAAGAUGACAUGUUUUUCCAUAGACAAAUUUAUACGGGGUCAUACCUAUAGGUGUUUUAUGAGCUGUCCUAUAUGCCCAUAAUGCUCCGUCUAGUUUCUUUGACCAAUCCUUCCCUCCUUUGACUAUGGUCUUUUUCAAUAUAUCUUUGAGUUGCUUGUUUGAAGUUUCUGCUUGGCCAUUUGUUUGAGGAUGAUAGGCUGUAGACACUCUGUACUCAAUCCCCAGUUUCUUCAAACAUUUGCCAAAAUCUUUUUCUAUGAAAUGUGAUCCUCCGUCGCUUAUCAAUAUUCUGGGCACUCCAUACCUAGGAAAUAUUAUCUUCUUGAUCAUGUGAAUUGAUUCCUCUGUUGAUGCCUUCCGACAUGGGAUAGCUUCUACCCAUUUAGACACAUAAUCAACUAUAACCAAGAUGUGCUCAUAGCCAAGUGAAUUUAAGAAUGGUCCCAUGAAAUAUAUACCCCAAACAUCAAAUAGAUCCACUUGCAAACUAUAGUUCAAAGGUAUAGAAUUUCUAGAUGAAAUAUUUCCUUUUCUUUAGCAUUCUGAGCAAGUAGCAAUGAACCUCUUUGCAUAUUCGUGCAUCUCUAGCCAAUAAAAUCCCCUUGCCCAUACUUUUGCUUGAGUUUUGAAGUGUCCAUAAUGUCCUCCAUAUUCUGAUGAAUGGCAUUUCCUAAGCACCGCAUCUCUUUCUUCUCUAGGAAUCCAUCUUCUCAAUACUCCAUCUACUCCAUACCUAUAUACAAAAGGUGCAGACCAAUAGUAUUUCUUAUUUUCAGCAAUAUUUUUUCUUCUGUCAUUCCUAUCCAAGUGAUGCAAGGGCGCCCUUUUGAAGACUCUGAUAAUGUCAUGCAUCCAAUCAUCCUUGUCAAGUAUUCUGUAUAAAUGGUCAUCUCUCAUUCGAUCUUUAAUUGGCUCCUUCCCAUUAUCUUGUUGGUACAUCCUCGACAAGUGGUCAGCUACCACAUUUUUUGACCCCUUUUUAUCUCUAAUUUCCAUAUCAAACUCUUGUAGUAACAAUAUCCAAUGAAUCAGACCUGGUUUAGCAUCUUUCUUGGACAAAAGAUAUUUAAUUAAAGCAUGGUCGGUGUCCACAAUCACUUUAGAAUACACAAUAUAUGAUUUGAAUUUUUCCAAAGCAAAUACUACGGCAAGCAGCUCCUUCUCUGUAGUUGCAUAAUUUAUUUGAGCCUCAUUUAAAGUCUUGCUAGCAUAGUAAAUUGCGUGUACCUUCCCUUCUGUUCUUGUCCAAGUACUGCUCCAACAGCAUAAUCACUUGCAUCGCACAUUAUCUCAAUGGGUAGAUUCCAAUCCGGAGGUUGAAUGAUGGAUGCACUGAUAAGUGAUUGCUUUAAAGUUCUGAAAGCAUAGAGACAGUCUUCAUUGAAUUCAAAGCUCACAUCUUUCUGUAGAAGUUGUGUUAAUGGUUUUGUUAUCUUCGAGAAAUCCUUAAUAAAUCUUUUGUAGAAUCCGGCAUGUCCGAUAAAGCUUCUCAAUGACUUGAUGUCUGUUCAAGGAGCUAACUUUUCCACAGUUUCAAUCUUCGCUUUAUCAACUUCUACCCCCCCCCCCCCUCUAAGAUGACAUGCGCCAGCACUAUUCCUUGCUUCACCAUAAAGUAGCACUUCUCCCAGUUUAGAACUAAAUCAACUNNNNNNNNNNNNNNNNNNNNNNNNNNNNNNNNNNNNNNNNNNNNNNNNNNNNNNNNNNNNNNNNNNNNNNNNNNNNNNNNNNNNNNNNNNNNNNNNNNNNNNNNNNNNNNNNNNNNNNNNNNNNNNNNNGCGUUGAAUUGAUGUGGGCGCAUUGCAUAGACCAAAAGACAUUCUUCUAUAAGCAAAAGUUCCAUACAGACAAGUGAACAUCAUCUUAUGUUGGUCAUUCGGAUGUAUAGGAAUUUGAUCACUAUCCUGUCACUAUCCCCUGGAGAAUUAGCUCAUUCUUCUCAUUUGUCACAACAGUCAAUCUAUCCUUCUUUGGCACGCAAUGCACUGGGCUUACCCAUUCACCGUGUGGUACUGGAUAGAUUAUUCCAGCAUUAAGCAAUUUGAUCGCCUCCUUCUUUACUACAUCACGCAUAGCAUGCUCAAUCUUCUCUAGUUCUCCACAACUAGUUUGUAUUGAUCUUCUAAUUGUAUUCAAUGAGUGCAUAAGGUUCGAUUGAUUCCUUUCAAGGCUUUGAUUGUAUAUCCAAUCACUUUCUAAUGUUUUCUUAAUAAAUUCAGCAGCUUCUCAGUUUCUUCCUUCCUCAACUCGUUGUUGAUAAUGACUGGAUAUGUCUUGUUGUUCCCCAAAUAUUCAUAUUUUCAUCCCUUGGGUAAUGGCUUCUGCUCAACAUCUGGUGCUUUAGUCUCUUGCUGCUCCAAAUCUCCAAUGUCUUCAAAUUUUUUUGCUUCUAAAGUUCCGUAUUGCAGUGAUAAUGCUUCGGUUGCUUCUGCCAGUUCAUCAUCCUGACCACCCUCAUUGUUUUCCAUUGCUCUUAGUAGAGGAUCCCUGAAAUUUUCAGCAAAACAUACACUUUCUAAUUCCUCGUUAUCAGGAAGUAGAGGUAGGGUUUGUUGAGAAGCAGGCAAAAAAUUAUAAGUGUAUUUGGCACUGCCAAGAUUAAUCGUUACUUUGUCCUUCCCAGCAUCAACCACAACAUUAACCAACUUAAGAAAAGGUCUACCAAGGAUAAUAGCAUCAUGGCAAUCAUCAAUAACAAAGAAGUCAGUUGGUAUAACUUUUCCCGAGAUAGCAACAUCUAGAUCUCUAUGCACACCUAGAAAGACUUUCCGUAUGGUUGCACGUUUCACUAGAAAGACUUUCCCUCAAGUCGGUCUUUAUGUGAUCGGAGUAAGCUAUUGGGACAGGAUCCUCUACCGAGGCUGCCCUCUUACUCCCUUGUACUGUCCUUAAUAGUUUCUAACUCUUUAGUUGGUAAUUUUAGAUUUAUCUCAAAAACUCACACAUUGUGUUUGCAUAUUCCUAGGGAGUUCUAUCUUCUAAAAUGAUGCUCGAUCAUCGAUCUAGUCAUGAUCGGGGUAAUUUAUGGGAUUUUUUGCUAGAAGUGGCUUCAUGUCAAGGCGAGAAAGAGAACAGAUGUGGGUUGCUUCUGUAGGUUUGUAAAGAGAUGAAAGUUAGAUUAUUAUCUUGGUAGAUUUUAAUAUCUAUGAAUACAAGGGGUACGUGCUAGGAAUUACCUUCAUUAAAAGUCCUUAGCACGUUUUCCUAGGUUGACUAGAGCCCUGGCUUCUCAAUCUUCAGGUCUUCCGCUUCUACUUCUUGUUGGGGUCAUUGGAGCUUCCACCAGGAUCUCUGGAGUCCGGAUCUUCCAUUUCUUGUCGCAAUUCGAGCCUUACCAGGCUAACGCAUCUACGCAUCUGCUGGACGGCCAAAAAUUUGACUUCACAUAUUUUUUUGGAUCCUUGGCUUCCAACCGGGUCUUGGUUGUGUCCUCGCCUCCAACAAGCAUGCAAUCAUACAAAUAAUUCUAACAAUCAAUUUCUUGCAAUCAAUAUAUGACUAAAGGAAAUGGAAAAAGAAUGGAUGAUGGAUGCUUUAGGAAUUAUCAGAUUUCUAAGGAUAAUUCCAGAAUAAUUGAUGGAUAUCUUAUCCAUUAUUUAGAAAUAUUUCUAAAUAAUUGAUGGAUAGGAUAGUUGGAUUUCUAGGAUAAUUUUAAUAAAUUAAUAAUAGAUUUUCGAGCAGUACGACCGCUAGGGUUUUGUUGAUAUCUAGGGUUUUGAUUGGGCAACAUAUCAACUAGGUUUGGUUAAUAUAGGAGGUUUGGAUUGGGUACUAUAACGGCUGGGUUUUGGAAUGGAUCCUAAGUGUGAUUCGGGCGCUAGGUGUUGUGAAUGGAUUUCAAGGCUAGGAAACUUGCAUGACAAGCUCGGCUUCGACCCUACGACGGGUGGAGCUAGUCAAGUUUCCUUGGGCUUGGGUUGGCUGUCAGGCUUGAGAGUUUGUGCGACGGGCAUCACUUCGACCUGACCUGGUGCUAGAAGUUAGCAACCCAGCGAUAGGUGGAGCCAAGCAAGACCAAGUGGAAGCUAGAGAGCUUGCACGACAAACUCACUUCGACCACUAGGGUGGAGCUCGGGCAAGAUCAAGUGGAUGGAAGUUAGAGCUUGCUUGACAGACUCACAUCGGCCACUAGGGUAGAGCCUGGGCAAGGUGACCAAGGAUGGGCAUGGGAAUAGGCUUGGAUGGCUCUAAGAUAUUUUAAGGAAUUUUCCUAGGGUUUUUGGAAGUGAAAUAAAUGAAAUGCAACUUUUGGUGUGCACUUUAAGAGGGUUUUUCUACUAUGUAAGUAAGAAAAGGAUAUUUUGGCGAAGGGGUCAUAUGAGGUGAUCAAUGGGAAAGGAACACAUGGAUAGGUUUGGAAUAUUUUGGAAAAUUUUAGGAACUUUUGGAGUACAUGAAGGGCUCUAAGUGAACUUGUGUGUGCAUUUGGCUAGGUACGCAUAGCAAUUUCAGGAGCGCUGCCGCAACAGGGCGGGGCUGCGGGUACUGUGGUGUGGAACCGUGGUCACAACGAGCGAGCUGCGCAUGUGCAGUGGGCCGAGGUAAGGCAGGCUGAGCGAGUGUUCAGAUUUAUUUACCGACACAAACAACAACCAGUAAAAUCAACAAAUCAAGCACAAGAGAUACAAGGAUUUAUUUACCAAAGUUCAGAUUCCUUCAUCGAGGAUUCCUACAUCUCCGUUGGGUUCUUCCAAUAAAGCCGAGUCACUCUCAACCCUUUCCCCACUUCAUAUCUUGAUUUCUUCCCCUACGGAGGCGAAAUCAAAGCCUUCACAAACUUUUCAUGGCACACCACAAGCUUGGGUACUCACCAGGUGAUGCCUAGCCAUCUUGGAGGCUUGACCUAGCCACUCAAUCUGUCAAUCUGUCCACCCAACGCAUUUUUCUCUUCAAAUCUGAUAGGAACACUCAAGCUCUAGUAACAAAAUGGAGGGGAUGGAAACACAGAAGCGUAGUGGUGGGUGGAUUGGAUAAAACUAGCUAGAAUCACUUGAAGAUCACUCAACAAGAUCAACUAGCACCGAAUAUUACUCUACGGUUUUCUCAACUAGGAUAACUCGGAGAUUACUCGACGAGAUCAAUUAGCACCGGAGGUUACUCUACGGGUUUCACAAGGAAGAGCAACACUCAAUUCUCGUAUCAUAUCAAUUCAUCAACUCUGCACAACACAUUGCAUAGCAUCCCUUUAUAUAGAGAGGGAGAGACAGACACUUAAUACUUUGAACUCUUAGAAAAAUUAAAUGGACACUUAGGAACUGACUCCCUAAUUACUAGUCUUAGACUCUAAGAUACAUAUGACUCUUGGGAAACAAAGAGAUAAUAAAGCAACUGAAGAGUCUUGGACUUUCGCGCGGCUUCCUGGCAGCCUGCACACUUUACACUAAAAUGACCAUAACUCUUGACUCGGAAGUCCAAAAGAUGCAUCGUUUGUGGUGUUGGAAACUGUGCCAAUUAUUUCUCUCUUUUUCAUUCUCUCUUGGCUUAUAUCCAAAAUCAUAGCAGCCGUUGUUGAACAUUGAACUCAGAUCCAAAAAUUCCAUACAUGGAUCCAAAAAAUUUUCACUGAUAUGUUUGUCCUCAAAAAAGAUAAUACUUGUUGGCGCAUAAUAGAUAGAAACUUCAGGAUUAAUGGACAGAAAAGUGUUCGUCUCAUCACUUUGAAAGAAAUCAUCCAAUAUAUUUUCAUUAACAGAUUCAAUAGGAUCAAAAUCAAUGGAUAUAUUUUGCUCCUCAUCAUAGAUAGGUGGCAUGCAAUAACACCACUUCUUGGAGACACCAUACGAAUCAUAAGAUGCCAAACCAUAAAUCUUGCAACAAUGAUAGUCCAAAACUUCCCAUUUGCUGCAAACCAAGGACAUCAAGUUGAUCAAAAUCAGUACCUUCAUAACCAGUAGCGCCAUGAAGAGCAGCUUAACAUCCAGAAACAUCACAACCAGUAGGAGCCCCACAAGCAACUUGAUGGCCAUAAUCCUCACAGCCAGCAGUGGCACGACCAACAACCUCUUGACGAGGUACUUCACAACUAGCAGCCUCAAGACCCUAUAAGCGUUCUUGUACUUGACGAUUUUCUUCUCCAAGACCUGCAAGGAUCACAUCAUGGUGAUCAUGCUCUUGGUUGGCAAUGUCGUUGUCGGAGUCUGCUUGAUGACGUUGAUGACAAGCCAUCAACCUUAAUCCAGAUGAUAGAAAUCUUGAAGCAUGGAACAAUAGCUCUGAUUAUCAAAUGAUAGGAACACUCUCACUCUAGUAACAAAAUGGAGGGGAUGGAAACAUGGAAGCAUAGUGGUGGGUGGAUUGGAUAAAACUAGAAUCACUCGGAGAUCACUCAACAAGAUCAACUAGCACCGGAGAUUACUCUAUGGAUUUCUAAAAUAGGAUAACUUUGAGAUUACUUGAUGAGAUCAACUAGCACUAAAGGUUACUCUAUGGGUUUCACAAGGAAGAGCAACGCUCAAUUCUCAUAUCAUAUCAAUUCAUCAACUUUGUCCAACAAAUUACAUAGCAUCCCACCCUUUAUAUAGAGAGGGAGAGAUAGACACUUAAUACUUGAACUCUUAGAAAAACUAAAUGGAAAUAAAGAGAUAAUGAAGCAACUGUAGAGUCUUGAACUUUCGCGCACCUUCCUGGCAGCCUGCACACUUUCCACUAAAAUGACCCAUAACUCUUGACUCGGAAGUCCAAAAGAUGCCUCGUUUGUGGCAUUGGAAACUUAACUCAUAGGACUUUCUAAUGAUGUAUCAUAUGAAUACGGAAACCAAGUAGAUCAGUACCAGAAAUCCAUGAAACUUAGAGAUGUUGCUGCAUGUUCUUCCAACUUGUGUAAACCACCACCAUUUCAUGUAACCGGUUGGUUUACCUUCCCAUGAGGAUAUCAAAAUAUCUUGAAAAUCUAGAGAGGGGAGAGCUUCUUCGGUCUGUGAAUAUGUCUUUUUUGUGUGGGAAACCAGUAGCAGCUAAUGGGAGGCGGUGAGUGGUACAAAUACCUAUCCCAAAAAACUAGCUGUUGGGCUGUUAAGUUCCAGAAUCUCUGGAAAAAAUCUCCGAAAACUCUGGAACCCUAAAACUAGCCAUUAGAUUCAAAAAGUUUCAAACACUACGAAAAAUCGUAAAUUUGCCGAGUGUUUUUUCCUUUGUCGAGUGUUUUUUUUCGGACACUCGACAAACAAGCUCUUUGCCGAGUGCCGAGCUAAAAACACUCGGCAAAGAAAAAACACUCAACAAAGAGGGGCUUUGCCGAGUGUCAAAAACAAAACACUCAGCAAAGAGGGGCUUUGCUGAGUGUUUUAUUUUCACACUCGGCAAAGAAUUUUUUUUUUGAAAAAAAAGUCUUGCCGAGUGUCCAGAUUGGGACACUCGGCAAAUGUCAAAAAUAUAUCUCCCGUCCCCGACCCCCCUACCCCAGCACCCCACCCGCCCGACGCCCCCCUCCUCUUCCUCCGCGCAACACCGGCCCCCACCUCCCUCUCCCUGCCGCCGGCUAGCUGCCGCUGCCGCCGCCCCUUCCCUCCCUCCCUCCCUCUCCCUCUCCCUCUCCUACCGGCGCCCCUCCCCCUCCUCUCCCCUCCUCCCUCCCUCACGCAGCCGCCCCCUCUCUCCGGUGGCGACCUCCGGCCGCCGCCCCGCGCCUCCUCCCCGGAUCCGGCGGGGACUCGCAUCGGGGACGCCGGAUCUGGCGGGGACUCGCGUCGGGGGCCCCGGGAGUGGCGGUCUUCAAGCGGCGGCGUGGAGAUGUGGUGGUGGUGGUGGUCGGCGGGAGGCAGCUCGUGGUGGUCUGCAGGCUGUGGUGGUGGUGGUGGUGGCCGGCUGUGGUGGUGGCAGCGGGCGUGGAUGGUGGCCGGCUGUGGUGGCGGUGGCGGCGGUGCGGAUCGUGGCGGCGGGCGUGGAUGGUGGUGGCAGGUGUGGAUGGUGGCCGACUGCGGUGGUGGCGAUGCCGGCGUGGAUGGUGGCAACGUGCUGGUGGUGCUGCCGACGGUGUCGGCAUGCCUUUUUUUUUAUUUUUUUCAAAAAAAUUGUUUGCCGAGUGUUUUCUGGGCACUCGGCGAAAGCUUUGCCGAGUGCCCGACCGAAAACACUCGACGAAUGUUACUUUGCCAAGUGCCAGAUGCCGAGUGUAACACUCGGCAAAUUUGUUGCCGAGAGUAUUUUGGGUUUCGCCGAGUGCUCCUGGCGCUCGGCAUAAAACCUGUGUCCAGUAGUGGAAAUCUCCACAAAAAUCUCUGGAAACUCUAAAUAUUUUUGUUCUCUCAAAAAUCUACAGAAACUCCACAAAAUUCUCCGAAAUCUCUGCAACUUACCGAUUCUCCGUAGAAUUCUCUGGAAUUUCCGCAAGUCCACUGGACAACAUAAGUCACCCAAGAGAAAGGGAUCUUGGACUCUAAGGAAAUCUUGUUCAAAGAACUAUCCAGUCCAAUUUAAAACAAGCCACCAGAUCACUCAGUGCAAGUGUUGUGACAAGUGUUUCUCUCAUGUUAAAACUUGAAAGGAUAGGUUUGAGCACUAAGGCAUAGGUGAAGCAAUCAUUGCAUCCCUCUCGAUAGCACGGCAUUACAUAUACUCAAGAUCAAAAAAUAGACACAAUAUCAACCACUUGAGCUUGAAUACCUUCACCAUGCUGCUUUUCUUUAAAAUCACACUUUGAGGUGUUUGCAAGCAUUUCUUUCUCUUUCUAUCGGUGUUUUAGACCGGCAACCCGCCUAGGGGUACCCUAGGUGGUCUUUUAUGCGGUAAGGGUCGUCGAGAAUCAAGGAAUCAAUGGUGACACAAGGAACACGAUUUAGACAGGUUCGGGUCGCUAGAUCGCGUAAUACCCUAUGUCCUGUAUGCUUGUAUGUAUUGAUCUUAGAUGCACUUGGAGUUGUUCUGUUUGAGGGGGGUCCCUGCCCGCCCUUAUAUACACGGGAGGGCAGGGUUACAAGUCUGAGUCCUAGUCGAGUACAAUUACAGAGUUCUACUCGGUAUGGCCCGAGUAGUUUUCCAUAUGCAUACUUGACUAGUCCGAGUGGAGAAGCCUAUCCCUUUGUCCUGAUCAUAUCCGAGUACGUCCCUUAGUGGGCUGUCCAAGGUCUACUCGUGGGCCUAGGGUGCAUGCUCGACAAGCCCCCGAGUACUUUGUAGUCGUGCACUGUAGUCUUGAGUACUGUGGGCAUUAUCUGAGUAGUUCUUUUGUAGAGGUUGCGGUGUCCAAAGUGCUCGAGUAUUGUUCGCGUGGCUGGAAGGUACUCUUCUUGCUCCUUUGAGUUGCUUUUGUUCCGAGAAUUUUUUAUAUGGUAGUGCGAUGACAAUCGUACUCCAUAUGGAGUAGCCCCAGAGCCUUAGGUUGAGUCGAAGAGUCAGGCUUAGGGUCAAUCCUGCUUCUUGGCUGUUUUACUCUUGGUAAUCUGAAAAAGAAAAUUCUGACCAUCGGGUACGGUACCCGCAGCCCCCGAGCACUUAGGCAAUUUUUUUCGUUGAAGUGGUCAAGACCCAUUGAACAGAGUAUCCGUUGGGUGUUUAAGGCAAUUAAUUUGUUUAAAAACCCAUCCGUUGCGUAACUAAUGCUUGGAAUCCGGAGGUGGCGGAGAUAUAAUCGGAGGGCCCCCUUUCAGUUAGGUUUACGCCCCACUGUAGCAGAUCUGUUUCUCUUCUUCCCCCACCUUUCCAUUCCUGUUUUCCUCCACCGUGAUUGUCUAGCGCCGCCGCCACCGUUGCUGCUCCUCUGAGAGAGGUCCGAGGUUGAGUGCAUUUUGCUGCGGGUGAAGCCGGUGGAUGCGCACCAAGAAGAUGGGGAAAAAACCCGAGAAGGCUCAAGGCAAGGCUCCUGCGGCGGGCAAGGUGAAGUCCAAGAAGGGGAAGGAGGUGGUGCUACUGGCGCCGAAGGUAGGGCCGACAAACCAGACUGCGCCGCUGCCGCCUGGAGCGAUGUGGUAGCAUUCGGUGAUGAAGGAGGCGGCCAUUCAGGUGCUUGUCGAUGCCAAACUUCUGCACUCGAAAUAGGUACUCGAGUGGAGGCCUACCUUCGCUGACGCGUGGCAAUUCGAGAAGCAUCCGAAUGAGACGGUUAUGCUUGCUCACUUUGUGGAGAGGGGGUUGGCAGUGCCCACCUCCGACUUCUUCAGAGGUAUUCUUGAGUACUACAAGCUUCAACUUGUACACUUGAACCCCAAUGGUGUACUGCACAUGUCUAUUUUUGUGCACCUUUGUGAAGUUUACUUGGGAGUUCCUCCUAGUCUUGAGAUGUUUAGGAAGUUGUUCCGUAGCAGGCCUCAACCUAGUGCUGUUAGGACAGAGGUCUUUGGGGGCGCUGGGUUCCAGCUCAGGAACUCAGGCGCGUAUAUUGAAUAUAACUUGACUGACUCCCAUGGGAAGUGGAAGAAAAGGUGGUUUUAUAUUGGGAACCAUAACCCUCGCUUGCCGGUGGUCACUGGUCAUGCGCCGAAGCACGCAGAGAAUUGGGUGAGCGAGCCUGAAGAUAGCCCAGAGCUCGAUCACUUAAUUCCCCAGAUUGCUGAGUUGAAGGCACUCGGUUUGACUGGAGUCAAUCUGGCAGCCAGCUUCCUCAAGAGAAGAAUUCAGCCCUUGCAAAAGCGGGCGCACUUGGGUGGGGAGUACUCAGGUUUUAAUGACCCGUCCCGUAUGUCUCCGGAUGAUAUUUCUGAUGAUGAUGUUGAGGCACUGUUGGCCAAGUUCUUUAGGAAUUAUCAAGGAGUACUAGUUAUUCCUUCAACGCUUCGUCAGUUUGAUGCUUGGUAUCAGCCAGAAGUGGUAUGGUCUUUCACUUUGAGUUGUACUUUUUGAACUGUUCGGGAUAUUGUUUGAGUGUCGACUUGCUUUUGUAGUCCCGAGUUCUUACUGGCUACUUGGUGUAGUCGGAAGAAGAAGAAUCUGUUGUUGAGGAGUCAGAGGACGAGCCCUCUCCUCCUGUGAAGAAACGCUGAGUAGUCCGCAAGAUGUCUGCUGCUAAGUCUACCACGACUUCUCCUGAGAAGUCUCGGGGUGCCAAGGUAUGUAGCUGUGUACUCACUUGUAGCUGACGGAUUUUAACUUGUAAUCUUUGAUCACUUUAUCUGUCUUCAAAAGGCUGACGACGCGGCGCUUGGUGACGAUGAGGCUGCUUCGGAUGAAGUAGUCAUGAGCGCCUAGGGUGUUGAUGUUGUGUCUGUUGAGAAGGUACUAGGGAAGGUGCCACCAACAGAUGCUGGAGUAGCCCCCGAGCUGACAGUCCAAGCUCCAUCGGCUACCGCGCUGCCGGUCCCAGACCAGGCAGUCCUGGGUUUGCCUGCUGGAGUGGCGGACGAUGUUGGGAAAGGAGUAUCACCAGUAGUUGCUACUGGUUCUUUGUCGUCCAAGGUGAUUGCUAGUGGUGAGCUUUCUUUCCCGACUGGUUUCGUUAGUCUGAGUUGUAUUUUAGUCUUGACCCUGUGUUUCCCAGGUCUUGGCGAGAAGACAGAGCCAGCAGCUGCUCCCGUGGCGUCGAGUACUCGGCCACCUGUUGCCGAGAAGAAGCGUGUGCGAUUGCCGCCACGAUCAACUCGGUGAGCUGUUUAUCCUUGGUGUGUAUCUUCAAGGUUUCUUCAAGUCGUGUAAUGACUUUGUAUUUUGAUGUAGGGAUGCGGAGGAGACUAUCCCUGUGGAGGCAAGAGUAGAUUCGUGUCCCCCGACUACUCUUUCUGCUCCUUUUGAGGAUUUGACUGUCGACAAAGUAUCCGGAGUUGAUGCUAGUCAUCUUGGAGCGUCCAUGUCUAUGCUUCAAGAAGUGAUCCGCUCGGUGGAAGAUCCCCCUGCUGCCUCGGGUUCUAGGAAUGUAUCCUUGUCAGCGUCUACUGGCGGAGAUUUGGCUGUAAUUGAUGCAGGGAAAUCUAAGGAACCAGCUACCCUAGGUAUGUAUCCGCAGUCUUGGUAUUGUAUUCGUAGUAUUGAGGUGGCUGAUGUUAAUCUCUUAGGUACUGCCUUGGGUGCAGCUCCUCAUCUUGCGAAGAGUACUCAAGGUCCAGUAAUCGGGCUCCCGUCUGAGUCAGAGUUCCAGAGAGCUGUCAAUGUUUUUCAAAGCUUCCAGGUGUGUUUUAUUUACUUAUCUAACAGGUUUAGUAACUAGGGGAGUUGACCGUUUGCUUUGCUGUGUAGGAUCUGUAUGACCAAAUGCAAAGGAACACUCGGGCCCUUCAGGAGCGGAACGAGCAAUUGGAGCAGGAGUGUGUCCGACUUGCGGAAUCCUUGAGGGUUCAUGAAGCUGGAGGGAAAUCCUUUGCUGUGGAGCGGUCAGAUCACGAAGUCUUACAGCAAAAGCUAGAGAGCCGCUACAAGUCUUUGAAUAAAAAGUAUCAAGGUGAGUACUUUUCAUGUUCUGGGUAUGUCCGACUAUUGUCGGUUGUGUUUGAACUUGGCCGUUUUUGCAGAACUCAAGAGGAAGGAGGCUACUGCAAGUAGCCAACUCCUUGAUUGGAGAAACUCGCAUGACCGAGUAGCGGAUGAAGCUGAACAUCUUCAAGCCGCGCUGACAGAGGCACAGGCUGCCUGCGAGCAUCAACGGGAUAGGAAGAUCCAGAAUGGAGUGAUGCUUGCUAUGGCCAUAGUGGUGUGCAGAGACCAUGCCCAGACCGUUGGAAGAUUUUGAAGCGAGCUCCAAGAGUUAACUGAUGCCGCUCAAGACUUGGUGAACGCCAUUGCCCCCUUAGAAGAGGAUGCAGGACCUCAAUCACUAGUCGAGCGCUUCAAGGCUGCUCCGGGUAAGGUGGCAGGCCUCUGCAAGGCUGUUUGCAAAUAGCUCCUUGCUAUGGUAAGGUCAUACUACCCAAGGGCAUAUUUUUCAACGGCUGGUGACAGCGUUGCUCGCAAUUGCACAGAGAAAGCCUAUGCGCAGUACCUCGAGGAGGCGGAACCAAUCGCGUCGAAGAUGUCAGAAUUUGUAUCUCUGGAGGAGCCUUGAGCGUUUAUGUACUCUUGUAAACUUUCGAGUACUUUGAAUGAUAUUGUGUCUGAGAGUUGAACACUUGUCUAUACUUUGUUGUUUGAAGUGGGUCUGACCCAUCAUGGGUAAGGAACGUUUUACUCUAUCUCACCUGACCCAAGGUCCCAUGGAUAGACACGCCCGACCCUAUGAGGAUGGAACUCCGCCUUGCCCGACCCCUUGCCGUAAGGCUUCAUAUCGCCCGACCUCGGGUGUAGGGAGUCGGACUCAACUGGGCCCCCAGGACAAGGAUCCGCUACAGGCACAACCCAGGUUUUGGCAGAAGUUGUUCUGAGGAUUGAGUUUGAGUAGUCACGAUGUAGUCGAGUAACCUUGUUAUUCUGUGAAUAGGAGGUGCACGGGUGUACUGUACUCUUUUGUCCUUCGUGGCAUGAAUGCUUUCACGUGGGCAGUCAGAGAUCAUCCAGACUCAUCGAUCACGGGCGCAUAGUAAAUUCUGGGUGGUUGAUGGUUGCAGCCCUUGGCUAUAAAUAGACCCUCCUGGAGGUCGACCCUGAAUCAAGCUUUGAGUAGCGCUAGAUUGCCUUCGGUUGCUGUUGUUUGAGUGUAGAGAGCCUUCAAAGAGUACACCGGUGCUAGAAGAUUCCUCGUAGGUCCCUGCACAGACUCUAGCGCUCAUAGGGAUAGCUGCGAUGCUAGAAGAAUCCUCGUAGGAGGUUUCAUCGCUGUCGUUUUGGAGUAGCUUUGGGAUCAACAUUUAGAGAGUGUUCGAUCAGCUCCUUGGGCACACCGGGCAUGUCAGCUGGUUUCCAAGUGAUGAUAUCGUGGUUAGCCCAAAGGAAACUGAUGAGCACGGAUUCCUAUUUAGGAUCUAGCCCUGUUCCAAUCAGGGCUGUCUUGGAGGAGUCACCCGUCUGGAGAUCGACUGGUUUGAAGUCUUGCUUGCUUGCGGGUUUCACCUUUGUAGACCCCGACUUGUUUUCUGGGAUCUCGAGUUCGGUUAGAUGGAGUUUCUUUGAAGCUGUGAAGACUUAUUGCAUGGGACUAGGUGUUUGAGAAGUCGCAGCGAUCUCCACGGCUUUAGUGUCGCAUUCAUAGGAUCACCGUAGAUCUCCCCGUAGCGUUAGUUCUCCCUUGGGACCUGGUAUUUUGAGUACCAAGUAAACGUAAUGUGGUAUAGCCAUGAACUUGGCGAGUGCUAGCCUUCCGAGUAUGGUGUGGUAGGAUGUCUCGAAAUCGGCGACUUCAAAUAUGAUAUAUUCGGUGCGGUAGUGUUCCUUAGUUCCAAAGGUAACUGGGAGGACAACUUGUCCAAGUGGUAUAGCUGCAUUUCCAGGUACGAUGCCAUAGAAGGGUGAAUCUGUUGGGGUCAACAUUUCUGUGACGUCGAGGCACAUCUUUCUUAGUGUUUUGGCGAAAAUGACAUGGAGUCCACUUCCACCAUCGAUGAGUACCUUUGUCAGCUUUGACCCUGCCACAAUGGGAUCGAGUACUAGAGGGAAUCGGCCUGGUUCUGAGAAUUUUGUCCACUGGUCUUUUCUGCUGAAGGAUAUGGGUACUUCGAACCAUUUAAGUGGUGUUGGAUCUAUUGGCUCGAUGGCCAUGAUUUUCCUGAGUACGAGUUUGUUGGCUCGCUUGGAUGCAGUGCCUGGGAUUCCGCCAAACAUGACGUUGACUGUCUUGGAGGCGGUCUGGAAGUCGCCUUCUUCUUCGUCGUUGUGGUUGUUCUUGCCCUUGUCCUUUUUCUUGUUGUAUUCUUCAGGGGGUGGUGGUGUGGGUAAGUCUUGCAUGACUUGACGCAUGCUGUAGCAAUCUAUUGCCGAGUGCUUGCUAGUCGGGUGCCAUGGGCACUGCUUUUUGAGUAGCUUGGUGAAGGUUGGCCCUUCAUCGUUUUUACGGGAUCCCUUUUUCCCGGAGUUGGUCAUGGCAGCAACGGUGUUGUCGGGCUUCCUUUUGCGAUUCUGAUUACUCGAAAAGUUAUUUCAAGUAUCAUUGUGCUGAGUUCUAUCUUGGUCAUUGUUGUUGUCGCGUCCUCGGUUGCGAUGAGAGCCAAACCAUUCACGCUCUUUGUCUUCUUCAUCCGCCCACUAUUGCACCAUGACUUUGAGGUCUUUGACGUUAGCUGGUCAUCAUUGACCGAAGUCUUGGUAUGUUCGCCGAUCAUAGGGUCCGUUCUGGAAACACUCGAUGACGUCUGUUUCUGAAAUGUCAACUAUAGUUGCCUUCUUUUCGAAGAAUCAUCUCAAGUAGUCGCGUAAGCUUUCACCUUCUUUCUGCUUUAUUUGACUCAAGUGGAUCUUGUUGCCUGGUCUAGCCAUGGAGCCAGCAUAGUUGUUGGUGAAAGCCUUUGUCAAAUCUGCCCAAGAGUCAAUUGACUUGGGUUUGAGUGACUCAAGCCACGUCAGUGGUUCGGGUUCCAUGCAUAUGGGAAAGUGGAUGACUUUGGUGUCGUUAUUGCCCCAAGCUGCUUGAACUGCUAGCGAGUAGCAUCGUAGCCAUUGAAUUGGGUCUUGUUUGCCAUCAUACUUGGUGAUUCCUGUUAGCUUCAACUUCUUGGGUAGUCUUGUCUUCAUUACCCUAUUUGUGAAAGCAGGAAAGUGGUUGUAGUUGUCGACUUCUCGCUCACGCCAACUGUUGAGUAUUUCUCGUAGAUCACUAAAGUUUGACACUUCGUGUUUCUUCUGAGUAGGGUGAAUACUUUUGUUGGCGCUAGAAAUCAGCCGAUUGAAUCUCUAGCGUCGGACACACGACCCGGGAGAAUCUACUUAACUCCUGUUCCGGUGAUCGCCCUGGUGCGGUUCGCGCGACGUGCCAGCCAAUCUGACCUAUUGAUUGGCACGGAAAGAAACGUGUCAGGUCCUAGAGGUUGCGAUCGGCUAAGGUUCCGAUCUUGAGAGAGCUUAUCAGCGAAUGGGUCGAUUUGCUGUAAUAAAGGAAUCGGCUAUAAUACAGCCGAUUACCAGGCAACAUUGGUAAAGAAAACUGCUAAGAGUAAACUAAACAACGCUACAGUAGCAACACUAGGAAUAGAUCUUAAUCGGCUAUGCAAAAAGUAGUAAAUUGAGCAAUAAGAUAUAAAAAAGCCGACAGUACUAAUUCCAAGCUGGAUAACUGGUGAUAAAACUAGAACAACAGGAAAAACCUAGAAUUCUAGUGAUUAUCGAUAACUGGUGAAUAAAUCUAAACGAAACGACAGCAAUGUGCCCGAAGUUAAAGCUUAGAUAUUACUCGAUAAGAGGAACUUACAGAAUCGGCCGGAGAUCAAGUUGAUGCAGCCCCGCCAACCCGUACGAACUCGUGAAAAGAAGAAAAGUAUUGGCGAAGUCGCCUGCUCGAAAGUAAAGUGCGAGGAAAUAGUAGUUUGUUGUAUUGAUUUGAUGAUGAUUACAGAUCUAUGAAAGCGGCUAUUUAUAGCCAGUUGCAACCAAUCUCUUAACUGACUAGGACUCUAUCUCUAAUUUUAAAUGAAAACAAAUAUUUACAAGCAUAAUUCUUAUCGGAGUUGGUCAUCGUGUUCCCACGGGCCGAUCUCCUUUUUAUCUUCAUAGCUCACUUUAGGCCCAUAUUGGCCCAACUGCUCCAACCUCCCAAUCGGCCAAUUUUCACCAAGUCCAUCCGCCGAAAUACUACAGCACCAAUCGGCCGAUCCUCAAUUGUAGCACCAAUCGGCCGAUUCCCAAUCGUGACCUCCGUGUUUCGCCGCAUAAGUUGAUUCCUUCCCUUCUUGACGUCGAUUUCAUAUGUGUAAAAAUCUGGCGUCAACACAUGCCCCCCAGUUUCGGAGUAAAACAUAAUCUUUACUUCGAAAUUCCUUUCAACUUCCCUUCCGAAACAAUUGCAUUGAAAAUACACUUUCGUUUCGCGGUCUUCUGCCUGAUGAUUGCAAUCUUUUCGAAAUGGGCGCCCACGACAACCACUCCUCCCAAAAAAAUCGAACCGUCGGCGUGGUAAAAAUUCCGCUUUUACCCUUUCUCAGACCGCCCUUAGAUAUCAGUACGUCCCGUACUUCUUCUUCACGAGCCCACGUCUUCCUUCUUUGGCGCACUGGCCUCCUUCUUCCGGCGUCUCUUUAGCCUCUAACCUCUCACUUCGGCGAGUUCUUCCAUCUACAUUCCACCCCACCUUCUCGAUGGCGACACCUUCAGGCACUCCACCAACAUCCGAGGUCCUGGAGACGGCUCCAUCAGCAGUGGCUCCAACAGCAAUGGCGGCAGCUCCAUUGGCAGGAGCAGGAGCUCCAUCGGGCGGGAGCGGGAGCUUCAUCGACGACCACAAUGAGCUUCAUACCAGAGGUUUCUACCAAAACUUUCCUUUCCGCUCCUCUAUGUCGAUGCAUUUACCUUAGAUCUGUUCUUACUUCCCCUUCCAUUCUUUACCUGUUUAGGCGGUUAGGCACAAGAUUACUAUUCGCCUCACCGAAACUCCCGGCCUUAUCUGUCUUGGUCCCAUGGGAAACAUAGAUACAACCGACCUAAUCAAUUUGGAAACCCAUAGGAUCCCUUUCAAGCAAUCAACCAUGGACCUAGAUCACUGGUCAGGUACCUUCAGAUCAUGGCCGAAUGAAACCCCCAGCUGGAGGGAAUGGUACCAAUGGAUAGCCGCCUUAAAAAGAGUUCAAUGGGACGAGCCUUUAGUAAUAGCAGCCUUAUCUUUGUCCCAAAUGGAAAGGAAUGAGCCUUUAGUAAUAGCAGCCUCCUACUUUUGGUCUGAUGCCCUCAACGCAUUCCUCUUAGGACACGGACCUAUGACCCCUACCCUGGCCGAUGUGGUCAUGUGGAUCGGCCUUGAUAUCUCCUCUCCCGAUACUCCUUUCCGUUACUUGGCCAAAACAUCCCAUCGGCUGGAGACGAAAGGAAUCGGCGGGUGGAAAGGAUUCAUCAAGUGCAACAGAAGGGCCGGGACAGUCCAGGAAAGAGAGCAUGCGGCCUUCUUGAUGAUGUGGCUAGAGAAACACCUUUUUUGCGGGAGGGCAGCCGGUCCAUCCACUAACACACAGGCUCUGGCCGAGACACUAUCGAUAGGGGCCUCUGUUCCUCUUGGAAAGCACCUAUUGGGAUCGGUUUACCAUAUGUUGCAUCAGAUCGGCGUCAAGCUAUCCAAAGGAGAGCCGAUUGGAAACCCAGGUGGACCCUGGUGGUUCAUCAACUUGUGGCUUAAUCUGUAUAUUAGCAAGAUCUCCCAGCAGCGAGUGGAGUACAUGACGUUCCCAAACAUCGAAUCGGCAGAGAAUCCCACUGUACGGCGCCGGUGUACUUCCUUCGGUGAAGCGGCAUCGGCCUUCUCCGGUUUCUCAUAUUCUGUUGCCAAGGUGGCCGAAUACUUCAGAUGCUUCUACAAUGGCUUUAGUGAAGACGCAACCAGCUGGUUCCCUUAUCAAAGGGAGGAACCACUCUUCGAGCUCCCGUCCUGUUUUGACUCGGCCACCAGCAAAUUUGAUGAGGACCUCACAGAUGAAUUGAUCAAGCCGGGGAUCCUGCCGGCGAACUUCUUCUCGGGGAAGGAUGCCCCCACUUAUGAGUUUUACCAUCCUUCCGUCACAGCACGGCAAUUCGGCUUGGGUCAACUGCCGAUUUAUGCAUACUUCACCGGCCGAGCAAAAUUUCGAGACGAGCUCACCAAAGGUCUCCACUACUACGAUCGGAUUCUAGACUCCAGCACCAUAGACUUGGCCAGUUGGAUAGUAGCCCCUUUCGCUGUUCAGCAGUUCAAGCUAUGGUGGGUGGAAUGGAAGCAACAUCUAUUCUGCGCCUCUACGGCGAUAUAUUGUAAUCUCCUGAAUCCCGACAACAUCGAUCCGAAUGCCGAGGUAUCGCUCUCUUUCUGGCUGAUUUUCAACUCCUUUUUUUUUAUACUGACUCUUAUUAUUAUUUCAGUCUGAGAGCCAUGCUCCCCCAAAAUGCAGUCGGAGUGGUCGGUCGAUAGAGGACCGUUAUCCAUACACAGCAUUCCCCCUCAUCGGCUAUCACGCCCCCUCCGUUGAUGACAUAGCCGGCCGAGCGAAGCAAGCGCAGAAAAAGAUUAUCAAGAAGACAAGUCGCCGAGUACGCGCCCGCACAGAAUCGGCCGAUCCACCCGUGGUUGCAUCGGCGGAAAUUUCGGCUGCGCCGACCCUUCCAGUCGCUGAAGAAUUUGACCUCCAAGCUGCUACAGAGGCCGGAGCAGCUGCCGCGUCAUUAUGGGUGGAAGCUAUUCAGGUAAACUCACCAUCCAAUUUUCCUAACAGUCAUUUCAAUACUGUCCUUUCCUUUAUUAGGCCGCGCAGACUCCCUCAGCAGAUCCACAGCAAUCUGCAAUGCCCCAAGCAGAAGUUGAAAUACCAGUGCCCCUUCCCGUUGAGGUACAUGAUCUCUCAACUCAAUUCUUUAAUAUUUGAAUGAUGAUCCUACCAACCUUGAUGCAAGUCAUCGGCACAUUAACUAUGCUAUCCGACUAGCCAUCUGCCAGAGAAGUCCUUCAAGAGGCCGGCCCGAGCAGAACGCCGAUCGUUGUCGAAUCCUCUUCUUCCGAUGAGCCAAUGGCACCAGUCCCCGAGUCGAGAGUGGCUGUUCCGCAAACACAGAUGGAGGAGAUCCGUUUCAAAGAGGUGAGAAGUCAUUUGACCCGCAUUGACCGAUUCAUCACCACCAUCGGCUGACUCAUUUUCCUUUUAUUUAUCAUUCACAGGAACAGGACACUCCCAAUAAUAGCCUCUUCUCAUUUGCGGUCGCGCUCUCUGAUGACGAGGAAGUUUCUUCUUGUCAAGUUACUUUGAGCUCCAUCCCCGAUGAUGUCCGCACUAAGCUCGAAAGUAUAUGGUCCCUUCUUCAAGAGGACAUCGGCCGAUUGGUGGAGGACGCCUCGCCGAUUUGGCAGCUCUUUGGUGAUGUCAGCGGGCAAGUCCCAGAGGAAGCAGAAGAAGCCUUAGCGCCGGCCGCUUAUAUCGAGUCGAUGCGGAUCCCGAUCUUCAGGGCUCUGCGUCACAUGGCUGAUAGCGCCAAGCUGGCUAAGACUCAUGAGGAAGAGGACUCGUACAAGCAUCGGGCCCAGGAGGUACACCAUCGGAUUCACUUCCUCGAGAAUUCCCGACCCGGACUCGUCGGCACGAUAGAUCGCCUCAAGCGCCGAAGGGCGGAACAUGCCAAGGAGAUGGAGCAGGUAACCAAAGAAAUAGCUAUUGAAGAGAAGAAGCUUCAGGAACUCCCUUCCGUUAUCGCCGAUUUAAAGCAGGAGAGGCAGCAUCUGGCCCAUGAGGCCCUUAGACUCCAUCGCCAUAUGUCAGAAGUUCCAGGGUCGGCAGAUGAUGACCAACGAGUCUUGGACUCGGCCGAUCAGAUCAGAAGUCGAGCGAUUGCAGCCAUUAACGCCCUUCUGGGUGAUCUGUAAAAGUACUGGCCAUUUUGUACGAACAUUAAUGCCUUUUGACUGUCCUUCGUGGCGCUCUCCUAUUUAUUACCCUUUUUACUCUGACAGGACGCAUCUUACCAAACCUCCGCGCUUCCUCUUAUUAUAAAUACCGGCCCUGGUUUCGCUCUUGAGAAUACCUGCUCCACUCUAUUCCUUUUUCCCCGAUUACGUUUCCAUCGGAACGUUCGUAGUCAUGUCUUCUUCGUCUUCUUCUUUCUCCUCGCCUUCUAUCAAUCAGGUACGAGGUCCGUCUCCGCCCUUUUUUCAGUUUGAUCCCUUUAAAUCAUUCCAACUUUUAGGCGGCUAUGUGCUAACUUUUUCAGCCAAGGCACCUUAGCCCUGAACUCGAAUGAGCAAUCAAACUCGUGCACUCUGACGAGUCAUUGUCGCAAGAGAACAAGGACUUGAUCAAGGCACACCGUGAAGAACUCAGAGAUCACGUUCCUGCCGACGUCCAACGGAUCUGGGACUUCAUCGAUGUCAAUGAUUACGGGAGACCGCAAGUUGACAGGAGCCACCCACUUCCUCUUCCGGUUGUUCUUGAAAACGUCGCGGUAGGGACAUCGCACCCGGUGAUGGAUCGGAGCCAUCCUCUUCCUCGCCAAGUUGAGGCGGAGGCCGCGAUGAGAGAUGUGGCAGAACGAAGCAUUCGCCUUCUGAUAGAAUUAGGUAGGAUUGAGAGGGAACUCAAGAAGAAGCGUAGUUGAGUAUUUUUUGUUCUAAGGACGAAGUGUACUGCGUCGGUCGUGUAAUUCAUCGUUCGUACCGAAUCACAAAUCGGCCAAUUUGAACGAUUAUUUUUCUCCUUUAGGCGAUUUCUUCUCCCGUAUCGGCUGUGUGAUCAUUCAGGGAGCGAUCUUUCUGUCUUAUGUUCCGACCCAUAUACUGGGGUAAUACCUUUUCAAGUACCUCCCGUUUAAGGCCCUAGUAAAUUCUUCUCCUUCGAUCAUUUCCAGAAUGUAAGCGUUUCCCAGGGCACAUCGGCCGAUUCUAUACGGCCCUUCCCAAGUGGGAGACCAUUUACCGAAUUUAGGAUCUUUUGAUCCAAUCGGCAACACUAACUUCCAUACUAGAUCCCCUUGGGAGAACUGCUUGACUUUGACCUUCUUGUCAUACCAUCUGGCCACUUUCUUUUUGUUUUCCUUGAUACUGAUCAAGGCUCUCAAACGUUGGCCCGCCAAAUCGUCGAGUUCCCUAUUCAUGAGCGAGGAGUAAUCAUCGGCCGUCAGCUGAUCUUGAAGCGACGUGCGUCUCGACCCUGUUCUCAACUCCCAUGGCAAUACUGCCUCAUGACCGUACACCAAUUGAUAAGGAGACACCUUGGUAGCCCCGUGGCAGGCCAUCCUGUAUGCCCAUAGAGCUUCGGUUAGACAUAAGUGCCAUUUUUUGGGUUGUUCUUCGAUCUUCCUCUUGAUCAACUUGAUUAUCCCUUUAUUGGAAGAUUUGGCCUGGCCGUUAGCCUGAGGAUAGUACGGGGAGGAAUUUAGCAGCUUGAUUCCCAUAUCGGCCGUGAACUCCUCGAACUCUCCCGACGUGAACAUCGUCCCUUGAUCAGUUGUGAUAGUCUGAGGGAUGCCGAAACGAUAGACAAUAUGAUCCCUCACGAAAUCGACCAUAGCGGCCGAUGUUACGGCCUUUAAUGGAACCGCCUCCACCCAUUUGGUGAAAUAAUCUGUGGCUACCAGAAUGAAUUUAUGUCCUUUACUUGACGGAGGAUAAAUUUUUCCAAUGAGGUCUAUUCCCCAACCUCUGAACGGCCACGGCUUGAUAAUUGGAUUCAUAGCCGACGCGGGCGCGCGUUGCACAUUCCCAUAUUUCUGACAAUCUUGGCUUCCUUUAUAAUACUUGAAACAGUCCUUAAGGAUUGUCGGCCAGUAAUAUCCAUUAUUCCUAAUCAUCCACUUCAUCUUAUGCGCCGAUUGGUGGGCUCCACACACCCCUUCGUGCAUUUCUCCCAUCAGGGUCUUUGCCUCCUCCGUCCCUAGGCAUUUGAGUAGAACACCAUCAAUCGUCCGGUAGAACAAAUCAUUUUCCAAUAACACAUAUUUUUGUGGCCUGAAAUCGUAUUCGCCGAUCCACUUUCUUAGAUGGGUCUUUUAAAUAAUCGGCGAUCUCUUUUCGCCAGCCGUCGGCCGCGAGUUCCAGAAUCAUGGCGCCUUGAAUCGGCCGAUACCCGAACGCGUGCUGAGCCAGCCUGUUGGCUUCUUCAUUGUAAUCCCUGGGGAUAUGCUCAAUAACUGUGGAUUUGAAUUCUUUCAGAAGUUGGAGGCAAUCCUCAUAGUAAACCCUUAAUACAUCAUCUUUGCACUCGGAUCUUCCUAUCAAUUGGUCCACGAUGAGCAUGGAAUCUCCAAAAACAUCGAUGGUGUCGGCCUUAAUUUCUCUUAACAAUUGUAACCCUUUCAGGACAGCCCGGUAUUCCGUCUGGUUAUUAGUGGCGGAUGCUUCUAUCGGUAGAGAGAAAUCAUAGCUUGCCCCCUGAGGUGAUAUGAGAACGAUGCCGAUUCCCGAUCCGGCCCCACAUGAUGAGCCAUCAAAAUAUAAGGUCCACGGUACUGGUUCCACGACAGCGAUUUCUGGUCCGCAGUGUUGGGCGACGAAAUCAGCCAUAACCUGACCUUUGAUGGCGUUUGCCGAUUCGUACCGUAGAUCAAACUCUGAUAAAGCCAAAAUCCACUUUCCGAUCCACCCUUUCAAAAUCGGCAAUGACAGCAUAUACUUUACUACGUCAUCCGUGCAUACAACCACGCAUUCUGCUGAUAACAAGUAGUGCCUGAGCUUGGUGCAUGAGAAGUAAAGACAUAAGCACAGCCGCUCUACCGGGGGAUAUCUUGAUUCGGCGUCCAAAAGUCUUCUACUAACAUAAUAUAUUACCCGUUCCUUUCCUUCGAACUCCUAGACUAGUGCCGAUCCGAUAGCUCGCUCAUCGGCCGAUAAAUACAGCUUGAAUGGCUUACCAGUUUCUGGUGGGACCAAGUACUGCUUGAUGUCUUCUAGUGCCUUGCGUUGCUCUUCUCCCCAUACAAACUCUUGGUUGGGUUUCAAUUUCAACAACGGUGUGAAGGCCUGGAUACGUCCGGAUAGGUUGGAUAUGAACCAGGCAACGUUGGUAAAGAAAACUGCUAAGAGUAAACUAAACAACGCUACAGUAGCAACACUAGGAACAGAUCUUAAUCGGCUAUGCAAAAAGUAGUAAAUUGAGCAAUAAGAUAUAAAAAAGCCGACAGUCCUAAUUCCAAGCUGGAUAACUGGUGAUAAAACUAGAACAAUAGGCAAAACCUAGAAUUCAAGUGAUUAUCGAUAACUAGUGAAUAAAUCUAAACGAAACGGCAGCAAUGCGCCCGAAGUUAAAGCUUAGAUAUUACUCGAUAUGCGGAACUUACAGAAUCAGCCGGAGAUCAAGUUGAUGCAGCCCCGCCAACCCGUACAAACUCAUGAAAAGAAGAAAAGUAUUGGCGAAGUCGCCUGCUCGAAAGUAAAGUGCGAGGAAAUAGUAGUUUGUUGUAUUGAUUUGAUGAUGAUUACAGAUCUAUGAAAGCGGCUAUUUAUAGCCUGUUACAACCAAUCUCUUAACCGACUAGAACUCUAUCUCUAAUUUUAAACGAAAAUGAAUAUUUACAAGCAUAAUUCCUAUCGGAGUUGGUCAUCGUGUUCCCAUGGGCCGAUCUCCUUUUUAUCUUCAUAGCUCACUUUAGGCCCAUAUUGGCCCAACUGCUCCAGCCUCCCAAUCGGCCGAUUUCCACCAACUCCAUCCGCCGAAAUACUGCAGCACCAAUCGGCCGAUUCCCAAUCGUGACCUCCGUGUUUCGCCGCAUCAGCUGAUUCCUUCCCUUCUUGACGCCGAUUUCAUAUGUGUCAAAAUCUGGCGUCAACACAUACAUAAUGAUGGUAUUGUUCCUACUUUCAGGAUGAGGUAUUUACUAUUGAAGCAACAAUAAAUGAAAUUAAUGCAACAUAUGGUUGGUACUACAUCUCAUGUAGUAGAGGCGAUUGUAAGAAGUAACUUGAAAAGAUGUUUGAUCACUACUAUUGCAAUAAAUGUGACAAGAGAGCCUAACCUAAAGCACGGUAAAUUAGUUAGUAGUUUACAAUCUUAUUAUAGUACUUCUAUUUCUAAUAGGAGAAUAAUAUUUGCAGAUUCAAAAUUAAGCUUCAAAUAAGUGAUCCAACAGCAAGUGCAACUUGUGUACUUUUGACAAGGAAGCAGAAAUGAUAAUUAAUGAAUGAGCAGAUUCGAUGAUCACCUCAGUUGAUCAUGAUAAUAAGUAGCUACCAAAAUCAAUUCAGAAAAUAUGUGAAGAAACAUUGAUUUUUCAAUUCAGAUUGACCGAGUACAACUUGACAAGUUUUAGACCUGAUUAUACUGUUUCAAAGAUAUUUUUUCCAAAAGAGAAGAGCAGUUCUAGAAUUGGUAUGGAAAGUGUAAAAAAGGUAACACUUUAUUAUUAAGUUUUUAUUGCACUUUUUUCUUUUGAAUCCUUAAUAUUUAAUAAUUUUACUAUAUCAAUGAAACAAAUUCUAACCUAAAUUUACAACUCAAACAAAUGCUACAUGAUAACUACCGAGAAUGAAGAGGUAGACACUGAUGACUCUUUUACCAAGAAAGUAACAUUCGUAGAAGAAGCCAUAAGGACUGGGGAAAGAUUGGCUAGAAAAGUAUACUCACUUCCAUCUCAGUAUUCAUUCUGUUUACAAUACAUGCAAAAAAAUAUUAUUCAUGCAAAAUUGCAGGUCUACUAAGCAUUAAAGGAAUAGCGGAUAGUGCAAUAUCUAAUUUGAGCAGCAUGCAUUACAAAGUGCUCUACUGCAAUUAAAUUAAAAAACAUGAUAUAUGUUGAAUUCUUAGACUUUAUUAUUAUACUUUUCUAUGUGACAAUUCACAAUUUUUUAGAAAAUAGAAGAUCCCAGAAGAAGUGAUCAUGAAAAAAGGUCUAUGCCCAGCAAUAAGAAAAAAAUGCAAGCAUAGAAACAAAUCCGUAGAAAACAUAGAAAAUAAGGUACUCCAUAAACAAAAGUAUUCUCUUAUAUUUUUAUUAAAUAUUUCUUUAACACUUGACAAGUUCUUUUUUAGGAUCAAUAUAUCAGCAAUUCAGAUGUCAUUGGAGAUGAAAACCUUAGUUCGUCCAAAAGGUCAAAAAAAACAUCUGAAGAAAGGUGUUUGGCUGAAAAGGAAAAGCAAGAAAGUUGUAAUGCAGACAAACACAUGCAGAAAAAUAUAAAAACAUGUAAUAGGGAGGCAGACCAAUCUUGCAAUGAGGUAUAGAUAAAACGUGAUACACGACCUGCCUACCUUGUCGUGGAUACCCCAAGAAGAUGUCGUAGAGGUGCAGACCAAGCUAGCAAGGAGGUCGAAACGUGAUACACGGCCUGCCUACCUUGCCGUGGAUAUUAGCCCUAAGAUCAUUCUACUGUUCAAGGAAUAACACUCAAUGCUGCUGCUGCUGCUGACCUGGCUCCAUAAAGUUAUACUCCUCUAGGUGCUUGCACUAACUUUAUCUGAAGUAUUAUUCUCUCUGCACUGUAUAUAUGGUUAUGGAGUUUGCUGGAGUAUCCGGGGGGAAGAACCUACAUAAUACGUCUUGGAACUAACUGACAUUGAUUCACAGACAAACUCUACAAGGUGCUGUUGUUGCCAUUUUAGAGCAUCCAAAGGACUAUAAAUAACAUAGUUUACCAUAUACCAUAUACCAUAAUAUGUUAGCUAAAAUAAGAGCAUACACAUGUUGCAGGAGUCCAAAAGCACCGGUUGAGGACCAGGUACAUUGAAUUACUAGAAAAAGACAGGGGACAAGGUUUAGGUAACCACAUGAAACAUUUGAAUUUACUGUACCAUGAACACUUAGUUACCAUGCUGGGAGCACAUAGUUAACACUAACAUUUAGCCACUUUAGAUCAUCCCGAAUCACCAAUGACCCUCAAUAGUGACAAAUUUUGGUUUAAAUGCCGUCACCAAUGAUCCUCAAUAGUGACGUAUUUAGGUUUAAAUCCCAUCACUAAUAACCCUCAAUAGUGACCUGUUUUGGUUUAAAUCUCAUUACCACUUAUCCUCAAUAGUGACGUGUUAAAACACGUUAUCUCAAUGGCAAAUCAUUGGUGACGUGUUUUAAAAAAACAUGGCACUGUGAGAGUCAUUGGUGAAGGGUAAUUAAAAUGCGUCACUAAUGUUGUAGCAUUAGUUAUGAUAAUUUAGUAAUGCAAAAAUCUACCAUCAGUAAUGAGCUUUAGAGCCAUCGCUAAUGUGGGUUUCUUACAUAGUGAUGCAAGCUCUACAAGGUGCUGUUGCUGCCAUUUUAAAGCAUCCUAUGACUACAUGUUAAUAACAUACUUUACCAUAUACCAUAAAAAUAUUAGUUACAAUAAGCACAUACGCAUGUGGAAGAGUCCGAAUGCACCGGUUGAGGACUAAACACAUUUAAUUACUAGAACCAAAUGUAUGUCCAGAACAAAGACAGGGGUCAAGGUUUGGGUAACCGCAUUAAAAACAUUGGAUUUUACUGUACAUGAACACUUAGUUACCAUUACCAUGCCUUGAGCACCUAGUUACAACAAACAUUAAUUUAGCCACUUUAGAGCUUCCAGAAUCGCUAUAAAUAAUAUACAUACGCCGUACCAUGAAAACAUCAAGAAGAGAGACGGAUACAUGGACCACCAUCAAGCGAGUACUGACAGCACGCACAAGAAUACCCAGAACCUGUUAGCUUGUCUGUAGUGAUCUGUUUUCUUCCCCAUAAAAUCCAUGAGUAUUGCCACAAAUAAUGAAAGAGGCUGACCAAGCUAGCAAGGAGGUAGAGCAAACGUGAUACACGGCCUGCCAAGAUUGCCCUGGAUACGCCAAUAAGAGCGACAGAUACAUGGAUCACACCAAUAUGGUGAAACGUAUAUUCAUCACACAAGCAAAGCUGGUCAGUUUAUCCAUGGUCAAAUUGUGGUCUUUGUUUUCACUUGAGAGCUAAUUGAGGCACUAUAAUAUGGGCAGGCCUAUCUUCAACAGACAUGACAGCUACAGGGAACUUGACAUAAUUUGCUGGACCGCCUGUGCACAAUUAUUUGUUUUAUUGUCCUUGCAUAGAAUGCUAAAAUACUCUUUACAAAAUGUUGGAUCUAAUAUUUGAAAUAUAGAGUAGUAAUCAUAUAUUGAUCAACAACUUGAAAUUAUCUGUACAUUCUCGGUGAAGCUGUUGAACUAAUUUUUGCAAAUUAUUAAUUAAUUCAUCUCAUUACGUAAAGAAAACAGUAAGUGGAUAAGAUAUUUCGUGGACCACAUCACUGCAAACAUGUCAUGGAGAGACAGACCAAGGAGGCAGGACGUGAUACACGACUUACCCUAGGUUGCCGUGGAACCGCCAAGAAGAGAUACAGAUACAUGGACCACACCAUCUUGGGAGUAGUGACAGCAUAUAUGCAGAAGAAUACCCCGUGCCUAUUUGCAUGCAUGUCUCAAGUGAUCUGUUUUCUUCAGAAAAUACAUGAGCAUUGCCAGAAAGAAUGGCAAGAGACAAACAUGUCGUAGAGACUUGCAUGUCUUGCCUUGGAUACGCCAAGAAGAGGGACACAUACAUGGAUAACACAAAUCUAGUGACACGUAUAUUCAUCACAAAGGCAAAUCUGAUAAUUUUAUCCAUGGAGCAGACCAAGGAGAAAUUGAUGACGGACAUGUGAUCUCUGUAUUCAGUUGAAAGCUAAUUGAGCUACACUAAUAUGAGCAGGACUAUAUUCAAGAGACUUGUUGAGAGCUACAGGGAACUUGUAAUAAUUUGCUGGGCGGCCUGCGCACAAUGAUUUGUUAUACAUAGUUGAAAUAUUUCAAGAAUUUAUCAACCUCGUACUCUGAAACCCUUGGUGCAAUGUACUCUGCUUUCCGAGGUAGACUGUUCACGUAAAAUGAGGUCAUGCGUAAGACGGAAUCGGAUUGGAUUCGCAGGGAAUCAGAUUUGGAUAGCACCUUUUAGCAGGUUUUUAGUCAAAUGCAAAUUCGGAUCCAGAUAUGGUUGAAUGCGAGUUCAAAAUUCUACUUGGAUAUCCAUUUAAUUUAGGUGAUAGCAAUUAGCACAAAAUGUUGGAAGAACAAAAUCAUAGUUAGACAUACAAUUACAUGUAUUGUUAAAGUAUAAUACAAUACACCAAGAUUAUUCCUUGAAAAUAUUUCUUAAAAAUAUUAUAAUAAAUGAAUACCACCAACAAAUAGUCGGUGGUCACUAAGUUGGAGCCAUUUCUGGUUACUAAUGCGGCCUGCUCCUCGACCAGCGACGACAGCUGAGCUUGUUCCUUCUGACACCAAAUCAUCAGAGUUUUCCCUCCACUACUAUAGAAUGCACCUUUAGCACCAAUUGGGAAAUCUCCUUCAGUAUCGGAUGCUGCAACCUAUGCUAUGAAAAUGGAGACUAAAAGCCUCGGUCUUGGGUACCGGUUGCAUGACGCAUUACUAAAGGAGGCAAAAGAGAAAUGUAACAAAAAAAUAUUUUGAAUUCCAAGAAUGUUUCACUAUUCAAGAUGACUAGCUGAGAGUCAUCAGACAAGAUACUAGGAACGUGGGUGCUUGAAUGCCAGGUGCUGGAGCGCGGCGAGGCAGUCGUCGUAGCCCGCCGGGAGCGGGUGCUCGGGCGCGAGGUGGUACUCGACGGAGACACCGAGCGUUGGGCGCGCGGCGGCGAGCGCGUUGAGGAAGUGAUCGUAGUGUGGCGACGUCGCGGACUCCGCCACGAAGCCGCCGCCGUGGAUGUACACCACCACGGGCAGCUUCGUCUUGCCGUCAGCGGCCACGGCCGCGGCCUAGGGUGGCAGGUAGAGGCGGAUGGAGCAGGAGCCGAGGUCGACGUCCCCGGAGUCGACGCCCGUGGCGGCGUCCAGGCCGGGCCUGACCGGCGGCGGCACGAGCGACGCGGCCGCUCUUGUAAAUCCAGCAGGUCUGUGCGGAGGCGGGCGGCGGGUGGGAGCGGCGGCGGGUGGUGCGGAGGCCGGCGGCGGCGGGUGGCGCGGAGGAAGGGGAGCUGGUGAGUGGUGACAGGGGAGGGGGGAGAGAGAGAGGGGGGUAGGGUGCAUUGAAUGAGGGCAGGAGGUGUAAAGUGCACCUUUUAGUCCCCAUAAACAACCAUAAGCAUCCCAAGAGUUGCUUAUUUACUUAUAAUAAGCAACCCCAUAAGCAAGAGUGAUUGGUUUCAUAAGCAACUUAUUUGCUUAUUUUAAGUUGCUUAUGCAUAAGCAUGUGAAACCAAACAGGCCCUUAACCUAUGGUUGUGGCACACAACCAUACAGUAGAUAGUAUUUAAUAAUGCUAUUCGUUUGGUAUGUGCAGAAGGGCACGCAUGAAAUGUCUGGCCCACGGUAAACAAGUACGGACGCUGCAAAUAAUCUACUCUGCUCGUCCAGUCCCUAGCCUAUAAAUAGAUGCCAUGCUAGCUCUUGUUGUGCUCACAAUUAAUCCGAUUACACACGAGCUUCUCUCCCUGGCCAAGACACAAUCAUAGUAUGAUGAAGAACAUGGCACUAGCCGGCAAUGGUAUGAAGAAGUUAAUCCUCGCUGUUCUCUUACUGUGUCUAGUUAUAGGGCAGAUACAAGUGGAAGCUAAGAGCUGCUGCCCAUCCACCACUGCAAGAAAUAUCUACAAUACCUGCCGUAUCACGGGUACAUCCCGUCCAACGUGUGCAAAACUGUCAGGCUGCAAAAUUAUCAGCGGGGACAAAUGCAAGCCCCCUAACGACCACCUCACCCUUGACCCGGACACUGGUAAAUAAUAAAUUUAUCUCACUUGAUUUCUUUGUGUUUUGAGUCGUUAAUGUAUUUUCCAUCUGAUGAAACGUAUUGGUUUUGCAUUGAAGAGGAAGUUAAUGUGCUUAACUUCUGCAAGUUGGGGUGUGCGUCGUCUGUGUGCAACAACAUCAACGCUGGUAAGCACCUUUUGCUCAGACAGAGAAAACAAUAAUCAUUAAUUAGCGGCAGCUAGAAUCCUAUAAUCUAAUAUAUAUAUAUAUAAUUUUAUCAGCUCUGGGAAAUGAAGAGGCGAACGAUGCCGUUGAGAGUUGCGACCAAGCCUGCUCUAGCUUCUGCAACGUGCACGUUGGCGCUGCCACCGUGGUUGCUUAAGCAAAUGCAUCCAACUGGAUCGUCCUUGUGCUGAAUAAUUGGAUAUCGUAUCCACUUAAAGCUGCCUUGUGUAGUACGUCUUUGUUUGUGUCUCUCUUUAUAUUCCAAUAAGGUCGGUGAUCUUGAUGCCACACACUCAGACGUGUGUUCAUCUCCAGAUACUACUCCAUGCUACCUACCCUUUGUGUUUUGUUCAAUAACUGGGUAUCAUAUUCCGGCCAGUGUGCCAUCUGUUUUGUGUUUAUUUCCUUCUAGUUCCAAAGGGGUCAUCAUGAUGUUACCUUCUUUCGAUAUGGUGCUUUGCAUGACUACUGUUGUAUGGUACCAUCUUGUUGGCCAAUAAAUACAUCUUAUCCUAUGACCCUUUGCUAUGACCCUUUGCAAAUAAGUACAAGAUUGUUAAAUACUCGGUAUAAAUUGACUACUGUUGUGAGUUCCCUUUCAGCUUAUUGUAGGCAUACAUUAUUGCUAGCACGGUGAAGACAACCAACACGAAUGAUCAAGUAAACGUACCGGUACUUUUGUAUACCAACACCCUUGCUUAAAUGUACCGGUGUUACUCCCCACUAGCACAUAUAUUCUUAUAUGCUAGCCGGCUUAAAAAUUAACCGAUUAAAAUAAUUAUUUCAAGACAGAAAUAACUUAUCGGCUUCUCGAAGCAUGUGUAAUGUGAAUUCAAGGACUCGAUGGAAGUUGAAUCGCUUCAUCUAGAUUGCUUUCAGGAUUUUGGGUAACUAAAUUUAACAUUUGCACAUACAAAUGUUAAUGUACAAAUGUUAAAUCUAGUUACCCAAGCAGAAUAUGAAGAUACUCUAUAGUAUAUAUAUACUAUAUAAAUCUAGUUAACAUUUAGUCUAAAUGUUAAAUCUAGUUACCUAAAAUUCUGAAAGCAAAAUGUAUAAAUAUAUAUAUCUUUUAAGGAAUCCCAAAGCAAGAGUUCAGUGGCAUUCUAUAGUCCCAUGCUGCUAGUUUGAGUUGGUCGAAGCCAACUUAAAUAGGAGAGCUCUCUCACUUCUCUAAAUACGUAACUGAAGGAGAGAAGGGGGCUUGGGUUACACAACGCACGCACGCACGCAUAUUUGUGUUCUUUUCGCGUAACCAACCAUGUGACUUAAAACUUGCGUAGUAGCGUGCUGCCAAGUCAAGUUGAUAUAACCUUUUUGCCGUUUGCGUGUAAUCUUUUGACAACGGUCAUUGGAGGUGAUAAGCACGCAGUCAAUACAUUAAUCCUGAGUUAAUAGGGCGGUUACUACUGCCAAUUAGUGGGGCAAUUUUGUAGGGGAAACGGUUAGUAGAGGGCUACCGUCUUCUCUAUAAGAAGUUCUGGAGAUGUCCAGGAACACACAUGUACAUGUGAGAGACCCAUGAAUUCCUUCCCUUCUCCCUUUUCCAUCUGGUGAAGUGUGCUGUGGUACUGAGCUGCUAGAUCUCACCGGCUCUUCUCCUUGGCGUGCACCGAGGAGGAGGGUGAGUGGUAUCUCCGAGCUAUUGCCGUCAGGAAGCCUGCACGAGGGACAACAAUAAAGUUUUUGGGUAGCGCAACUGCGCAACCGCUCGAUUCGAUCGACUAUGUUCUGCGCUGCCUCAUCUUCGAUCUGCACUGCAACGCGUAACCCUGCAGCAAGUCUACACGAGGACGGAGCACUAAUCUGUAAGUCCUAGAUUGGUUUCUUACAAAGUUGUAGGUUACACAAGAUCUAGAAUUGUUACAUACCUAUUAUUAUGGGUUACAUGAUGUUUUGUAUCGUUACGUCUAUUUUGCAUAUGCUAGUUUUACAUACCGUUUACAUGCAUAUGUUAAUGGUUACACCUAGCUAUUUGAAUCUAGAAUUGGGUUACAUAGCAGUAGCAAUGAGUUACGUAAUAUGCCUCAUGUUUAUAUCUGGUAGAAUUUAACACGUAUCUCCAACAUAUUUUGAGGCAGUAUAAAUUUCAAUUCCUUUUGCUGCUCUGUUAAAUACCAUCUUUCGUUGUGGCCCAACACUCUAGUAUGCAUGUAGCACCAAGCUUGUUUGAGCCGCUUUGUGCUCUGAUUUUGCUGUCUGUAUCAGGUUGGACUGUUUCUUUGUCUUGCGAUGUAUAGCUUCAUAUCUUCUAGAGGUUAGCAAAACCCGCGUUCUCUUAAGGCAACUACUCGAAGAAUCUGCAGCGCCCCUGAUAUAUCACUGCUGCAGAAACGAUCUUUAGUACUGAUCUCCAACCCCCUUUAGUAUCGGUUUGGCAAUCAGUACCACUACGUCGGUACUAAAGGGAGUUCUCUAGAAUCGAGUCAAAUAACCGGUACUAAAAGGGCUCCUUUACUACCAGUUGGUAACACCAAUAGGUAGUAACUUUUUUUGCACCCAAAAAAUUAAAGAAAAACAGCUGGGAGGCUCGCGCACACACGCAUCAUGAGUAAUAUGCGCGUGCAUGGUUUGUGGGAUUCCAACCCACGACCAAGCUAUAAGCACGUAGUUACAAAAAAUUAAACACUUAGACAUUUUAGAGCAUCCCAAAUAACUACAAAUUCUAUAGUUUACCAUAUACCAUAAAAUAUUAGUUAAAAUAAGAGCAUACACAUGUCAGAAGAGUCCCAAUGCACCGGUUGAGGAUCAGACCAGGCACUUUGAAUGCACAUGCCAUAAGAUAAUUCUGCAGGACGAUGAUUGCAAUAAUGGACCAUCAAGAAGAUAGGGGCGUGGGGUUGCCUCAUCAAUUAUCACUUGGCGCAACAAGACCAGCAAAGUCUUUAUCGACAGGGGUGGAUCAACGGGUGGGGCGGGCAGAGCUCCAGUCCUCCUACCGCCGCUCGAACAAUGGAGCCCCCCUUAGCCCCUCCAUAAAUUUUUAGGUAGAAGAAAAAAGAAGAGAAGGGAAGGAAGGGGAAGAAGAGGGAGCCCCUCCUAAGUAGGUCGCCAUCAUGCUUCCCAACGCAUGAUCGCCGCACCGCAUCCAUUCCUCUACAAGCCUCCAGCGUCUCUCCCGCCGCUACCUCUGAACCAUGUGCAGCUGCAGACCCAACUAGUGUCUUGUCGCCCAUCUCAGUCCCAACAGAGCGGCGGCGGUUGCCAGCACAAAUCUCCCUCCGCCUCUUCUUCAUGGUCGAUGGCCGCCACAAGCAUAAACCUCUCCUUCGCAUCCACGCAAAAGGGUCGCUGGAGUGCCUUCUUGCCUUGCUUCUCAGCCUCCUUCACUUGCGGCCAGCCAAGAACCGUGCCACCACCUCGGGUGCGCGCCACCACUCCAGGGCUGCUACCCCAUGCCUGCGGCCGCCACCAGCCACCACGCGUGUCCAACCGCGUCGCACCGCUUCCCUGCUCUGUGCCACCACUGCUGUUGUACCACCAGCUCCACCACCUUGGGCUGGUCGCCAGGGUGACUGAUUGGUGGAUUAUUACUAAAAAUAAGUUCCUUAUUAUCUACAACUACUAUUAACUCAUGGAUACAUGCAUCUUUUGCUUCUCCUGCUAAUAUGUCCUAAAAUAUCUAGGAUGCCUUAUAUUUCUGGAAAGAGGAAGUAUUUGAAUAAAAUGAACCAAUUUAAAAAAAAUGUGUUAUACACUACUACAGAAAGACCUAUCAGUGUCAAACCCAAAAAUGCCGUCACCGCCAGUUUUGGGCACCGUUGGUGAAAGGUUGGCGGUGAUGGGUAUCCCCUUCAACAACGGCACUGGAGCCGACGGUGAUUGACAUUAGAAAACAAAAAAGGGGACCCCACCUAGCCACCCCUGCAACCCGGCCGGCCGUGCCUCCCCUCGUCCCUGCCACCUCGCCUCCCCCGUGACCCCCCUCCGGCGCCCUUGCGCCUAGCCCCCUCGCCUGCCCGGCCAGCCACCCUCGUCACGAGAGAGAGAGAGGUGCAUGUUGUAUAAUUGCGUGAAUUUUUUAAUGUUUAAUUUCAUGUAAGUUUCAUGUAAUAAAUUGUACAAGAUUUAUUGUAUAUAUGAAUUCCAUAUAUAUAUAUAUAUAUAUUUAUAAUUUAAUGUAUGGUUUCAUGUGUAUAUUUCAAUCAUGUGUAUAUUUAGUAGAUUGCCGAUUUUCUUUUUCUACUAGACAAGGAUUGAUGUAUAAUUACGUGUAUAUGUUUAUUGUACAGGCAAUUAGGACAAGUUUUGUAUAAAUUUCUUUUAUUUUAUGGUUGUUGUAUGGUUUCAAGUAUAUACAUUUAUUGUAUCACUAAUUGUAUUAUUAGUUAAGAUGGGAGCCAAAGAGGAUGAAAGGUAUAUAAUGGAGCAGAUUAUUGCUGGCGGUAGUGGCUCAAACGUUGCAAGAACCUACACCGAGGGUGAGGGUAGCUAGGUGGACAUGUACCUCAACAUCUCCAGUGGUGGCAAUGAUGAUGAGGAGCACGAGCAUGACAUUUAUGAUAAUGCGGAACAAGACAUUGCAGAAUUGGAAGGUUCUAAUGAGGUGUGCUUCAUGUUGAUGAUCUGGUUGGCUUUUUUUCUUUGGUCACACCUUAGUUACCAUAGAACUUCGUCUCGGGAGAAGAUUAGUGGUGCUAUGGUGAUUGGAAUUUUAUUGCCUCCAAACUGAUUUCCAUCGAAUCAUAUCCCUUGUAUUUAUCUUCUUUUUAUUUGUGAGAGCAUCUCCUUUAUGCUUCCAAAACAAUUCAAGUGCACAUACUACACCUAGGGUGACGAUUAGGAGUAGAAACAAUUGCCAACAAACCAACACCACAUCCUAAGAUUCUUAACUUGUGGCAUAAUUAGUCUAGUAAAAAGAAAGAUAAAAACCUAAUGGGUGUACGUGAGUGCAAUGUGUAUAUGCAUAUGAGUGGAAGGCAUAUAAGCAAAGAUAAUAUUUACACAUAGUUCUAAACACCAUGUUUACAGCUAGGUUGCUGAAUUUCUCCAUAGCUAUAGAGAUUAAUUAAUCAAGGUCAAAACACCAUGUCUAUCCCAAGAUCAGUAAUUCUUUAUAGCACAAGAAAAAGAAAGCGCAUUGCAAAGUUUAUAAACCAACCAAUGCAGCAUGAAAACAAGAUGAAUAGCUAGCAAGGUUUAUUAAACUGAAUGAUGAUGGUCUGCAAGCAAGUUUAAACACCAUCUUUACACAAGAUUGCGAAUGGAAAAUGCCCAUGUGAAGCACUAACAUGGAUAUGAAAUCAUUCAUCAUAAAGCGUAAAGAACAACCAAGCCAACCAUAUGCAAAGCAUGAAUGGAAUGCAAUGAAGGUGCAAGAGAACAUUUUUGGAUGAACACAAUAUAAUGAUGGCAAAAUGCAAUGCAUGCAGAAAAAAUAAAUAUGAACAUGAAUAUGAUGAUCAAGGGCAGACCCACUAUUGUGGCCCGGGUAUCCCUGGGCAUACCCAAUAUUUUUGGGAAAAUGUUUAGUAGUUUUUAAUGGUAUAUACAUGUAUAAUAUAGUUUAGGUAUUAAAAUUGAUAUUCACAGCUAUUUUGGGCCGCAAUUCGGGUCCAAACCAGCCUGGCCCACAGACCACACCCGGCCGGCCAGCCCAUCGGCCCAUCUAGUCACUGAUCCCCCCACCACCACACUCAGCCCGUCAGUCGGUCAGGUCCCGAGCUCCUGCCUGACCUAGUCCGCUAUCGCCGUGAGGUGCCAGGCACAGCCGCACGCACCGCGCCGCCCCCGUCCACCCACGUCCGCCGCACAGCCGCGCCGCGCCCCCCAGCCCCCGCGGUGAGAUCCCGCCGCCCGCUACCGUCAAACCCCAUUAGGCCUCCACCAACAGGUCCACCCACGGUCCCGCGCGACGCGGUAGCCUCUUGGCUCUCGACGCUCGCGCCGCGCCAGUGCCGGUGCAGCCCCACCAGGCGACUGCCCCCCCUCGGGCCUCGGCCCCUCCCCAGCUCCCCCCCUCCACCAGGACUGCCUGCUGCCCCCCACUGCGAGGUAAUCGAAAUCGACUGCUCAAUCUCUCAAUCUGUUGACAUGAUGCACACGGUUGCAAAAAUAGAUGUGUCAAAAUAGAUGAAUUGCCAAUUGCUAUAGAUGCAUACGGUUGACAUGAAGAAGUCAAAAAUGACAUUUGGUUCCUUGUAGGCAGUCAAAACUGAAGAAGUCAAAAAAUAUUGAUCUGAAAUCAAUGUGGGAAAGGGCUACGAAGACACGCAGGUAGAUUCGCUUGUGAACUUUUUAUGUCGUUCGUCUAAAUAUUUUUUUGCAAUGGGCAUACCCUACUCUAAAAUCCUAGGUCCGCCACUAAUGAUGAUGGUCUAAAAAUAAAACAAGCCUAGAUUAAUUAGCCACAACUGAAAUUAAGCAAAGGUUAAUGUCAUUGACCCUAGCUCUAUCGUAGCUUUUACCAAAGUCCCAGCACAUAUAGUGGUUGGGCCCACUCUCUCCUUCACUCUCUGCUGCAUGCACGCACACGAGCAACGGGAGGCCCAACGAAGCCCAGAAGGGUUCGGCCAAACCAGUCUGAGCGCCGCUCCCUCCCAGCCUUCGCGCAGAUGCUCCUCCAACGUUCCUUGACUCCUCCCUCAGCGUCCUAUUGGGUUUAACAUUGCAGGAGAGGAGUCCCUUUUUUAAAAUCUCAACCACCUCCUCUCCUCAUUCACUCCACUCUCAUCUCCAUCAAACUCACCGAGAUCCACACCAGAAAUCCCUGCUUACCACCAUGGCUGGCAAAGCCCUUGUCCCUUUCACCAACUUGGGCUUGACCACUGAUCUCGAUGGGGAAAUCACUCCGGCAAAUGUCAUUGUCCCUGUCGGCGAUCUGGCGAUGGAGGAGGUCCAGGCACUAGAGGUCGAGCCCCUAGCCAUCAUACCGCCCAAGGGGUAAAGCAGGGGCAUGACAGGCAAUGCUAGGGGUUCAGCCGAACUCCCAGUUCGGCCAAACCAGGACAGCGCCGCCUCGGCCUCCCGCUCGACUGCACGCUCGCCCUUGCCAAGGAGGACUCCAGAACAGUGGGCGCAUGCAUCAAGUCCCUACAAAAGGCUGAAAUACAAUGAAUAUCCAGGGCCACCCUUGAAGAUGGGUGAACGCUACGCCGGGUCCUUGUUUGACUAGUACAGCGAUGCAUUCUGCCACCGCUAUGAGGAGGACUUGUGGGCAGAAAGUCGGCUACCACAAACUUGCCUCCGAAUAUUUGGAGUGCGAACCUUGGAUGGUGGUUGUGGAGACCCCAAGCCAUACCUCACACCCUUGGAGAGGUAAUUGGCUGGAUUGCUUGGUUCGUCUCUAGAAUGCGACAAGGUCAGGCGCCACCUCUCACUGCUGCCAGUCAGAAGGCUGAGGGGCCAGUUUCAACAUAGUAAUGAGAAUCUCCGAAGGCCACCAUGGUUAAGCAGCUAGCCUCCAUGAUCAUAGACUUACGUUUAGAAAAUAGGAGGCUUAGCGAUGCGUUAACAGAGAAGAAGUUAGAAACAGAAGAACUUAAGGAAAACUUCCGUGUCCUCCGCCGUGGUCUUUGUGCUAAGAUAAAGCGCUUGUACAAUGCCACGGGGCAUGACGGUCUCUACGAUGCAGCUCAAUAGACGUGCCCCUUGUAUCCCUUCCUUUAGGCACUUUAGAAUAUGUUUAUUUGUUUUCCCUCAUUUUAAUUUCCAAUCAGAUUGUUAGCACCUCCAAUUUAAUUUCAAUAAAGUGUAGACUCACCGGUCAUCCAACCUGAUGGAGUCCUUGUGUCACUUAGUUGUCUUUGGAAGAAGUAGCUAGGUACAAAAUAAGUGUGGGGGAGAGCCACGGACUCUCUAGAGUUGAAACAAUGCACAACACCCACAAAUAGAGAAAACCACGCUGCACCAGCACGUACGUGAAAGGGGAGCCAGAGCUGGACCCAUAGGGGUUUGGCCAACCCAAGGGGUGGCCCACUCGGGCCAUCUUCAUCCACCGCGUCGGUUUGUGUCUCUUUACCCCUGAUCUCCCUGAUUCAUGAGUUUGAAUGAAUUUUAAAUCUGACCAACUAAUUCAAACUCAACUAAAAUGAAUCAAUUGCUCCACCUGCUCUACAUGUUUUCUAUGGUUGGCUUGCAUAUGUUUUAUUCCAUGCUUAUCAUCUUGAUGCUUGUGAACAAAUAUCUUUAGGACAGCAUGCUCAUCUAAGUAGUUGAUGUGUAUGAUAUGGUUCGAUGAUAUGAUCUUCGCUCUUAAUGCUUAAGUGCUUGGGAAAAUCUAUUUGAAAAUUUAAAAGCCUUUUUGAAAUCUCCUCUUUGAUGUGCCAAGGUCCUACCAAAGCCGUAUGAUAAGUUGUCUUGAAAAACCAUUUGCAUAUAUUGCUUGUCUUUGCAUUGAGCUUUGUCAAAUUGGUGUGACCCUUGUGACAAUUCUUUUCAUACUUUCAUGAUCAAGACUCAUGUGCACACCAUAUACCCCUUGCUAUGCUUCUAUGAGAUGUUAGCAUUGUACCAUCCAUUCAUUCCACAAAAUAAAUGCUCCACCAUAUGUGUUGGUCUCCUUCUAAUAUUAUUGUUACAAAAGAGAUAUGGGCUAUCAAAAAAAAUAUGAAUGUCCUAGAAAGUUGGACACAUGAAUGUCCAAGAAAAAGAAAAAGAAAGAUAGCCAUGUCCUCAGAAAUAUUUACAAAGGGAGAGAGAUCAUACAAAAAGGAGUUUCCAUUCCAUCCACCACAUCCAUACACGUGCACAUCUUGAUCUGAUUGUAUGACUUAUUUUUCUCUUUGGAUCUGGUCUUUGACUUUGCAAUAUAUGUGAUGCAAGUAUGCCUUAUCCUUCAUAGCCUACCUUGAGCUCCACAUAUAGCCAUCAUUAGAAGUAGGAUGAAGAAAGGCAAGUCUAAUGCCUUGGUGAGGACAUAUACACAUUGAGUGAUCUGAGAGAAUCAAAUGAGGAGCUAAGCAAGGUUUUGUUUUAAAAACUAAUUGAAAAAUCCCAAGCUACUUGGCAUAAGGAGUUGAGGUGACUUGAUUCAAGACCAUUCCAUUCCUCAACUACCGAAGAUGGCAUGAUAGACACUCCAAAGUUCACAAGUGCAGGUAUGGUUUGGAAUAUCUUUUAGGCUCGCUUCAUACCUUUGAAAGUUAUGUUUCACCUUAGUCCUUUCUUCUUCACUCGAGGAUAAGCAAAGGCUACGUGUGGGGGUAUUGUUGAUGGCUCUUAAGUACCAAAUCUGCACCAUCAACUCUUGCAUAAACACAUAAAAUAUGAGCAUCAACAGUAGUGGUAGCAGUUAUUACAAACGAAUUCCACAAGUCUUGGUGAAUAUUUGUAAGGAGGCCCAUUAGGAGAGAAAAGACACCUCAAGAGCAAGGAAACACACUCUCAACCAAUCAGGAGCAAGCACAUGGAACCAUGGGCCCACAACCGGAAGGAAAUCGACUACAUUCACCACCAAACACCCUACACCCACAUGAGAACCCAUAGGCAGUGACCCAGAGCAAAGGUGGUGCCAGAGUGUAGAUGGCAGUUAGCAUGCCAAAUUGUGAACCGCAAGCGCAUGGAUCAGUUGUUGCCAAAGUAGCGCUGGCCAGCCUUUUCAUGAAAGAGCAUCAUCAAGAUAAGAUUGAUAACAAAAUAGAUCUCAACCAAAGGUUCAGCGAUUACAAAUCAAGAUCUCCGUAUAACCCCGAUGACAAAUAGAGGUAUUACCCCCAUGAUCUUACACAUGUUGAUGAAUUUUUGGGUAAAGGACACCUUGUAGAUCAACUGGACCAAAGAUGAUGAUAAACGGGGGCAGGGAAGGCCCAGACCGAUCAGCCUAGGCACUUUUGAGCCGAUCAGCUCAGGGGAUUUCCUCCUCCCCUGGUGCUCCUCUUCACGUGGCCUCCUCUGGAUCCAAUCUUCUCUUCAUUUCUCCUACUUGUGGCGGCAAUGGAUGGUGUUUGCGUGGUGAUUUCCUCUUCUCCCCAACUCUCCCUCCUUGAAGUCCAUGAGGGGGUAUUAAUAGUCUCCAAUAGGCGGCGGCUCUAGGUCAAUGUCGGUGAAAAACCCUAGAGAUCAUCGUACACUUCACGCUGAAGAAACAAGAGAUCGACCGAGCCCUGGGAUAGACCAUGAGGAUCAGCCUAGAGGGUCCCAGGCCGAUCGGCCUAGGCCCUUCCUAGCCCUUCUGGUCCUCUCCUUCCUCAUGCUGGCUUUUCUCGACGACCCUUGUCCAAAUAUCCAUUAAACUCUAUACAUACCCCCUUGAUUAUAUCGUAUUUCCUGCCAAAAUACAAUGCUCCAAAAUACAACACAUAUGCAAUAAUAGGGUUAUUUUAGGUGCCAAUUGGUGGGUUAGUAUACGAAUAAGCAUGAAAAUACUGAUUAAAUGGCACUAAAAGUGUGUCAAUAAUGAGCACCAACAAUCCCUGCAAUAUGCCAUCGCGUUCGUUCACAUGGGCGAGCACACACAAAAUUGUACUGCACGAAACUUAGAUUAACAACAACACAACAUGAUAAGUUUUUCCCUGAUCUGGAAACGAGAUGAAUUAUUUGCAAGCAGCCAUUCCAUGCAGGUUCAAAUUCCCCUACAACUAUUAUUCAGAACCAAGUAACUUCAAGUAUCAACUACACUUCUUUUCUAGCUUUUUUCAGAGGGUUUUUCUUUCAUCAUAAAACAAUCUCCCUGCAACAAAAUUGGAAAAAGAAUUAUUUUCCAGGUGCUUAUGUGUCGCUUAAAUGAAUGUUGGCUAUCCUACUUAUUUGCAAGCUCUCAUCUCUCAAAAGUCAUUCAAUUAUAUGAUGGAGCUUGGGUAAGGUUAGCUAAAAUCAACACGUAUAUUAUUGAAUUAAGAAAACCCUCUAACGGUGGCCUACCUUCCGAGCCAUUGAUCAUAAGAAUAUCCACAUAAUGUGAAGUUUUCAAGGAUGAGAAGAUAUACAAUGGUGGACAUGUGCAAAGGCAAAGAAAUAUAGUGACUCUGAGGCACAAGCAAUGUCCUCAUCAUUGGAUUGCAUAUGGUUGGAAUGAAAAUCCGUUCCUUAAACAAGUCCAUCUUUUCUUUGCACCACUCUUGAUCUUCAUGACAGUAAAAACUCCUCCUUUAUUUUUUUCUCUCUUUUCCUAUUAUUUCUUUUUAUUUGUCUCAAUACUUUUCUUUCUUUCUUUCUUUCUUUCUUUCUUUCUUUAUUUUAAUCUCUUCUCUGAACCUCCUCUGAACACCACACAAUAAAAAUCAGUUUUAGAUCCUUCCAGAGACCUUCCAGGAAUUUGCUACAUGAAAACUGAGGCAAGGAGACCCCAGGCCGAUUGGCCUGGCCACUCCUUUGCUCUCCUCUAGCUCUUCUUUCUGGUGAAGCUUCCUUAUCUUGUAUCUUUCCAAAAAUCUCAUAAAGCUCGACUAGAAACGGAACAGAUCUUCAUAUAAUGAGUUGUGUUCAAGGAAUUGGUAAGAAAAUUGAGAAAUUUGUGGUUCGGGUUUACGAAUUCAGUACAAAACUAUGAUUGUUCCAAUGAAAAACUCUCAUUACUGAAUGUUGACAAGGCAAGCAUUCAAAGAUGGUAAAAAGGAUAUGAUCAAUUCUCAGAAUUAAAGCAAACCAAGAGAGAGCGAUCCUAAUUCAAUUCAAAGUGUCAAAUGUUGCUUAUGGUGGUAUGAAUAAAUAUUUUUAGGCAUUGGGUAGGAUAAAUAAAAACUCUCAACCUGGUUAAAAUAUAUUGAUCAAUCUUGUUUUUGCAAAGGUUUUAAAUAAAAAAUAAAAUUUUAAAUCACCUCCAAUUCAAAGCCUUACUCAUAAAUCAUAAUCAAAACUGAAGCACUUGAUCAUCAUAAAGCAUGGGUACUGCAUAAACAAAUCGAUUACUAAAACUCCACAACUACGAUUUAGAAUUCAAGACAAUGCUCAUAAUCCAAAGUUGCAAAGACAAAAUAAAAGACAAGCAAUCCAAGGUAGACACUAAAAACACUUGCACGAUCCUUGAAUUUUAUUCAUGCUUCUUCUCACAAAGAUGCUAAAGUAGCCAUGUAGGCCUAAGUCUUCCCAAAAGCUUAAGAAGACUACUACUUUAUCUACUUUUGGUUGAAAUAAAAACACUAAUUUAGACUCUCACAUGACUCGACUCGACCAAACUAGAUCCAAAAACUCAUACGAGCGACGAUCUCCCCCCCCCCUCACGCUUAAAAUCUACGACCUCCUCGUCGUAACCAUAUGGAGUACAUGGAAAAGACGCUUGUAAACGCACUAAUGACGCUAUCCGCACUACUUGCACAUGGGAUGGUUGCUGCUUCCUUCACUUUGUUCUUCCUCAUGUUGCUGCACAUCCCGAAGAGCUUCCUCACAUUCCUCUGCAAGAACUUGAAGUCGUCCUCCUGACGGCGAUUAUUAUCUUCUUCCUUUUGAUCCAGAGCUUGCAAGGCUUGCAUGAUGUCAUCGACAGCAUCGAAGAGGUAGUGGAUGUUCUUCCUGCAAGUUGCAGAACAUGUACGAUCAUGCUCCUCCGAUUCUAGCCCGUCGUCUUCUAGAUCCUUCUCUUUGCCCUUGUCUUCACGGUGGCCAUCUUGCUCCUUGCUCGCCUUCUUGCCUUCAGCCCAAUCCUAGUACGUGUUGUCAUCUUCUUCAUCAUCACGGCCUGCAGCACCCUAUGAUCCAGGGCUCCUAUCGUCCUCCGAAUUGCUAUCACCUCCAUAGUCAGCUGGCGUGUACUCGGGCAUCUUCGCUAUGUAGCUCUUGUGCUUCAUCAUGAGGAGCCUUGCUGAACGCCUUGUGGGAGCGACGACAACCUCCUUCUUCUUCUUGGGCGGUUCAUCUUCGCUCGAGAGGAUGAUCAACAUGCGAUCCGCAAGCUUUCCGGAUGGUGCCUUGCCUCCAACACUGAUGUGAGCGUUACGAGUAGUCCUUGGCAGAGUUUUGGGACCCUACUCACACCUCUUGGCUUCCAUAUGAAGGGCGAAGGUGGCGGCCAAGGGAGGGGGUGGUGCCGAUCGGCUUGGGGAGGUCAGGUCGAUCAGCCUGGCCGCCUCCUUCGCCGGCUGCUGCCCCCUCUCGUCUCCCGAGUUCCUGGACGUCACCACUGCACUUUUUUUUUUGGUUUGGUGGAUCUAAAUUGCUUGUGUAGAUGCAAAACUCAAGGUCCAAUUGGCCUCAUUUCCAAAAACUUCCUUGCCCCUUCUCGCAAAAAUUCACUUCCAUAAUCUGUUGUUACCAAAGAUGUGAAAGAGGGGACUGAAUCGGAAAUUACAUAUAUUUUUAGACGUACGCUCUACCUCCCAAAUUUUCAUGGCAGCGCAUACGUCUAAAAAUAUAUGUAAUUUUUUGAGUCUUACACAAAAUUCAAAUGAAAUUAAUAGAAUUUAAGAUAGAGUAUGUACAAGGUACCUAUUUUAGUGUCGUCAAGCUUGACUUGGCCAUUCUUCCUUCAUGGUAUAGACGUCAAUAGAAUUGAUAGGCACGAUGUCGGCUUCCAAGAAUACCUUUAGCCGUUGUCCAUUCACAAUAUAUUGAUCUCCUUUGACGUCCAUGAUUGUUACUGCUCUGGUAGGUGACGCAGAAUACAUGACGUAUGGUCCACCCCACUUGCUCAUCAAUUUUCCCUUACCGAAGAAUUUAAACCUGGAGUUGAACAAUAACACUUUAUCCCCUUCUUUGAAUUCCUUCUUAUGAGGCCUUUUAUCAAACCACCUCUUCAUUCUUUCCUUGUAAAUGCUUGCAUUGUGGUAAGCUUUAAGCCUCAUCUCUUCCAAUUCACUUAUUUGGAUCCUUCUUUUUACUCUCGCAGCACUAAAAUCAAGAUUCAUCUCUUUUAUGGUCCAAUAAGCUUUAUGUUCAAGUUCAACAGGAAGAUGACAUGUUUUUCCGUAGACGAAUUGAUACGGGGUCAUACCUAUAGGUGUUUUAUGAGCUGUCCUAUAUGCCCAUAACGCUCCGUCUAGUUUCUUUGACCAAUCCUUCCCUCCUUUGACUAUGGUCUUUUUCAAUAUAUCUUUGAGUUGCUUGUUUGAAGUUUCUGCUUGGCCAUUUGUUUGAGGAUGAUAGGCUGUAGACACUCUGUACUCAAUCCCCAGUUUCUUCAAACAUUUGCCAAAAUCUUUUUCUAUGAAAUGCAAUCCUCCGUUCCUUAUCAAUAUUCUGGGCACUCCAUACCUAGGAAAUAUUAUCUUCUUGAUCAUGUGAAUUGAUUCCUCCGUUGAUGCCUUCCGACAUGGGAUAGCUUCUACCCAUUUAGACACAUAAUCAACUACAACCAAGAUGUGCUCAUAGCCAAGUGAAUUUAAGAAUGGUCCCAUGAAAUAUAUACCCCAAACAUCAAAUAGAUCCACUUGCAAACUAUAGUUCAAAGUCAUAGAAUUUCUAGAUGAAAUAUUUCCUUUUCUUUGGCAUUCUGAGCAAGUAGCAAUGAACCUCUUUGCAUCUUCGUGCAUCUCUAGCCAAUAAAAUCCCCUUGCCCAUACUUUUGCUUGAGUUUUGAAGUGUCCAUAAUGUCCUCCAUAUUCUAAUGAAUGGCAUUUCCUAAGCACCACGUCUCUUUCUUCUCUAGGAAUCCAUCUUCUCAAUACUCCAUCUACUCCAUACCUAUAUAGAAAAGGUGCAGACCAAUAGUAUUUCUUAUUUUCAGCAAUAUUUUUUCUUCUUUCAUUCCUAUCCAAGUGAUGCAAAGGCGCCCUUUUGAUUGCUCUGAUAAUGUCAUGCAUCCAAUCAUCCUUGUCAAGUAUUCUGUAUAAAUGGUCAUCACUCAUUCGAUCUUUAAUUGGCUCCUUCCCAUUAUCUUGUUGGUACAUCCUCGACAAGUGGUCAGCUACCACAUUUUUUGACCCCUUUUUAUCUCUAAUUUCCAUAUCAAACUCUUGUAGUAACAAUAUCCAAUGAAUCAGACCUGGUUUAGCAUCUUUCUUGGACAAAAGAUAUUUAAUUAAAGCAUGGUCGGUGUGCACAAUCACUUUAGAAUACACAAUAUAUGAUUUGAAUUUUCCAAUGCAAAUACUACGGCAAGCAGCUCCUUCUCUGUAGUUGCAUAAUUUAUUUGAGCCUCAUUUAAAGUCUUGCUAGCAUAGUAAAUUGCGUGUACCUUCCCUUCUGUUCUUGUCCAAGUACUGCUCCAACAGCAUAAUCACUUGCAUCGCACAUUAUCUCAAUAGGUAGAUUCCAAUUCGGAGGUUGAAUGAUGGAUGCACUGAUAAGUGAUUGCUUUAAAGUUCUGAAAGCAUAGAGACAGUCUUCAUUGAAUUCAAAGCUCACAUCUUUCUGUAGAAGUUGUGUUAAUGGUUUUGUUAUCUUCGAAAUCCUUAAUAAAUCUUCUGUAGAAUCCGGCAUGUCCGAUAAAGCUUCUCAAUGACUUGAUGUCUGUUCGAGGAGCUAACUUUUCCACAGUUUCAAUCUUCGCUUUAUCAACUUCUACCCCCCCUCUAAGAUGACAUGCCCCAGCACUAUUCCUUGCUUCACCAUAAAGUAACACUUCUCCCAGUUUAGAACUAAAUCAACUUCUCCACAUCGUUUCAGAACUUUAUCAAGAUUCUCCAAGCAAUUAUCAAAACUAGUGCCGUGUACAGAGAAGUCAUCCAUAAAUACCUCCAUAAUAUUUUCAAUAAAAUCCGAGGAUAUAACUAUCAUGCAGCGUUGAAAUGAUGUGGGCGCAUUGCAUAGACCAAAAGACAUUCUUCUAUAAGCAAAAGUUCCAUACAGACAAGUGAACAUCAUCUUAUGUUGGUCAUUCGGAUGUAUAGGAAUUUGAAAGAACCCAGAAUAUCCAUCAAGAUAGCAAAAGUGAGAAUGUUUUGCUAACCUUUCAAGCAUUUCAUCGAUUAAAGGCAAAGGGAAGUAAUCCUUCCUAGUUGCCUUGUUCAACUUCCGAUAGUCAAUACACAUCCUUCAUCCUGUCACUAUCCUCUGGAGAAUUAGCUCAUUCUUCUCAUUUGUCACAACAGUCAAUCUAUCCUUCUUUGGCACGCAAUGCACUGGGCUUACCCAUUCACCGUGUGGUACUGGAUAGAUUAUUCUAGCAUUAAGCAAUUUGAUCGCCUCCUUCUUUACUACAUCAUGCAUAGCAUGCUCAAUCUUCUCUAGUUCUCCACAACUAGUUUGUAUUGAUCUUCUAAUUGUAUUCAAUGAGUGCAAAAGGUUCGAUUGAUUCCUUUCAAGACUUUGAUUGUAUAUCCAAUCACUUUCUAAUGUUUUCUUAAUAAAUUCAGCAGCUUCUCAGUUUCUUCCUUCCUCAACUCAUUGUUGACAAUGACUGGAUAUGUCUUGUUGUUCCCCAAAUAUUCAUAUUUUCAUCCGUUGCUGCUCCUCUGAGAGAGGUCCGAGGUUGAGUGCAUUUUGCUACGGGUGAAGCCGGCGGAUGCACACCAAGAAGAUGGGGAAAAAACCCGAGAAGGCUCAAGGCAAGGCUCCUGCGGCGGGCAAGGUGAAGUCCAAGAAGGGGAAGGAGCUGGUGCUGCUGGUGCCGAAGGUAGGGCCAACAAACCAGACUGUACCGCCGCCGCCUGGAGCGAUGUGGUAGCAUUCGGUGAUGAAGGAGGCGGCCGUUCAGGUGCUUCGAUGCCAAACUUCUGCAGUCAAAACAGGUACUCAAGUGGAGGCCUGCCUUCGCUGAUGCGUGGCAAUUCGAGAAGCAUCCGAAUGAGACGGUUAUGCUUGCUCAGGAGAGGGGGUUGGUAGUGCCCACCUUCGACUUCUUCAAAGGUAUUCUUGAGUACUACAAGCUUCAACUUGUACACUUGAACCCCAAUGGUGUACUGCACAUGUCUAUUUUUGUGCACCUUUGCGAAGUUUACUUGGGAGUUCCUCCUAGUCUUGAGAUGUUUAGGAAGUUGUUCCGUAGCAAGCCUCAGCCUAGUGCUGUUAGGACAGAGGUCUUUGGGGGCGCCGGGUUCCAGCUCAGGAAUUCAGGCGCGUAUAUUGACUAUAACUUGACUGACUCCCAUGGGGAGUGGAAGAAAAGGUGGUUUUAUAUUGGGAACCAUAACCCUCGCUUGCCGGUGGUCACUGGUCAUGCGUCGAAGCACGCAGAGAAUUGGGUGAGCGAGCCUGAAGAUAGCCCAGAGCUCGAUCACUUGCUGCCCCAGAUUGCUGAGUUGAAGGCACUCGGUUUGAUUGGAGUCAAUCUGGCAGCCAGCUUCCUCAAGAGAAGAAUUCAGCCCUUGCAAAAGCGGGCGCACUUGGGUGGGGAGUACUUAGGUUUCAAUGACUCGUCCCGUAUGUCUCUGGAUGAUAUUUCUGAUGAUGAUGUUGAGGCACUGUUGGCCAAGUUCUUUAGGAACUAUUAAGGAGUACCAGUUAUUCCUUCAACGCUUCGUCAGUUUGAUGCUUGGUAUCAGCCAGAAGUGGUAUGGUCUUUCACUUUGAUUUGUACUUUUUGAACUGUUCGGGAUAUUGUUUGAGUGUCGACUUGCUUUUGUAGUCCCGAGUUCUUGCCAACUACUUGGUGUAGUCGGAAGAAGAAGAAUCUGUUGUUGAGGAGUCAGAGGACGAGCCCUCUCCUCCUGUGAAGAAACGCUGAAUAGUCCGCAAGAUGUCUGCUGCUAAGUCUGCCAUGACUUCUCCUAAGAAGUCUGAGGGUGCCAAGGUAUGUAGCUGUGUACUCACUUGUAGCUGACGGAUGUUAACUUGUAAUCUUUGAUCACUUUAUCUGUCUUUAAAAGGCUGACGACGCGGCACUUGGUGACGAUGAGGCUGCUUCGGAUGAAGUAGUCGUGAGCGCCCAGGGCAUUGAUGUUGCGUCUGUUGAGAAGGUACCAGAGAAGGUGCCACCAACAGAUGCUAGAGUAGCCCCCGAGCUGACAGUCCAGGCUCCAUCGGGUACCGCGCUGCCGGUCCCUGACCAGGCAGUCCUGGGUUUGCCUGCUGGAGUGGCGAACGAUGUUGGGAAGGGAGUAUCGCCAGUAGUUGCUACUGGUUCUUUGUUGUCCAAGGUGAUUGCUAGUGGUGAGCUUUCUUUCCCGACUGGUUUUGUUAGUCUGAGUUGUAUUUUAGUCUUGACCCUGUGUUUCCCAGGUCUUGGCGAGAAGACAGAGCCAGCAGCUGCUCCCGUGGCGUCGAGUACUCGGCCACCUGUUGCCGAGAAGAAGCGUGUGCGAUUGCCGCCACGAUCAACUCGGUGAGUUGUUUAUCCUUGGUGUGUAUCUUCAAGUUUUCUUGAAGUUGUGUAAUGACUUUGUAUUUUGAUGCAGGGAUGCGGAGGAGACUAUCCCUGUGGAGGCAAGAGUAGAUUCGUGUCCCCCGACUACUCUUUCUGCUCCUUUUGAGGAUUUGACUGUCGACGAAGUAUCCGAAGUUGAUGCUAGUCGUCUUGGAGCGACCAUGUCUAUGCUUCAAGAAGUGAUCCGCUCGGUGGAAGAUCCCCCUACUGCCUCGGGUUCUGGGAAUGUAUCCUUGUCGGCGUCUACUGGCGGAGAUUUGGCUAUGGAUGCGGGGAAAUCUAAGGAACCAGCUACCCUAGGUAUGUAUCCGCAGUCCUGGUAUUGUAGUCGUAGUAUUGAGGUGGCUGAUGUUAAUCUCUUAGGUACUGCCUUGGGUGCAGCUCCUCAUCUUGCGAAGAGUACUCAAGGUCCAGUAAUCGGGCUCCCAUCUGAGUCAGAGUUCCAGAGAGCUGUUGAUGUUUUUCAAAGCUUCCAGGUGUGUUUUCUUUACUUAUCUAACACUUUUAGUAACUAGGGGAGUUGACCGUUUGCUUUGCUGUGCAGGAUCUGUAUGACCAGAUGCAAAGGAACACUCGGGCCCUUCAGGAGUGGAACAAACAAUUGGAGCAGGAGUGUGUCCGACUUGCGGAAUCCUUGAGGCUUCAUGAAGCUGGAGCGAAAUCCUUUGCUGUGGAGCGGUCAGAUCACAAAGUCUUGCAGCAGAAGCUGGAGAGCCGCUACAAGUCUUUGAAUAAAAAGUAUCAAGGUGAGUACUUUUCAUGUUCUGGGUAUGUCCGACUGUAGUCGGUUGUGUUUGAACUUGGCCGUUUUUGCAGAACUCAAGAGGAAGGAGGCUAUUGCAAGUAGCCAACUCCUUGAUUGGAGAAACACGCAUGACCGAGUAGCGGAUGAAGCUGAACAUCUUCGAGCCGCGCUGACGGAGGCACAAGCUGCCUGCGAGCAUUAGCGGGAUAGGAAGAUCCAGAAUGGAGUGAUGCUUGCUAUGGCCAUAGUGGCGUGCAGAGACCAUGCCCAGACUGUUGGAAGAUUUUGAAGCCAGCUCCAAGAGUUAACUGAUGCCGCUCAAGACUUGGUGAAUGCCAUUUCCCCCUUAGAAGAGGAUGCAGGACCUCAAUCACUAGUCGAGCACUUGAAGGCUGCUCCGGGUAAGGUGGCAGGCCUCUGCAAGGCUGUUUGCAAACAAGUCCUUGCUGUGGUAAGGUCAUACUACCCAAGGGCAUAUUUUUCGGCGGCUGGUGACGGCGUUGCUCGCAAUUGCACAGAGGAAGCCUAUGCGCAGUACCUCGAGGAGGCGGAACCAAUCGCGUCGAAAAUGUCGGAAUUUGUAUCUCUAGAGGAGCCUUGAGCGUUUAUGUACUCUUGUAAACUUUCGAGUACUUUGAAUGAUAUUGUGUCUGAGAGUCGAACACUUGUCCAUACUUUGUUGUUUGAAGUGGGUCUGACCCGUCAUGGGUAAGGAACAUUUUACUCUAUCUCACCCGACCCAAGGUCCCGUGGACAGACACGCCCGGCCCUUUGAGGAUGGAACUCCGCCUUGCCCGACCCUUGGUCAUAGGGUCGGAUGCGCCCGACCCCUUGCCGUAAGGCUUCGUAUCGCCCGACCCCGGGUGUAGGGAGUCGGACUCAACUGGGCCCCCAAGACAAGGAUCCGCUAUGGGCAUAACCCAGGUUUUGGCAGAAGUUGUUCUGAGGACUGAGUUUGAGCAGUCGCGAUGUAGUCGAGUAACCUUGUUAUUCUAUGAAUAGAAGGUGCACGGGUGUACUGUACUCUUUUGUCCUUUGUGGCAUGAAUGCUUUCACGUGGGCAGUUAGAGAUCAUCCAGACUCAUCGAUCAUGGGCGCAUAGUAAAUUUUGGGUGGUUGAUGGUUGCAGCCCUUGGCUAUAAAUAGACCCCCCUGGAGGUCGACCCUAAAUCAAGCUUUGAGUAGCGAUGGAUUGCCUUCUGUUGCUGUUGUUUGAGUGUAGAGAGCCUUCAAAGAGUACACCGGUGCUCGAAGCUUCCUCGUAGAUUGAGGCCACCUUCCCUCCACAGACUCUAGCGCUCAUAGGGAUAGCUGCGAUGCUAGAAGAAUCCUCAUAGGAGGUUUCAUCACGCGCCUCAUCUUGCAGCUCGUGAUCCAGCAGAGUACGCGCUAGAACUCGCGGGUGAUGGGUGAUGAGUGCCGCGGUCUUUAUCCUGCUCACUUAGAGGUGGAGGUGUAGCCGUAGAGUGGGUUGGCUCGGCAAGGCUAGCAAAAGAGCAGCCUUGGUUCCCUCUAUGCGCGGCACGCGGGAUUCAUCGUUGCUGCUAUCAAGGCAGCGGCGGUGCAGGUGUACCUGGCGUUGCCUUGGGUAGAGGACCUGGAUAUGGCUGCGUUUUGCGCAGCUUCCUUGCGUGUAGGUCCCUCCUGUUGUAGUCGGCAGACCUGAGUGGCCUUGUGAUAUUGUAAAAGCCUGAGGCUUAAAUGCAGCCCACCAGUAGGCAGUUGCUUGCAGUCUUAUUGUAUUGUAUUUCGAGUACAUGUACUCGUAUGUAAUCUUGAUGUAUCUUUAGUCUUGAGUAAAGAAUUACUCUACCGUUGAGGCUUUGUACCAGAGCUGGAAUGCCUGUUAAGUAGGUAGUCUUGAGUCAAGAGUAGUAUAUCUUCGAGUUGGUAGUCGAGCUGUUGACUCGAGUAGUUGACGAGUUUUUGCUUGAAGCAAUUAAUCGAGUCCUGCUACGGGUAGUAGCGACAAAGGUGUUAUAUAUUCCAAGAGUUUGGUACUUGUUCUCCUAAGAGCUCUUGUAGUCUGUAAGAUCCGGGUCCUAUAACCUUGGAUACAAUGUAAGGACCUUCCCAUGGUGAAUUGAGUUUAUGCAAUCCUGACGUGUCUUGGAUUCAUUUGAGGACCAUGUCGCCUAAGUUGAAAGAUCGUUCUUUGAUGUUGCGGUCGUGGUAACGCCUUAACCCAUCAAGGUAUCUGGCAGAUUGUACUAGCGCUGCGCAUCUUGCUUCUUCUGGACUGUCUAGAUCUGUUGACCUUGUUUCUUCUGCCAUUUCUUCGUCGUAUUGUUUGACUGAGGGAGAUUGCCACAUGAUGUCUGCGGGUAAUAUAGCUUCUAAGCCAUAUACAAGGAAAUAGGGAGAGAGCCCAGUAGUCUUGCAUGGUUGGGUUCGUAGUUCCCAUAGAGCAUUGGGUAAUUCCUUGAGCCAUUUGCCUCCUUUUGUGUUGCCGACGUCAUGUAGUCGUUUCUUAAGAGCAUCGAGUAUCAUGCUGUUGGCACGUUCGACUUGUCCAUUGGCUCGAGGGUGAGCGACCGAGACGUAGCAGACGUCGAUUUCACUAUUCUUGCAGUAUUCCCAGAAGUCAUGAUUGUUGAAGUUGGACCCUAGGUCUGUGAUGAUUCUGUUGGGAAAGCCAUAACGGUGUACAAUUUCAUCCAAGAAGUCGAGGACUCGGUCUGCCUUGGGGCAAGUGACUGGUUUGACCUCGAUCUACUUGGUGAAUUUGUCGAUAGCCACGAGUACUCGGUUGAAUCCACCUGGCGCAGUUGGUAAUGGCCCUAUCAUGUCGAGCCCCCAGCAGGCAAACGUCCAUGUUGGAGGUAUUGUGACUAUCUUGUAGGCAGGAAUAUGUUGUUGUUUAGUGAAGAACUGACAACCCUUGCACAUCCGAACUAACUGUUUAGCGUCAGCUAGAGCCAUUAGCCAGUAGAAACCUACUCUGAAAGCCUUGCCAACUAUUGUUUGUGAGGAUGCGUGGUUGCCGCAGAUCCCCUUGUGAAUUUCUUCUAGGAUUUCUUUUCCAUCUUCACAGGUAACGCACUUCAUGAGUACCCCUGAUGAUGCACUUUUCCUGUAGAGCUUGUCUCCGACUAGAACGUAGUUUCUUCCUCGCCGGGAGAUUUGUUCGGCUUGAUUUUUGUCAGAGGGUAACUUGUGAUCUUUGAUGUAGUCGAUGAAGGGUGUCCUCCAGUCGACUUCUAUCAUCAUGAUUUCUCGAGUGAUGUUAGUAGUCUAGACUACUGGAGGUGUAACUUGUUCUGAUAUGAACGGCUUGUGCAGUUCGUGUACGAAAAUUCCUGCUGGAACCUCUGCACGAGUUGAGCCCAUUUUUGAUAACACGUUAGCGGCUACGUUGUUGUCGUGGAUGAUGUGAUGAAAUUUCAAGCCUGAGAACUUGCUUUCCAGUUUGCGGACUUCUUUGCAAUAAGCAUCCAUGUUGUCUUUGUUUCGAUCCCACUCGUCAUUGACUUGGUUUAUAAUGACUAGUGAGUCGCCGUAUACCAAAAGUCUUUUGAUGCCGAGGGAGAUUGCAAGACGAAGGCCGUGUAGCAGUGCUUCAUACUCGGCUUCGUUGUUUGAUGCUUCCCAAAAGAUUUGUAGUACGUACUUGAGUUGAUCUCCUUUUGGGAAGAUGAGGAGUACGCCUGCACUGGCCCCUUCGAGUUUGAGGGACCCGUCGAAAUACAUUACCUAGUGCUCUGGCCGCUCGACUGGUAUCGGCACCUGAUUCUCAGUAUAUUCAGCCACGAAGUCGACCAAAGCCUGGGAUUUGAUAGCUGUCCUUGGUUUAAAGUCCAAGGUUAGAGCUCCGAGUUCAACUGCCCAUUUGGAAAUUCUACCCGUGGCAUCUCUGUUGUGGAGGAUUUCGCCGAGCGGGAAGUCAGAAAUGACUGUGAUACUGUGUUCUUGGAAAUAAUGGCACAGUUUCCGAGAGGUGAGCAGAAUUGCAUAUAGGAGUUUCUGUAUCGGUGAGUACCGAGUUUUGGAGUCCGAGAGUACUUCACUGACGAAGUACACAGGUCUUUGAACUUUGUAAAUGUGUCCUGGUUCAGACCGUUCAACUACUAUCGUCGUGCUGAUGACAUGAGUAGUAGCUGCUAUGUAUAGGAGCACGUCUUCGUUUGGAGAUGGAGCAGUGAGUACAGGAGGCUUUGACAGGAAGUCUUUGAGUUGCGUCAGUGCCUUGUCUGCCUCUUCUAUCCAUUUAAACUUGUCCUGUCGUUUGAGAAGCUUGAAGAAGGGUAGUCCCCGUUCUCCAAGUCUCGAGAUGAACCGAUUGAGAGCUGCCACGCAGCCUGUGAGUUUCUGCACAUCCUUGAUGCUAGCUGGUGCUUGCAUGUUUGUGAUGGCAGAUAUUUUCUCCGGGUUGGCCUCAAUGUCGCGAUGGCUAAUGAUGAACCCGAGUAACUUGCCAGAAGGUACUCCGAAGACGCAUUUAGUGGGAUUGAGUUUCCAUCGGAAAGCUCGUAGACUGGAGAAAGUUUCCUCCAAGUCGGCGAUGAGUUCCUCCUGGUUUCUUGUUUUGACGACUACAUCGUCCACAUAAGCUUCAACAUUGCGAUCUAGUUGUUUUUCGAAGCACAUCUGUAUAGCUCGUUGAUAGGUUGCUCCUGCGUUUUUUAAUCCGAAGGACAUUGUCUUGUAGCAAAAAGCUCCAAAUGGUGUGAUGAAGGCUGUUUUAGCUUGAUCUUCUUUUUUGAGGCUUAUCUGGUGAUAGCCUGAGUAGCAAUUGAGAAAACAUAGUAAAGCGCACCCAGUAGUGGAGUCGACCACUUGGUCGAUCCUGGGUAGCCCGAAAGGGUCUUUAAGACAGUGCUUGUUGAGGUCGGUGUAGUCGACGCACAUUCUCCACUCGUUUUUCUUAUGAACGAGUAUGGGGUUGGCUAGCCAAUCAGGGUGAAAGACUUCUUUGAUGAACCCUUCUGCGAGUAGCUUGGCUAGUGCUUUUUUGAUUGCUUCUUGUCUGUCUUGAGCGAACCUGCGAAGUCGCUGCCGUUUUGGAGUAGCUUUGGGAUCAACAUUUAGAGAGUGUUCGAUCAGCUCCUUGGGCACACCGGGCAUGUCAGCUGGUUUCCAAGCGAAGAUAUCGUGGUUAGCCCGAAGGAAACUGAUGAGCACGGAUUCCUAUUUAGGAUCUAGCCCUGUUCCAAUCAGGGCUGUCUUGGAGAAGUCACCCGUCUGGAGAUGGACUGGUUUGAAGUCUUGCUUGCUUGCGGGUUUCACCUUUGUAGACCCCGACUUGUUUUCUGGGAUCUCGAGUUCGGUUGGAUGGAGUUUCUUUGAAGCUAUGAAGACUUAUUGCAUGGGACUAGGUGCUUGAGAAGUCGCGGCGAUCUCCACGGCUUCAGUGUCGCAUUCGUAGGAUCACCGUCGAUCUCCCCGUAGCGUUAGUUCUUCCUAGGGACCUGGAAGUACUGGCCGUUUUGUACGAACAUUAAUGCCUUUUGACCGUCCUUCGCGGCGCUCUCCUAUUUAUUACCCUUUUUACUCUGACGGGACACGUCUUACCAAACCUCCGCGCUUCCUCUUAUUAUAAAUAACGGCCCUGGUUUCGCUCUUGAGAAUACCUGCUCCACUCGAUUCCUUUUUCCCCGAUUACGUUUCCAUCGGAACGUUCGUAGUCAUGUCUUCUUUGUCUUCUUCUUUCUCCUCUCCUUCUAUCAAUCAGGUACGAGGUCCGUCUCCGCCCUUUUUUCAGUUUGAUCCCUUUAAAUCGUUCCAACUUUUAGGCGGCUAUGUGCUAACUUUUUCAGCCAAGGCACCUUAGCCCUGAACUCGAACGAGCAAUCGAACUCGUGCACUCUGACGAGUCGUUUUCGCAAGAGGACAAGGACUUGAUCAAGGCACACGUGAAGAACUCAGAGAUCACGUUCCUGCCGACGUCCAACGGAUCUGGGACUUCAUCGACGGCAAUGAUUACGGGCGACCGCAAGUUGACAGGAGCCACCCACUUCCUCGUCCGGUUGUUCUUGAAAACACCGCGGUAGGGACAUCACGCCCGGUGAUGGAUCAGAGCCAUCCUCUUCCUUGCCAAGUUGAGGCGGAGGCCGCGAUGAGAGAUGUGGAAGAACGAAGCAUUCGCCUUCUGAUAGAAUUGUUGGGAUACGAGGUAGGCUACGCUAGCGCAAAUCAAAAUUUCUACCGCGUAUAACCAGGAAGAACUGCCGUAUAAGGAUCACGGGAUUACCACUCGAUGCACUACUGGUGCGGAAGAUGUAGAUAUGCGUCGGUGCAGUGAAGACGAUCACGUAGUCGUACGUAGUCGAUCACGUCCAGCAGCUCCUCAGCAGCUCGUCCACGUGCACAGCAAGAUCGCCUCCGGUACCGCGGCUCGUCGUCGGCUCGUCGUGGCUCGUCGGUGGCUCGUCGGUGGCUCGUCGGUGGCUCGUCCAAGUGCUGCAGGCGCAACACCUCCAAGGUAUCCACACGUGCAGGGAGGAAGCGUCGCAAGCCGGAUUGCUAGAUCCGCGAGUUGCAACAGGCGAGGGCGUGGGAGGCGCGGCAAGUGUGUUCAGCCAAAAGGUGUAAACCCUAGGGUGCCCCCACCCCUCUAUUUAUAGAGGUUCCUGAUGGGCCUCUGGAUCCGAGGCCCAUUAGCACUCCUAAACCUAAUCCAACUCGGAUCAGAUCCGAAUUGGGCUUCCAGCCCCUUAAGUGUGUGACCCUAUGGGUUCGGAUACGUAUAGACAUGGCCCGAGUACUCCUACUCGGCCCAAUAGUCGGUAGCGGCCUCUAGCAAGACGUGCCAACUCCUAUACGCAUACGAAGAUCAUAUCAGAACGAACCAUCACAACAUAAUAUACAUGCUAUUCCCUUUGCCUCACGAUAUUUGGUCUAGCUUCAAGCCGACCGCUCUUUCUCGAUCCUGUGAUUCGGAAUCCCUUUGUAGGUUAACUCUUAACCGUACGUAGCAUGGCCAUGCAUUUUCGGAUCCGAUCACUCGAGGGGCCCAGAGAUAUCACUCUCAAUCAGAGAGGGGCAAAUCCCAUCUUGAUUGACCAUGUCUCAUAGCAUGCUUCUUGACAAACCCGAAAGCUACCUUUAUAACUACCUUGUUACGGCGUAGCGUUUGAUAGCCCCUAAGUAGGUCGAUCCACAUCUAGAAUACAUGCGACAAUCUCAGGUCUAAGGACAAAGCGUAUAUGUUGUUUAAAGAGAGAACUACUUCUCAUGUUGGGUCAGUCCUAACACAUGUCUCCACAUGUGUCCACAUUAUUAGUUCAACAUCUCCAUGUCCAUGACUUGUGAAACAUAGUCAUCAACUAAUACAUGUGCUAGUCUAAUAUUCAUGUGUGUCCUCACAUGAACUCCGACUAGGGACAGCUUUAGAAUAACCAUACAAGUAAAGAGUUUCACAUACAAUUCACAUAAUUGCAAAUCAAUUCAAGUAGCCUUUAAUGGAUAUUCAAUGAACACAAUAUACAAAUCAUGGAUACAAAUGGAAUAUCAUCAUCUCUAUGAUUGCCUCUAGGGCAUACCUCCAACAGUCUCCCACUUGCACUAGAGUCAAUCUAGAAGGUACCUAAUACCCAUAGCUCUUACAUGCGCAUCAUGCUUAGCCUGCGGGAGUGGUUUUGUCAACAGAUCAGAAAUGUUCAGAUCCGUGUGUAUUUUGCAUAUCUUGAUCUCACCCCGGUUAACAAAGUCUCGAAUGAGAUGAAAUCGCCGCAUUACGUGUUUGUUCUUCUGGUGGUUCCUUGGCUCCUUUGCUUGCGCAAUUGCCCCAUUAUUAUCACAGUAGAGAUUCAAUGGGCUGGACGCAUUCGGGAACACACCAAGCUCAAUGAGGAAAUUCCUUAUCCAAACACCUUCCUUCGCGGCUUCCGAAGCCGCGAUGUACUCGGCUUCUGUCGUAGAAUCGGCCACCGUCUCCUGCUUGGAACUCUUCCAACUAACAGCACCACCAUUUAGUGUGAACACAAAUCCUGAUUGUGACUUUGAAUCAUCUCUGUCGGUUUGGAAACUAGCAUCGGUGUAACCUGUUACAACGAGCUCCUCCUAACCUUCAUAGACGAGGAACAUAUCUUUAGUCCUUCUCAAGUACUUAAGAAUGUUUUUCACCGCUGUCCAGUGACUCUCACCUGGAUCAGAUUGGUGUCUGCUUGUCAUACUUAGCGCAUAUGAAACAUCUGGGCGAGUACUUAUCAUUGCAUACAUGAUAGAUCCAAUAGCCGAGGCAUAUGGCACUCUACUCAUGCGAUCCCGCUCAUCAGCAGUCGAAGGACACUGAGUCUUGCUGAGAUGUAUGCCAUGUGACAUAGGCAAGAACCCUUUCUUUGCCUCUUCCAUGCUGAACCGCUUCAACACUUGGUCAAUAUAAGUAUCUUGGCUCAAACCUAUAAGCCUUCUCGAUCUAUCUCUAUAGAUCUUAAUGCCCAGAAUAUAUGCCGCUUCCCCUAAGUCCUUCAUCGAAAAACUAUUUUUCAGUGAAGUCUUUACGGACUCAAGCAUAGGAAUGUUAUUUCCAAUCAGCAAUAUGUCAUCCACAUAUAAGAUUAGAAAUACUACAGAGCUCCCACUAACCUUCUUGUAAACACAAGAUUCUUCUUCGUUCUUAGUGAAGUCAAACCCUUUGACCACUUCCUCAAAACGAAUGUUCCAACUCCUAGAUGCUUGCUUCAAUCCAUAAAUGGAUCUCUGAAGCUUGCAUACCUUUCCAGCAUUUUUUGGAUCGACAAAACCCUCGGGCUGUAUCAUAUACACGUCCUCAGCUAGGUUUCCAUUCAGGAAAGCUGUCUUGACAUCCAUCUGCCAUAUCUCAUAAUCGAAAUAUGCAGCUAUAGCUAGAAUAAUCCGAAUGGACUUAAGCAUCACUACGGGCGAGAAGGUCUUGUCGUAGUCAACUCCUUAAACUUGUCGAAAACCUUUUGCGACAAGUCGUGCUUUGUAGAUGUGAACAUUUCCAUCCAUGUCCUUUUUCUUCUUAUAGAUCCACUUGCACUCUAUGGCUUUAACACCAUCAGGCGGGUCAACCAAGUUCCAAACUUGAUUGUCUCCCAUGGACUCUAUUUCGGAUUGCAUGGCACUCUGCCAUUUUUCGGAGUCUGGGUCCAUCAUUGCUUCUGCAUAUGUCGCAGGCUCAUCAUUGUCCAACAAUAAUAUUUCUCGCAUUUCGCGGAGCCUUGCUGACCUUCGUGGUUGUGGCGGUGCUUCUCUUGCCAUGGGUAUCUCAACUUGUUCUGCUACGUUAGCAUCACUCAUUGAUUCUUGCCCGAUUGGCUCAUCUUGAACUUCUUCAAGAUGCACUGUCUUUCCACUCUUUUCUCCUUUGAGAAACUCUUUCUCUAGGAAAACCCCGUUCCGAGCGACAAACACUUUGCCUUCUGAUCGGUUGUAGAAAUAAUAUCCCAAAGUUUCCUUUGGAUAUCCCACGAAAAUGCACUUAUCCGACUUGGGUGUGAUCUUGUCCGACUGAAGUCGCUUGACAAACACUUCACAUCCCCAAAUCUUUAGAAAAGACAAACUAGGAACCUUUCCAGUCCACAUCUCAUAUGGUGUCUUAAUUACGGAUUUAGAUGGUACCCUAUUAAGUGUGAAAGCUGCUGUUUCUAGAGCGUAUCCCCAAAAUGACAACAGUAGGUCCGACUGGCUCAUCAUUGAUCGAACCAUGUCUAACAAAGUUCGAUUACGUCGCUCGGACACACCGUUUCUCUGAGGUGUUCCAGGCGGCGUAAGUUGUGGAACAAUUCCGCAACUCUUUAGAUGAUUGCUAAACUCAUGGCUCAAAUACUCGCCUCCACGAUCAGAUCGUAAGCCCUUAAUUUUCUUGCCACGCUGAUUUUCAACUUCAUUCUGAAAUUCCUUGAACUUUUCAAAGGUCUCAGACUUGUGCCUCAUCAAGUAGACAUAGCCAUAUCUACUAAAAUCAUCAGUGAAAGUUAUGAAGUAUUGGAAUCCUCCUCUAGCCGUCGUGCUCAUUGGUCCGCAUACAUCACUAUGUACGAGUUCCAACAAGUCUACUGCUCUCUCAGGAAAUCCUGUGAAAGGCGUCUUGGUCAUCUUGCCUAGCAAGCAAGCCUCGCAUGUCUCGUAUGAUUCAAAAUCAAACGAAGUUAGAAGUCCAUCAGAAUGGAGCUUCUUCAUGCGCUUAUCACUUAUAUGACCCAAACGACAAUGCCACAAGUAGGUAGGACUCAAAUCAUUAGGCCGAGGCCUUUUAGCACUUACAUUACAGACAGGUGAACCAUCAAGAUUUAAAACAAAUAAUCCAUUCACAAUGGGUGCAAAAGCCAUAAACAUAUUAUUCUUAGAGAUCACACAACCAUUGUUUUCACUCGCAAAUGAAUAACCAUCCUUCAUCAAACAUGAAGGAGAUAAAAUGUUUCGACUUAAACUAGGAACAAAAUAACAAUUAUUCAACUCCAUAAUAAAUCCUGACGGGAGGUGGAGUUGCAUCGUCCCGACGGUCAAAGCAGCAACUCUUGCAUUAUUGCCCACGCGGAAAUCAACUUCUCCUCUUUCCACGCUUCUACUUCUUAUCAUUCCCUGCAUCGAAUUGCAAAUAUGAGCAACCGAUCCGGUAUCAAAUACCCAAGAAUUAAUAACUGUAUCAGCGAGAAAUAUGUUGUCUAUAACAUUAACAACAAGCGUACCUGAGGUAGAAGUACUCUUACUUCCGCCAUUCUUCAAGGAAGCUAGGUACUGCUUGCAGUUUCUCUUCCAGUGACCAAGUUCAUGACAGUAAAAGCACUCUUUGUCUGGAGCAGGUCCAGGUCCAGCUUUAACCUUGGGCGAUGGGUUUGGCUUGGACGUUCCAGCCUUGCCCUUCUUCUUCCAAGAAUUGCCCUUCUUUUUAAAGCUGGGCUUGUUCUGUAUCGCCAUCACAUGGCUGGUACUAGCGCUUUUCUUAAUGUCAGCCUCUGCUGUCUUGAGCAUACCACACAGCUCAUUCAGACCCUUCUCCGUCCCAUGCAUAUGGUAGUUCGAGAUGAAAUUCCCAGAGCUAGGCGGAAGAGACGAAAGAAUGAAAUCCGUGGCCAACUCUUGGCCCAGUGGGAAGCCUAGCUUCUCCAACCGUUGAGUGUAACCAACCAUCUUGAUCACGUGUGGUCCUACUGUUGCGCCUUCUGCUAGCUUGCUCUCAACAAAGGCCUUAGACACAUUGAACCUUUCAGUCCUGGCCUGUGUUUGGAACAUGUCUCUAAGCGCCACGAUCAUAUCGUGCGCCUCAUGGUUUGUUUCGAACUGCAUCUGCAGCUCGGGUUCCAUGCAAGCAAGCAUAAGGCAGCUUACUUCGAGGUUAGCAUCACAUGCUUUCUUGUAAGCAUUCUUAGCAGCAGCGGGUGCAUCCUCAGCAGGUUCUUCUGGUAGUGGGUUGUCUAGAACAUCUUCCUUUUUCUCAGCCCUGAGAACAAUUCUCAGGUUGCGGAUCCAAUCCGAGUAGUUUGUUCCAUUCAACUUGUCCUUCUAAAGGACCGAACGCAAAGCAAACGAUGUGGUGGUGUUGCUAGGUGCCAUUUAAUCUACAACAAAAGUAAUGCAAAAUACACUAAGACAAACGUAUCCAUGAUAGAGCAAAUUACAUUAAACUAUUUUAACAGAAUCUACUCCCACUAAAAUCAAUAUCCCUCUAUUGAAACUUAGUGAUUCAGGAUCCACAACUAACAAGUCUACUAGUGAGCUUUAGCAUCACCGCUAGCAAACGAGGUAGAUCGGUAAGCAACUUUUGCUAAUCAUAUCACAUAUGACUCCUGUUGUUGGGUGACAUCUCUAUGUCUCGGCGCCCAACCUUUAUGCCCCAAGGUCCUUAACCGUUAAGAUGACCUCGUUAAGCAAACCAACCCUUAUGCGUGUAAGUGUCCGACACAAACCCAUCUAGUCAAGGAAAACUAGUGGCACCCUAAUUUCAUAGACCCACCACUAAUUGUACAAGACAUGGGACGGUGCAAGUUUUAGUUGGGAGGGCAUACUAACUUAAAAUUUGCGAGGGAUCGUUCUACUUCUAACAUCACAGCAUGCAGAAAGUAAAACAUAAACAGAAUAGCAUUCACACAGCUUGUGACACAGUAUGGCCCGUUUUCAUAUGGUGAUCUCCAUCUCCAUAGAACCUGUUCACCAUGGUGAUCUCCAUCUCCAUGUUCCAUGUGCGCCAUCCUCCUGGUGAUGAGUCCUCCAAGAACUAGAGCAUGCUAUUACGCCUAAUAGCUAGUAAAGAAUCUAGUAAUGAAGAUUACAUAGUUGCUUGGAUCAUCACAGAUUGGUACGCAGACCAUUAAAUACAAUAAAGUGACAACACAUAUGGCUCCUGCCGUGUUGCCGUACGCGCGACACGCAGGUCACGAAUUAGUUACACACAUGCAUCACAUACACAAGGGGGCCAUACUGAUCACAAGAUACAUCCUGCAAAAGAGAGUUAGGCGUCCUAACGUUCCAAACUUCGGAGGCCCGAAACUCCAUCUUCCAAGCCGAAUUUGGCAAAUCUAAUUUCGCCGAAAACGGCAAAGCCGUUGAAAUUCACGUGUAACUUUUUCUGUAGAUCAAUUUUCGUAUAGAAAUCGCCCCGAUCCGAGAUCAUACCGAAAAGUUACGGCUGAUUUACCGAAGCAUGCGCAUACGGCAAAAUCCCGACCCCGGCAGUAGAUCCCAUCUACCAUUGCACAUCUAAUGCGCCUGGCGUAUGACCCUGGAUCUCGAUUCGACCAAUCAUAUUGAUCUUCCCUCACUGCAACUGGAUUUACGUGUAUCACUUAACUCCGAUGGCGGAAACCGACCGGUAGGAGUAUGUCGUUACACUACCAUUGCAGCAAGGGCACGAAAUCAGGACAUAGAUCAAACAGAGAACUCGCAUAUCUCCAUAUGCACACAUCCCGAAUCCAAAACUAAGCAGCUACGGCUCUUGAUACCACUGUUGCGAUACGAGGUAGGCUACGCUAGCGCAAAUCAAAAUUUCUACCGCGUAUAACCAGGAAGAACUGCCGUAUAAGGAUCACGGGAUUACCACUCGACGCACUACUGGUGCGGAAGAUGUAGAUAUGCGUCGGUGCAGUGAAGACGAUCACGUAGUCGUACGUAGUCGAUCACGUCCAGCAGCUCCUCAGCAGCUCGUCCACGUGCACAGCAAGAUCGCCUCCAGUACCGCGGCUCGUCGUCGGCUCGUCGUGGCUCGUCGGUGGCUCGUCGGUGGCUCGUCGGCGGCUCGUCCAAGUGCUGCAGGCGCAACACCUCCAAGGUAUCCACACGUGCAGGGAGGAAGCGUCGCAAGCCGGAUUGCUAGAUCCGCGAGUUGCAACAGGCGAGGGCGUGGGAGGCGCGGCAAGUGUGUUCAGCCAAAAGGUAUAAACCCUAGGGCGCCCCCAUCCCUCUAUUUAUAGAGGUUCCUGAUGGGCCUCUGGAUCCGAGGCCCAUUAGCACUCCUAAACCUAAUCCAACUCGGAUCAAAUCCGAAUUGGGCUUCCAGCCCCUUAAGUGUGUGACCCUAUGGGUUCGGAUACGUAUAGACAUGGCCCGAGUACUCCUACUCGGCCCAAUAGUCGGUAGCGGCCUCUAGCAAGACGUGCCAACUCCUAUACGCAUACAAAGAUCAUAUCAGAACGAACCAUCACAACAUAAUAUACAUGCUAUUCCCUUUGCCUCACGAUAUUUGGUCUAGCUUCAAGCCGACCGCUCUUUCUCGAUCCUGUGAUUCGGAAUCCCUUUGUAGGUUAACUCUUAACCGUACGUAGCAUGGCCAUGCAUUUUCGGAUCCGAUCACUCGAGGGGCCCAGAGAUAUCACUCUCAAUCAGAGAGGGGCAAAUCCCAUCUUGAUUGACCAUGUCUCAUAGCAUGCUUCUUGACAAACCCGAAAGCUACCUUUAUAACUACCUUGUUACGGCGUAGCGUUUGAUAGCCCCUAAGUAGGUCGAUCCACAUCUAGAAUACAUGCGACAAUCUCAGGUCUAAGGACAAAGCGUAUAUGUUGUUUAAAGAGAGAACUACUUCUCAUGUUGGGUCAGUCCUAACACAUGUCUCCACAUGUGUCCACAUUAUUAGUUCAACAUCUCCAUGUCCAUGACUUGUGAAACAUAGUCAUCAACUAAUACAUGUGCUAGUCUAAUAUUCAUGUGUGUCCUCACAUGAACUCCGACUAGGGACAACUUUAGAAUAACCAUACAAGUAAAGAGUUUCACAUACAAUUCACAUAAUUGCAAAUCAAUUCAAGUAGCCUUUAAUGGAUAUUCAAUGAACACAAUAUACAAAUCAUGGAUACAAAUGGAAUAUCAUCAUCUCUAUGAUUGCCUCUAGGGCAUACCUCCAACAAGAAUUAGGUAGGAUUGAGAGGGAACUCAAGAAGAAGCGUAGUUGAGUAUUUUUUGUUCUAAGGGCGAAGUGUACUGCGUCGGCCGUGUAAUUCAUCGUUCGUAUCGAAUGACAAAUCAGCCGAUUUGAACAAUUAUUUUUCUCCUUUAGGCGAUUUCUUCUCCCGUAUCGGCUGUGUGAUCGUUCAGGGAGCGAUCUUUCUGUCUUGUCAAUGCCCUGCGAUCGAUUCUUAUGUUUCGACCCAUAUACUGGGGUAAUACCUUUUCAAGUACCUCCCGUUUAAGGCCCUAGUAAAUUCUUCUCCUUCGAUCGUUUCCAGAAUGUAAGCGUUUCCUGGGGCACAUCGGCCGAUUCUAUAUGGCCCUUCCCAAGUGGGAGACCAUUUACCGAAUUUAGGAUCUUUUGAUCCAAUCGGCAACACUAACUUCCAUACCAGAUCCCCUUGGGAGAACUGCUUGACUUUGACCUUCUUGUCAUACCAUCUGGCCACUUUCUUUUUGUUUUCCUCGAUACUGAUCAAGGCUCUCAAACGUUGGCCCGCCAAAUCGUCGAGUUCCCUAUUCAUGAGCGAGGAGUAAUCAUCGGCCGUCAGCUGAUCUUGAAGCGACGUGCGUCUCGACCCUGUUCUCAACUCCCAUGGCAAUACUACCUCAUGACCGUACACCAAUUGAUAAGGAGACACCUUGGUAGCCCCGUGGCAGGCCAUCCUGUAUGCCCACAGAGCUUCGGUUAGACAUAAGUGCCAUUUUUUGGGUUGUUCUUUGAUCUUAAUCUUGAUCAACUUGAUUAUCCCUUUAUUGGAAGAUUCGGCCUGGCCAUUAGCCUGAGCAUAGUACGGGGAGGAAUUUAGCAGCUUGAUUCCCAUAUCGGCUGUGAACUCCUCGAACCCUCCCGACGUGAACAUCGUCCCUUGAUCAGUUGUGAUAGUCUGAGGGAUGCCGAAACAAUAGACAAUAUGAUCCCUCAUGAAAUCGACCAUAGCGGCCGAUGUUACGGCCUUUAAUGGAACCGCCUCCACCCAUUUGGUGAAAUAAUCUGUGGCUACCAGAAUGAAUUUAUGUCCUUUACUUCACAGAGGAUAAAUUUGUCCAAUGAGGUCUAUUCCCCAACCUCUGAACGGCCACGGCUUGAUAAUUGGAUUCAUAGCCGACGCGGUCGCGUGUUGCACAUUCCCAUAUUUCUGACAAUCUUGGCAUCCUUUAUAAUACUUGAAACAGUCCUCAAGGAUUGUCGGCUAGUAAUAUCCAUUAUUCCUAAUCAUCCAAUUCAUCUUAUGCGCCGAUUGGUGGGCUCCACACACCCCUUCGUGGAUUUCUCCCAUCAGGGUCUUUGCCUCCUCCGUCCCUAGGCAUUUGAGUAGAACACCAUCAACCGUCCGGCAGAACAAAUCAUUUUCCAAUAACACAUAUUUUAUGGCCUGAAAUCGUAUUCGCCGAUCCACUUUCUUAGACGGGUCUUUUAAAUAAUCGGCGAUCUCUUUUCACUAGCCGUCGGCCGCGAGUUCCAGAAUCAUGGCGCCUUGAAUCGACCAAUACCCGGACGCGUGCUGAGCCAGGCUAUUGGCUUCUUCAUUGUAAUCCUUGGGGAUAUGCUCAAUUACUUCGGAUUUGAAUUCUUUCAGAAGUUGGAGGCAAUCCUCAUAGUAAAUCCUUAAUACAUCAUCUUUGCACUCGGAUCUUCCUAUCAAUUGGUCCACGAUGAGCAUGGAAUCUCCAAAAAUCUCGACGGUGUCGACCUUAAUCUCUCUUAACAAUUGUAACCCUUUCAGGAUGGCCCGGUAUUCCGCCUGGUUAUUAGUGGCGGAUGCUUCUAUCGGUAGAGAGAAAUCAUAGCUUGCCCCCCGAGGCGAUAUGAGAACGAUGCCGAUUCCUGAUCCGGCCCCACAUGACGAGCCAUCAAAAUAUAAGGUCCACGGUACUGGUUCCACGACGGCGAUUUCUGGUCCGCAGUGUUGGGCGACGAAAUCGGCCAUAACCUGACCUUUGAUGGCUUUUGCCGAUUCGUACCGUAGAUCAAACUCUGAUAAAGCCAAAAUCCACUUUCCGAUCUGCCCUUUCAAAAUCGGCAAUGACAGCAUAUACUUUACUACGUCGUCCUUGCAUACGACCACGCAUUCUGCCGAUAACAAGUAGUGCCUGAGCUUGAUGCAUGAGAAGUAAAGACAUAAGCACAGCCGCUCUACCGGGGGAUAUCUUGAUUCGGCGUCCAAAAGUCUUCUACUAACAUAAUAUAUUACCCGUUCCUUUCUUUCAAACUCCUGGACCAGUGUCGAUCCGAUAGCUCGCUCAUCGGCCGAUAAAUAUAGCUUGAAUGGAUACGUCCGGAUAGGUUGGCUAUGAAUCUUCUGAUGAAAUUGACCUUGCCGAUCAAGGAUUGUAAUUCAGUUUUAUUCUGUGGGGCUACAACUUUAUUGAUGGCCGCUAUGGUCUUCCGGUUGAUCUCUAUCCCACGCUCAUGAACCAUGAAUCCUAAGAACUAUCCGGCGGAUACGCCGAAAGCACACUUGUUCGGGUUCAUCUUCAGCCCAUGCUUUCGUGCAUUCCAACACCUGCCGUAAAUUGGCCAGAUGUUCCUGGUGUCCCUUUGAUUUAACCACGACGUCAUCGAUGUAAAUUUCUACCAGUAUGCCGAUAAGUUUGUGAAAUAUGUAAUUCAUGGCUCGUUGAUACGUAGCGCUGGCGUUCUUCAAAUCGAAAGUCAUUACCACCCACUCGAAUAAACCCAAGUGACCCGGGCACCUGAAGGCUGUUUUUGAUAUGUCCUCCUCGGCCAUUAGUAUUUGAUUAUAUCCGAUGUUUCCAUCCAUGAAACUGAUGACUUUGUGACCCGCGACGGCGUCUAUUAAUACAUCGGCCGUCAGCAUCGGGUAUCCGUCCAUCGGUGUGGCCUGAUUGAGGUUCCUGAAAUCGAUGCACACGCGCAGCUUCCCGUUCUUCUUGUAUACGGGCACAAUGUUGGAGAUCCACUCGGCAUAACGGCAUUGUCGAAUGAAUUUUGCUUCAAUUAGUCGUGUGAUUUCGGCCUUUAUAUCGGCUAGGAUUGUGGCAUUACAUCACCGUGCAGGUUGCUGAUACGGCCGAUAUCCCGAUUUUAUGGGCAACCGGUGUUCAACAAUGGAUCGGUCUAAUCCAGGCAUUUCAUGGUAUUCCCAAGCAAAGCAAUCUUUAAACUCUUUCAAUAAAUCUAUCAGUUUACAUUUGUAUUCCGGAUCCAAAUUAGCACUAAUGUACGUCGGCCUUGGCUUGGUGCCAUCGCCUAAAUCUAUCAUCUCUAAUGAAUCGGCCGACGUGAACCCGUGUCCUAGCUUCCCGUCUUUUCGGACGAACUGAUCCAUUUAAUCUGAAUCUUCGGAGCCGACUGCUCGGAUCGACUGUAGACCAAAAUCGGACACCUUCAAGAAAUCAGUGUCCCAAAUUCUCCCGGAUAUGCACUUGACGUUCUCGCAACUCCAUUGCUGCCAUCGGCCGCCGCGACGCUGUAAGCGGAAUCGGCGGUGACCACUUCGAUAUUGUCGCCAACCCAUUGUACGAGGCACUGGUGCAUUGUAGAUGGGAUGCAGCAGUUUGCGUGUAUCCAGUCUCAGCCGAGUAGCAUGUUGUAGGACCCUUUGCCAUUGAUAAUAAAGAAAGUGGUGGGAAGAGUCUUACUGCCGAUGGUGAGGUCAACGCAGAGCGCGCCGCGGGCGGGAGACACAUUGCCUUCGAAGUCUUUGAGUAUCAUGUCCAUCUUGGUCAGAUCGUCGUCAUUUUUUCCUAGCUUCCGGAACAUGGCGUACGGCAUGAUGUUGACAGCAGCUCCUCCAUCUACUAGUAAUCUGCUGAUGGGUCGGCCAUUGACAUGUCCUUUGAGGAAUAAUGCCUUGAGGUGUUUCCGUUUGUUGUCCUCGGGUUUCUCGAACGUGGCUGUCAUUGGCUCCAAAGCCAAUUGCGCCGUCUGUUCUUCUAUUGCCGACAUGUUAUGUCGGUCGGCAGGAGUCAUGAAUUCCAUCAGCAGAAUGAAAACCAUGCUGACAUCGGCUGCCGAUUCUUGGUUGUCGUCGUCUUCCCUAUCGUUUCUUUUGGGGUGCCAAAUCCGAGGCCUGUCGUUUUUCUUGUCCAUCAUCUGUGGUUGAUCUUCUUCCUGUUGUUCCUAUUGGCGGAGACGUUGGAUUCUUCAUUUUUGAGAUUUCGUCAAUCCGUCAGGGCACCACCUAGGGUUUUACAGGUUUAGUCGAUGGCUUGGCGCGUUCCCAUUCUGGUUCGCGUCCCAAGGGGUUCUCGUCUGAUACCCGAGCAUCGGCCGUCUCCUCCAGCCGAUCGUGAGCGCUGACUCUGUCUUCUGGUUAGUUGUACCUAUUGGUCUUGCCUUCUGGUUGGUCGCGCCGAUCGAAUCUGCCCCCCGGCCUAUCAUUUCGCUUACGCCUGUCUUCCGACCGGUCAUAUUGGUCACUUCUGCCCCCCAGCCGAUCACACACUGAAGGGCGCCGGUCCUCUUGCUCACGCCAGUUUCUACUGAUCGGCUCUGGCUUUCCAUUUCUAGAGCGAGACCUUUUGAAUGGCCGAUUGUUGCGAUACGGGCCAUUGCACUCAGGGCAAUUAUCGGCCGACGGCAACCUAAGGUUACUCUCCCAGCAGUGGAUGAAGAACGGGCAUCGCCAAUGAUCUUCAUGUCGUCGCAUCAUCUCUUCCUAGAAUCUUGAACUUUCCUGUUGCCGUUGAUACUUGUUGAGCAGAAAUUGGGAGGUGAUGGGCCUGCGUGGUUGUCUCGAUCUCUCGCCUUCAUCCUCCAUCCGUCGUUUCCCCUUGAUGUCUUCGGGCAUUGCUUGAUUUCUAGGGUCUACGGUGACGCUCUUUCUAGCCGAUUCAGAUGUUAGCACCUUGGUCUGGAGUGAGUUCCUUCCUGUAUCAACCAUGUUGGUGGGGAAGGGAUGCUGAUCGAUCUUCAUCGGCUUUACUGGCUUUGUAGGGACUUCAAAUUUGAGCCUGCCCUGCUCGAUGGCCGUUGAAUUUGCUGUCGGAAGAUUUUGCAUUUGUUCGUAUCGUGGGAGGUGGCAUUAUGCCACUUGCAAUAUUUUAUCUUCUUUAGCUGCUCGGCCGACGGGAUCGUAUGGUAUGGUGAGAGCUUGAUUUGUCCUUCCUGGAGGAGGAGAUCGAAGAUUUUAUCGGCCUUUGAUGUGUCGAAACCGAAUGCCUCUAGCUCCUUUUUCCCGAACGGACAUGAUAUCGGCUUUUUCCCUUUAACCCACUCCGCUAGGCCGACUUCUGUUUCCUUUUCGGAUUCAACCCCUUCCAAGUACGCCACCUUUUUCUGGAAAUUCCUCCGGGGGUCAAAGGGACGUACUUCCUGACCAGACAAUCGAUGCAUGAUUUGGCUCAGGCUCUCGAACUCCUGUGAAGCAUAUUUUUUUUUGAUAUGGGGCAGGAGACCCUGGAAGGUUAUAUCGGCCAAUUGUGCGUCGGUUAGGACUAGGGUGUAGCAUUUGUUCCUGAUCUCCCUGAACCUCUUCACGUACGUGGACACCGGCUCAUCGCUCCUCUGUCUGAGGCUGGUUAAGUCUGAAAGCUUCAUCUUGUGUACCCCCGCGUAGAAAUAUUUGUGGAACUGCUUCUCUAAGUCGGCCCAUGUAAUUAUGGAGUUGGGUGGCAGUGUAGUAAACCAUUGGAAGGCCGACCCGGACAGGGAUGACGAGAAAAGGCGUACUCGUAGAGCGUCUUGUGCAGAUGCCUCCCCACAUUGGAUGAUGAAUCUAUUUACGUGUUCCAUCAUUGAGGUAUCAUCAAGCCUCGAAAACUUGGUAAAAUCAGGAACUUUGUACCGAUGGGGAAACGGCAGUAAGUCAUAGGUAGGCGGGUAUGGCGUUCUGUAUGUGUAGGUUUGCACCUUUGGCUUUAAGCCGAAUUGCUCUUGAAUCACCUCUGCUAUGCGUGCCGCCCAGUCUGCUUGUUGUUGAUGAACUAUCGGCUGGGGAACUGGCACGUGUUGGUAUAUCGGUGGCGGGAUGACCGGGUGGUGGACGAAAGCAUGCGGCGCCUGUUGCGACGCGGCCGGCUGUGUAGUCGGCAUCGGUUGUCUCAGUGAACCGGCCGUUUCG
rnacentral:lncRNA from 1 species